UCGAGCUUUUCCUGGGAGUAUGGCAUGGGUUACUUCAGCGCCGUGGCGCCUGGUACUCGAACAUUGGCUCGAGGCAUUUUCUCUACCCCUUCUUACCCUGAAAAAUCAGGGGCACCCCGCGUCCUUGAACCGAUAACCAUCUUUCGGCUAACCUAGCCUCCUCCAUCCCUCGGGACCAACAAGGGGUAGUACAGGAAUAUUCACCUGUUGUCCAUCGACUACGCCUUUCAGCCUGAUCUUAGGCCCUGACUCACCCUCCGUGGACGAACCUUGUGGAGGCAUAAAAGAAAUCGGUAGCAUAAAAGAAAAUGGCUCGGCUAAGUGGGAUAGCCAAGCCAGAAAAAAAAAUAGAUUUAGAAGAUAUAAAUGGGUUUUUCUCAUUACCAUAUUGUUGAUGCUUUUGGUUUUUCUGGGGGUGUUUGGUUGUUGUGGAAUGGGAAUUCAGUUUCUCUUCAAGUUAUUCCGCACUCUAGCCAAUCUAUCACUGCGUUAGUAACUUUGAGGAAUCAUAGGUGGCUCCUCGCUAUUGUUUAUGCAAACCCUUGCCCUGGGAUUUGAGAAGCUUUGUGGAAGUACUUUGAUGGUCUUAUUGAAGCUUCCAAUCUGCCAUGGCUUGUUCUAGGUGAUUUUAAUGAUAUUGUGAGUGUGGAUGAGAAAUGUGGGGGUAAUUUAGAUCAAGGUGGUAAAAAUUUUGCUGAGUGGAUUGAUCGUAACCAUUUGGUUGACCUGGGUUUCACUGGGGCAAAGUUUACUUGGUGUAAUAAACAGAAUGGUGAAGGAAUUAUUUGGAAGAGGCUUGAUAGGGGCCUUUGUAGUAUUGAUUGGCGUCUUUUGUUCCCUGAGGCUCACCUCCUACAUCUUCCUAGGGUGAAUUCAGAUCACUGUCCUAUUUUGGUGCGCCUUGACUCCAAACAUUAUCCUAAUAGAGCAAAUGUGCCUUUUCGUUUCCAAGCCAUGUGGAUGUCUCAUCCUGAUUUUAAGGAAUUUGUUACGAACCUUUGGAGUUCUGGUGAUGGUCAUGCUGUACACAGAUCAGCUAGGCUCGUGGCUCCGCUUGGCAUUUGGAAUCAGCAGGUUUUUGGGUGUUUAUUUACAAAGAAAAGGCAUCUUUUAGCUAGACUUGCAGGAAUUUAAAAGAAGCUUUGUCAUGAGCAUAAUCCUUUCCUUAGCGAGCUUGAGGUUGAGCUUACUAAAGAUUACAAUUUACUACUGGAUCAAGAAGAGACUUUUUGGCUACAAAAGUCCAGGAAUACCUGGCUUAAAGAAGAGGACAGGAAUACUCGGUUCUUCCAUCUGUCCACAGUUGUUAGACGAAGAAUGAAUAAGUUGGAAUGGUUACAUGAUGAUUUUGGGGAUUGGAUUACUGAGAAACAGAGCAUGAAACAUAUUAUUGUUAAUUAUUUUCAAGGGUUGUUUUGUGCUUAUGAUAUGGUUGGUGACUAUGCUUUGCUUCCUCAGUUGUAUCCUAGCCUUGAAGAGGCUGAUCUUGAAGGUCUUAGUUGUCCGGUUUCUAUUGAAGAGAUUAAGAAUAGUGUGUUUGCUAUUGGUAGAUUAAAGACCCCAGGACCUGAUGGUUUCCCUGCUCUUUUCUACCAAGAUUAUUGGGGGGUUUGCUCUGAUGAUAUCAUUUCCUUUUUACAUGAUUGCUUUAAUACUGCCACCCUUCUUGAUCAUUUAAAUGAGACUCUGAUUGCUUUGGAGCCUAAAGUGGAGAGGCCUAUGUUUAUGAAUCAGCUUAGGCCUAUUAGCCUUUGCAACUCUUUAUAAAGUGGUCUCUAAAAUCCUUGUGGCUAGGCUUAGGCCAUGUAUGACUAAGCUUGUCAGCUCUAGCCAAGUUUGUUUUGUUCUAGGGAGACAAAUUACGGAUAACAUUAUUGUUGCUCAAGAAGUGCUCCACAAAUUUAAAUAUGCCAAGGGUUUUAUAGCUAGGAAAAUUGAUUUAUCCAAAGCUUAUGAUCGUAUGCAAUGGCCUUUUAUUAGGGAGAUUCUCUAGGAAGUGGGCAUUAAAGGAAGCAUUUUGGAGUUGCUUAUGCAGUGUAUCAUUUCUGUGCAGUACAAGGCCAUUCUUAAUGGGGAGCUAAUUGACUCUUUCUCUCCUCAGUGUGGUAUUAGGCAGGGGGACCCUCUCUCCCCUUAUAUAUUUGUUUUGUGUAUGGAAAAACUCUCUCAUCUCAUUCAACAAAAGAUUCAGGAUAGAGCUUGGAAGUCUGUUUAGAUUUGUCAUGGAGGUCCUCAUAUUUCCCAUUUAUUCUUUGUUGAUGAUUUAAUCCUUUUUGGGGAAGCUACUAUUGAUCAAGCUUGUUUGAUGAAAUAGUGUUUGGAUGAUUUCUGUCAGUUGUCUGGUCAGCGAGUUAGCUUUGAAAAGUCUAUGAUAUGUGUUUCCCCAAAUACGUGCUCUGAUUUGGCUAAUUCAAUUGCUAUGAUAAGUGGUUCUCCUCUCACUGCUAGCCUUGGUAAGUACCUUGGUGUCCCACUAGAGUCAGUAAACAAACAUAUCAAGAGGUUAUUGCUAAAGUCCCAAAGAGAUUAGCUUCUUGGAAGAGCCAUACGUUGUCUAUCGCUGGUAGAAUUACUUUGCUUCAAUCUGUUACUGCUGCUAUUCCGAUCUAUACUAUACAAACUGCCAAGUUGCCUAUGUCUGUCUGUGAUAAAUUGAAUCUGCUCAACAGGAAUUUUCUUUGGGGGCAUACCAGUAAUACUUCUAAAAUCCAUCUUGUCAAUUGGGAGCAAGUGUGUAAACCUAAGGUAGUUGGUGGGUUAGGCAUUAAAAGGUCUGCUUGGAUGAACCAAGCUCUUUUGGCUAAGACUGGAUGAAGACAUCUUCAACAUGAGCAAGGUUUGUGGUCUCAGGUCUUCUAUGCUAAGUACUUAAAACACCAAAACAUUUUAACUGUGAAGGACUCUUUUUUCCCUUGUAGCUCUAGUGUCUGGAGGGGUGUUCUUUUUGGUCAUUCUGUCAUUUCCAAAGGUGUUAAGUGGAGAGUUGGUUAUGGGGAUAAUGUGUUAUUUUGGACUGAUAGGUGGUUGAGUUGUGGCCCUUUGUAUCAAUAUUUGCUCAUUGAUCUUUUUGAGGAAAUGCUUCAGCUGAAUGUUGGUGAUUUUUCGGAUGAGGGGGUCUGGGACUUUAACUGCUUAAGGGAAUGUCUUCCUUUUCAUAUUAUUCAGUUAAUUUUAAGUGUUCAUGCUGGUUUUAAUGGCAGUGGGGCUGAUAGAUAUAUUUGGCAGUUCACGCCUAAUGGUUCUUUCUCGGCUAAAUCAGCCUAUAGUUCCUUUUUACCUGCUGAGGCUUUAGUUAAAUGGGACUAGCAGUUUCUUUGGAGGUUACGGCUCCCUCCUAAGGUUAAAACUUUUCUUUGGAUUGUUUGUCAUCGAAAGUUGCUUACUAAUGUGCAAAGGCAGAAGAGAGGCCUCACUCAAGUUCCUACUUGUCCUAGAUGUGAUUAUCCUAUGGAAACUAUUUCUCACUUAUUUAAAGAUUGUCCUUUCUCUUUGGCCAUUUGGAAUUGUCUUCAAAUUGGAAAUAAUCCUAGCCCUGAUAUGGUGGAUUUUAAUGAGUGGCUGUUAAGGAAUCUACAAUAUAAAAGAAAGGUCUAUAAUGGGUUGCCUUGGCCUUUGGUUUUUGCACUUUAUCUGUCGUUUAUCUGGAAAUGGAGAUGUAAAGGAAUUUUUUAUCAAAGGUUUGUUAUGCCUGGUGAACCACAUCAUUUAAUUCUUCAAUAUGCUUUGGAGUGGUUUAAUGCUACCAAACCGCCUUCCCUUUCUUAUGUGUUGUUUGUUGUUCAACUUCAUUGGAUAGCCCCUACUUAUGGAGUUUGUAAGAUUAACACAGAUGGAAGUUGUAACAGUGUUUCUGGGUUUAUUAGUGCUGGUGGUCUUUUAAGAGAUAAUUAUAGUGCUUGGAUUAAGGGUUUCUCUGUGAACCUGGGUGUUGGUUUUGUUCUUGUAGCGUUGUGGGGCAUUUUUUGUGGUCUUCAUUUGGCUCGGGAGUUUGGCUUUAGUGUUGUGGAGAUGGAAAGUGACUCUAGUGUGGAUGUGGCUCUUCUUUCUAGCUCUACUAUUUCCACACACCCCCUGUUUAGCCUUAUUAGGUGUUGCAAGUUAAAGGUGCAAGCUGGUUGGAGAUGUUCUGUUAUGCACAUCUUCAGAGAGCAGAAUGUGGCAGCUCACGUCUUGGCUUCUAAGAGUUCUGAGUUUGGCACUGGGGUGCAGUAUUUUACUGAGGUGCCGACAUUUCUUGCGACUUGUUUGCCUGAGGAUGCUAUUGGGGUGUCCAGGUCCAAUGUUGUUUGUGCUUAUAUUGGGUGUCCAGGUCCCGUGUUGUUUGUGCUUAGUCUGUUUGUUCUGGGCCCUUAGCCCCUCUUGUUGCCAAAAAAAAAAAAGAAGUCAAAAACACAACCCAUCCCCACUUCCAGCAAUAUCUGUGGUGGUGUUGGGUGGGGAUGGUUGAUAUCGUUGCCAUUGUCUCCUCUCAGUCCCACCCCAACUUGACUACCUCCUCCCACGCCCCCACCAACCGAGCGAGUACAACCUAGCACUCUCUCUCUCUCUCUCUCUCUCUCUCUCUCUCUCUCUCUCUCUCACAGAGGAGGCUUUUGCCUCUGUCAAAGGUGACGGUAAAAUCGACAAGGGAGGGCUUUUAGACCCACCCCUUCUCUCCUGUUUGUAGGGGUGGACAUGGUCUAGUUUGGCCCGAUUUGCACCUAAAAAAGAAAUAUAAAUCAAUAUUAUUCAUUUGAUGUGGUAUGGUCUAGCUGUUGACUAAAAUGACUAGGAGAACCGGACCAAUCUGAACUUGCCGGUCUUGGUUCUAUGGAAUAGCAAUUAAUAUCGUAUCCGAUUAUAUUUAGAUUUUUCCGCAUUAAUUUAUAAAAAAUUUAUAAAAGUAUUCGGAUAUUAUUUAUUUAUUUAUUUAGAGGAACUAGUAAAUUUUCCUUAAAUUGUCAAAGGUUACAGGCUUGAGCGAACAAACAUGGCCUCAUAAAAACCUUGCCCAGGAAAAGUAUUUGGAUACGCUUUCAUUGCUGUAUACGGUUUAAUACCGGUCUUGCGUAGGAAUUGACAUAUCUUGCAAUACGAUGCCUUCCAAUUAGGUUAUGAACUCGAGCAAACAAACGUGUUCUUAUUGAUACCGUAUCCACUGCAAUUAAUACCGUAUCAAUUAUUGAGUUUUUUCCACAUCAGUUUAUAAAGUUUAUAGAAGUAUUUGGAUACGCUUUCAUCCUAUUCAAAAGUUGUACAUAAAGAGUAAAUUGUCGUAGACCUCCCCAAAUUAGGACCCCAAUCGAACUUAACUUUAUGAACUAAAAAAUCAGCUAAUUUAACACCCAAAUUAAUUAAAAUUGUCAAUUUAAUACCUACCGUUAGAUUUUAUCACUUUUCAUCUAAAAUUCCUUCGUACGUGGCAUGUGAGACACAUGUGCAAUAUAAUUGGAGAACAAUAUAGUUCUUCUAACCUGUUUUCCUACCACUAUUCAGCUUCCCUAAUAGUUGAGGCCAAAUUAAAAAUAGAGGAGCCCUAAUUUCACAAAUUCCACCAUUACAGACAAUUGUUAUGACAUAUACCCACCCAUAGCAUACAGUUGAGAAGAAGGAGAAGAAGAUGAAGUGGUUAGAAAAUGCAAAGGAACAUGCCUAGAGCAAAUGGUUCAGCCGAGUCCAAGUUCAAAUACCUGGAGCAAGAGGUUCUCUGUGUGUUCUAGAGAUAAGGAGCCUUCAGUCGAAUCUGACAUCAACUAUCCUCAUCAUUUGUUACCAAGUUAAUCGAGCCUAAACGUCUUGGUGCAAAACUUGCCUUUGUGGAGCAUUUGCCUUUUCACAACCAUUGACAGGGGGUAUAUUGACCCAGUUGUAAAGUGAGGAGGUAUUUAAGCCCCUAUUCUAAUUAAGAGUCUCUCUAUUGAUCUACACUUUCUUCCUUUAGACCCGUUUGGUUCAUGAGAAAUCAAUUGCUUUAAAUGUUUGGUAAGUUUAGGCAUAUAAGACAGAAAUAUCAUGCGGUGUUACUGCCAAAUUCACAAGGGAAGUUUUCAAUGAUGAAAAUUGGGAUCAAACAGGUCAACAAUGGUAUAAGAGGGAUCUAAAUCCUAUUGGCAUUGAUGAAAAUUGUGUUGUGUAUUCAUUUAUCUUGGACAAAGGAGAGAACAUGUAGCACAAAAGCAAAGUAGAACACAUCAAUUUAUGUAUAGAGAACAUUAAUCAGUACUUUCUACUUCUUGGAUCAAGGAAAAGGUGCCAAGGACGAUGUAGCACAACCAAGAGCCUUUGUCACGCCAGUAAUUGUGGGCUUGACAUUAGAACACACAGAGGUAAGAGGGCCUUUGUCUCCACCGUAGGUGAGAUCAAUGUCAGUCAACUCCACAUUCUCACACGGUUUGCCAGUGGUACAUAUAAGCUUGACUGCAAGUGGAGUGAAAGAUGAGCCCUUAAUGUUCUUGAAGCUGACAUUGUUGAUCUUAACUUUUGACGGAGGCUUUUGUUCACACUGAGUAUAUGGGCAGUACAAUUGGUCUAUGAGGAUAGGGUUACUGACAUUAACCAUGAUAAUAUCCUCAUAGUGUAUACCCGAGGCAGAGCUAGGCGAAGGAGAAUCUGGAAAUGUUUUGAUUGUCACACCGUUCUCCAUAUUAGUCAGGGUGCAGUUCUUAACUAUGAUCCCGGUCACAUCCUUUUCUUCCUUAUAUUUUCCAAGGCUUCCAAUGCUUAUUCCAUGGCCUGGCCCACAAGUAACAUCAGUCACUGUGAUUUCGUGGGAGUCAUCACCAAUAGAAAUACAGUCAUCCCCAGUUCCAAUCUUUGAAUGAGUAAUGUUGAUACUAGUCGAAGCCCCGAUAUGGAUUCCAUCUGUGUUUCUGCUCUCGUCAGGUGCUGUAAUGGUAAGCUGUUGAAAUGUAGUAUGGUUGCACCGGAAAACAUGGAUGUGGAAAAAUUUGCUGUUAAGUGAAGUUAUGUCCUGAACUUUGGAAUUUGUGAGGAAUUCAAACCGCAGAUUAACGGGAGGAGGUUUGCAAUUUUUGUUUUUGUGGCAGUCAUUUUGAUUCCAAGAAAGUGCUCCUUGGCCAUCAAGAGCGGCAGCAAAUUUUUGGCGCAUCUACGUAUAUACUCCUGGAUAGAGUUAACAAGAUGAACAGGAAAAGACCAUGCCUACACUAUUGGCGCAUCUACGUAUAUACUUUUUCUAAUAUCAUCCAACUAGAAAGUGCCUCACCUUAACAACUUUAAUUCAUCUCCUUAGCUUAAGUAAUCCAUUUGCACCAUUGUGGUUGUUAGUUCAUCUAUUUUUUACCAUACUCUUUUAAUUUUUCUUAUAAUCCAUAGGUUUUGCUUGCUAUCUACCGGUGACAUUGAUCUCACCUACAAUGGAAACAAAGGCCCUCUUACCUCUCAAUGUUAAUGUCAAGCCCACCAUUAUUUGUGUGACAAAAGCCCUUGCCUGUGCUACCUAUGCUGGGUUAAAGAAAUGGAAAGUACUAAAGAUAAAUUGUCGUGUUCUUUGAUUUUUUUUAUUUUGUGGUGCUUGUAUAGGUCUUUUUUCUUCGCUCAGAUACCUUCACAUGUUCUGAGCUAUAAAAUUAUAAUAUAUUUAAUAUUCGCAAAUAAAUUGCUAGUGUUAAAACAUACAUUCACUAAUUCAUCAUUGUCUAGAUAAUGCAUAAGUUUCUACUCUAUAUACUUUUCUUGGCCUACAACCAGUUCAAUGCCAAGAAGAGGGCAUUCUUUCUUCCCAUGCUUGGCCAAUUGAAGCUGGGAUUAGUAUGCCAGCUUGAUUUUGAUCCUUCCACUAUAUUAAUUGAAGAUUAUCAAACAAACUGAAUGUGUGUGUGUGUAUAUAUAUAUAUUUAUUCUCUCAUCCGGACGGUCUGGACGUUAUUAUUGUGCGGGUGCCAUUGUAAACAAGGAGUAUACUUUUAAAAUAAAUUAAUAUUUAAAGAGUGGCUAUACUUGUUAUUUAUACGAAUAUUUUUUAAGUAUAGCCGGGCGGCUAUAUUAUUAAAAUAUUUGAAUGGAUGUCAAGUGUAUAGCCGUCCGGCUAUACAGCAUAAAUGUGUGCUCUUUUUUGUAAUUAAGUAAUAUCUUACCAUUUUAAAAUUACUUUAAUUUUUAUGUAUUUAGUGAAUAAUUAGUAUUGAAAUAUUUUACUAAUUUCAAUAUUUACUUUAUAAAUUGUAAUUAAUUAUUUUAAAUUAUUUUGUGGACUUUGUUUUUUAUUUAAUUUUCUACAAAAUUAGUUUAUUUGGUAUAAUAUGUUCUAAAUAUUUUAAUAGUAUAGCCGUGCGACUGUACUAUUCAAAUAUAUUAAUAUUGCGGCUAUACCUGUUAAAUAUAUUUUGGUUUUAAGAGUAUCGCCGCACGACAUAAAAUAUUCAGACAUAUUGAAUAUUCAAACAUAUUCAACUAAAUAAACUAAUUUUGUACAAAAUAAAAUAUAAAAAAAGUCCACAAAAUAAUUUAAAAUAAUUAAUAACAAUUUAUUAAGUAAUUUUUGAAAUUAGUAAAAAAUUUAAAUACUAAUUGUUCACUAAAUUUAUAAUAAUUAAAGCAAUUAAAAAAGGCUAAGAUAUUUCAUAUUUACAGAAAAGAAGGCGCUGGUAUUGUGCCUUUUUGGUUGGCAAUCGGCCCAUGUCUUCUCACAACUUGUGAUUUAUCUCAAUGAGUGUGUCAACAUGCUUACGUCCAAGCAUUCUUGUUUUAGUGUGUAGAUCCAUCAGAUACUUCCUUUGAGACAAAAAUGUACCAGUUUUUGACCUUGCUAGUUCAAUUUCGUGGAAGUCUUUAAGAGUACCUAAAUCCUUCAUCUCAAAUUACUAAGACAAAUACUUUUGUAGCUUAUGUUGCUCUCUUGUGUCAUUCCCAAUUACAACAAUGUCAUCCACAUAAACAAUUAAUGCAAUGAUAUUUCCUUCAUCACACUUCAAGAACAGGGUGUCGUUCGGAGAUUGUUUUAACCCAUAUAAUGACUUUAUGCAUUUGCAAACUUGAUUUUUCUUUUCAGGAGCUAAAUUACAUCCUAGUUGUAAAUCCAUGUAUAUCUCUUCUACCAAGUCUCUGUGUAAGAAGGCAUUCUUAACAUCGAACUGAUGUAGUGGCCAAUCUAGAUUUGUUGCUAGAGACAAUAGGACUCUGAUAGUGUCGAUCUUCGCUAUUAGGGCAAAGGCCUCUUGGUAGCCCACCUCAUAUCUCUGUCUGUACCCCUUCGCCACCGAUCUAACUUUAUAUCUUUCAAUGAAUCCAUGUGCUUUAAGUUUCACAGUACAGAUAAAACCGCAUCCCACAGUCUUCUUUCCAUAAGGUAAAGGCACGAGCUCUCAUGUGGCAAUCUUCUAGAGAGCUCGCAUGUAACACCCCGUCCUAAAAAUACUGUUCAAUUGAUUAUUUAAUUGUGGAUUUACAAUUUUACCCUUGCGGGUAGGGUUAUUUUAGGCACUUUUCGAUCUGGACAGAUUUUGAGGAUUUUAGUGACACCAUUUCGUAAAGCUCGCUCUCAUGAGUUUGUAGACACGUAGUGGGCUCAAAUCAGAGUUAUAACGAAGAAGUUGUGGUCAGCGGAAGUGCAAUGACACAAUCAUAAAUAUUUCAAAGUUGGGUUUUAAAAUACCCAAUCAGCCUCUCUCUCUCUCUCUUUACAAGAGCGGCAGCAAAUUUUUGACGGCAAUUUUGUCAUCGUCCGGUGUCCGAUUCGAGCAAAAUUGGUUGCAAAAGUUUCGUAUCAAUGUCCUCUAUCUUACCCACAUUUUCCCAGCUCAAGAAUCCAAGGAAAUUAAACUGAACGACUGGAAGUUCGGGUGAUAUUUGAAGUUUCUGAGGCUGUUUUCAGCGAUCUCAGUGGCGGUUUUCGUCAAUCCAGGUAUGAAUCUUCAUCCCAUCCAUGUGCUCUAGUUGUCUAUGCUGGUAUCUUGGAUUAAUUUUGAGGUUUUACAUGUCAUUCAAAAUACCCAUUUUAGCCAACGAUUUCGGCUUCAAUUCGGCUAGUUUCGACUAGUUUUUGGCCGUGGUCCAAGAACAAAACUUGAUCCCCUAGUAAGUCUGAAUUUGUUGGCAUAGGUAUUCACUGGUGGUUUGGAGAUUUUCCGUCGCUGGAAAAUCUUUUAAGACACCCACACGCUGUCGGUGGUGGAUGGCAGCCCAUGGAGUUCUAAAUUGUUACCCUUAUCGUCCUGAGCAUGACGGUAUGCUUGGAUUUGGAUUUGAUUAUCGUUUGACUGUCGAACGGAUAUUGCACUUGUUAUGCGAUAUCCAGGUUCAAUACGUUUGGACACCUGUUAUGUGAUAUCCAGGUUCAAUAGGUUUGGACCGUUCAAUCAGUCCCAUUUUCUAAUGCGUUAUUCCUCGUACUUCUAGGAUUUGUGUUGGAACUGGUGGAUCGAGAAUGGGAGUCUUGGAUACUCCUAAUCAAUGAUUCUAGAGUUAAGUAAACCGGUUACCGUCCUAUCGUACGAUCGAGAGCGAUCCUAUCGCUCAAUCGAGACUAAACUCUGGAAACUUGUUAAGUAGACCUUGUUGUACUUAUAGUAAAGUUUGGAUCGAAAAUCAGAGGUUGUGGACCCCUAGGGCCCAAUUGGUCAAAUUCAGCGAUCGAGGUCAAACCGACCGUUAGAUUGUGAUGAGACUUCUAGAAUGGGCUGAACUUUUGGUUAUGGACCAAUAGGAAUUGUCAUAUAGCAAUUGGGGUUGUGGGCCCUUCGAGCCCAGUUGACUUAGAUUGUGGGCUUUGUUGGCUUGGUUGAGGCCUUUUAGUAGUUGUAAUUGUAAUUGGAGGUUUGUUUUAAAAUGGUAUUGUGUUUUGAGUGUUUUAUUAAAUUUUUAUGAAUUAUUAUGUAAUCGCUUUUACUUUCCAUGAAUAAGGAAUGGCUUGGAUAACUGGAUUUUGGCAUGAAUAAGGAAUUAAUUAAAUGCCUGAUUGUAUGUCUAUAUUUAAAUAUAUGCUCGAUGGCUUGAAAUCGAUGAAUGAUGGAUACUAGUUUUCUCAAUAGUAUGUUGUACAUAUUUGAAUGUAGUUUGAGAACAGUUUUGAAAGAUUAUGCAUGGUCAAGUUCAAGUUAAGGAAUGUUGGGAUUGAUCUCAUUUUAAAAAUGGAUUUUUGGUUAUCUAUUUAAGAACUGAUUUUUGGAAAGUUGAGAAAGAAUUUGGAAACUUGAUUAGUGGAAAAAGAGGAAUUUUAUGAUAAGUUUUGGAAAAUGGUUUUCAAAACCCACCACCGGAGUACCGCCCCCCAAUUGCCUUCGGAACAGUCUAGUCAUUUAUGACAAUGCCCACGAGUCUCAGGGACCCUUGAACCAUGUGGUGCGAGGAUUUGCGUUCUUGGGUUGAUUAUAUCUUCCUGAGUCCUGCAAGGGGAUUUGACGGAUAUGGGUUUCGGGCUGAUGACCCGAUUUUGCGAGGAUAUUCGUUCUCGGGCUGACCACGUGUUCCCCGAGUUACAUGGGAAAGUAGUGGGGAAAGUGAAGUCCUCCUCCCCCCUUGGGUUUUGUUUUCCCUCAUCACGGGAAAGUUUGGGAAAAUGAGCCAAUAUUAAAUGCACAUUUUUCAUGAUCAUUUUGUCCCCAUUAAAAAUUUAGAAUUACAAUAUAUCAUUAAAUGCAUUCUUUUUAUUUGAUUUAAUAUGGGUAUAAUUGGAAAAUUAUACAAAUUUUGUUUUCCAUUCCUACUCAAAACGAACAUGGGAAAGGAAAUAAAGUGAUAUCUCCUGGUUACUUUCAUUUCCCAUCUCUUGGGAAAUGACAUGGGAAGUGAUUUCCCCUCAAAUCCAUCCCGUGAACCAAAUGGGGCCUUAAGGUAAGAGCUUUUCACCCAUAACAAGUUUUCUUUAGGGUUUUCCAUCCCUGGUUUGUCUGGGGUUUUCUUUAUUUUCUUACCAAACUGGUGAUAUACAGGGGUUUCCCUUCAAUAUCCAGGUAGUUGGAAUGGAAGAGGUGAUAAAUUCGUUGGAGAAAGUACUCAUCCUAACUGAAGACGAGAAUGAUUUGAUUCAGUACGACAAAAUGAUGUCGAUGACGUGGGGGAGCGACUCAAGACGAGCCUGGUUGGAAAAGUCUUUACAACUAAUGUUUUCAACCGGGAGACAUUCAAGCAAACGAUGUUGAAGAUUUAGAACAUGGCUCGUGAGGUGGGGGUGAAAGAUUUAGGUGAAAAUAUCUUUUUGUUCAUCUUUGUGACGGAAGGGGAUCGACUGCAGGUGUUGUGCAGUGGGCCUUGGAAUUUUGAAAAGCUCUAGUAUAACUUGAGAUUCCUAGUGGUAGUAUUGCUCCAUAAGAAAUGCAUCUAAAAUAUGCAAAAUUCUGAAUUCAAGUCCAUAACGUACCACUGAAUUGUAAGACGACAAAUAUGGGGUGACAAAUUGGGAAUAUCUUGGACAGUGUUUGGAUGUAACACAUAGGGCAUGUAUGGGGUGUGUUUGGGUAGAUUUAUGAGGAUGCGUGUUUGUUUGAUGUCUCCAAGUCGUUACGGUGAGGAAAAAGGUGAUUCUACCUUCUGGAAACAUAGAGUUAGUAGAUUUCCGAUACGAACGAUUGCCGGAAUUCUGUUUUGUGUGCGACAGAGUGGGUCAUGUGUUCAAGGAGUGUUCUUUUGUCGACCUGGCAGCCAAGCAAGCAAGCAAAAAGCCUAAUGGGACAUGGUUAUAGGCCACCAAUGAUUUUAUCACUACAAGGGCAAGUAGUCCUAAGCGAUCCAACUGUGGUGGUAUGAGUAGACGUGACGACGAUGAAGGUAAUGGAACUCGGGACCACAAUGUUCAAAGGAUAGUUUGUACCAAUGAUAUGCAUUGGUCAAAGGAGAAUGGAGGUCCUAAAGUCAAUGGAGAGAGGUCGUUUAUGCAAGAAAACCCCAUCAAUGCCAAAAAUUCACAAAGAAAGGACGAGGAAGGGAAUUGUGUGAAGGGGAAAAAGGUGGAGGAAGGGAGACAAAAGGAAAAAUCUAAAGGGGAGAGGGUGGCUGAAUCUUUUGUAGGACUGAUGCAUUAACAAAAAGAGGAGGAGGUGGCGUGGGAGGCAAUAGUAGGAGGAGGAGAUGCUAGUAGUGGGUGUGCGAGGAACUCCUCGAAUAGGGCUGAGGUAGCAACGAUUCUAGAACUUGUAGAUCAUGACAUGAUUGAUAUGGAAAUGCCGUUACAAAACUUCAUUAUGAUUAAGGAGAAAACAAUUAAGGGUACUCACAAAAUGAAAGCUGCGGAGACAAAGGCAUUUAAGGAGGAUAUGAAUAUCAAAACCUUUGCAGCUAGAGUUAAGGUUUCCCUUGGUGAGGAUGUGCGUGAAUCAUUGUAAAAUAUUCCUAUGCACAAUCCAACCAAUAAUAUUGCAAGUGGGUUGGGUACCUCUGGGCUCGCAAAAAUUAUUAUUGGGGCCCAAAAGAAUGUUGGAUCAAGGUCUGAAUCUGAAACAAAAAAAUUGGAGGACUAUAUGCAGUAUGAAGUACAUGUACGAGAAAAUAAUAAAAUCAAUGCCAACUCAAAGAGUGGUAAAGGGUCAUGGAAACGUAAGGCAAGGACAAGAUGUGAAUCAACCAAUUCGCAUAUGGGGGAACUCAGCGACUUUAGAGCUUUAAUUGGAAAAGGGGGAGUAUUGGAGAUAAUGGAUGAAGGGAGGCCUGUGUCAAAGUGGGUCAAAGAGGGAGAAGAUAUGAAUGAUUUUACAAACAGAUUGGUGGGAUUAGUGGGCUGACCCACCACGAGCCAUGAGGAUCUUAAGCUGGAAUAUCCAAGGUCUGGGGGCUCCUCGGACAUUCCACUCUUUCAAAAACAUUUUGCGAGAGAAAAAAACCCGAUUUGGUCUUCCCUGUGGAAACCAAAAUGACUUCAAAUCAAAUGGAAAAUAAACGAAUACAACUUGGAAUAGAAGGGGCAGUUAAUGUUGCGAGAGUGGGUUUGGGGGAGGUUUGGUUUUGUUCUGAAGCAGUGGGUGGAAUGUGCGGUUAUUAUCUUACUCAACUGGUCACAUUCAUGCUCUGAUAACUGAUUCGAAUGACUCAUAAUUUUAUUUUACUGGGUUUUAUGGGCAUCCUGAUACUCAACAACGAAACCAUUCUUGGGAGUUAUUAUGCAGAUUAUCUCACAGGAUUCAAGGUGCUUGGGUGCUAGUUCGAGAUUUUAAUGAGAUUUUGCUUCCUAAAGAAAAGCAAGGUGGACGAGAACAACCUCAAUUUCAGAUGAACAAUUUUAGGAAGGCUUUGCAUGAUUGUAGGCUUAGCUUCACAAGAUUUAUAGGGUACCCAUUUACUUGGGUACGCAGCUUUCCAUAUGGUAGUGUGGUGGAAGAACGGUUAGACAAAUGUGUAGCAAAUGGGGCUUUCUUUGGCCUUUAUUCAUAUUUGAUGACUAACCACUUAGUAGCAAUGGGUUCUGAUCACUACUCGAUUUUCGUGGAGGCUUGUGUUGAUGAUCCAGAAUUUUUUUCUCAUAAAAAACGGAGUAUAUGGUUUCAUUUUGAAGAAAUUUGGACCAAUGAGCAAGAAUUUGAAAAGGUAAUUAGAAAGGCAUGAAAUUUUAUUGAUGGAGCUGAUGGAGUAAGUAAUAGUUUAUCAUUGUGUGCAAAGGAGCUCAAAAUUUGGAACCAAGUCAUCUUUGGUAACGUUCGUAAUCAACUCAAAUUAGCUUAUCAGGAGUUAGCAGGCCUUCAAAGAAGACUGACAACAUAUCAUGUGUUAAAGUCAAAAGUUGAGAAAACUAUUUCAGACCAUUUAGAAAAGGAAGAAAUUAUGUGGAGGCAACUAUCUCGAUAGUAGCGUGGCUCAAGGAGAGCGAACAAAAAUACCCAUUUUUUCCAUGAACGGGCAAGCUCUGGAUCAAAACGCAAUAGGGUACGCGGACAUUUUGAUGAAAAUUAGGUCUGGUGGACAGAUGAGCAUAAGAAUGGAGCCCUUUUCUAUGACUAUUUCAAGUCCUUAUUCUCUUCCUCUAGCAGCCAGCAAAUGGAGUGGAUUCUUAAUUAUGUAAGUCCUGUAGUAACAAGUGAUAUGAAUGAUCGCUUUCUGCAAGUUUUUACAAGGGAUGAGUUGGAGUUCGCAUCAUUUCAAAUGUUCCUAACAAAAGCACCUGAGUAUGAUGGUAUGUCGGCCUUAUUUUUCCAAAUGUAUUGGCACAUUGUCAGAGAUAUGGUGUCUACUAAGUGCUUGCAGAUAUUAAAUGGAAAAGGGAGUGUUCAGGAAUUUAACUACACUCUUAUAGCUCUCAUCCCAAAAAUAAAGACGCCAACAACUGUUUCAGAAUUUCAUCCUAUCAGUUUGUGUACGAUAAUUUACAAAAUGAUAGCGAAAACAAUUGCCAAUCAGUUGAAAAAUGUUCUUCCUUAUGUGAUUACAGAAAAUUAAAGUCCCUUUGUACCGAAUCGAAUGAUUUCAAAUAAUAUGAUGGCAGCUUUUGAAACAAUGUGAUAGGACCCGACUUAAAUUUCACUUUGGAAUUCGGUCAAACACUAUGCGUGUCCAACACCAGGCAAGUGUCGGUACGAAUGACCAAAAUACCCUUCUUGCCCUAAACCAGAAACUACUUUAGGGUUUGACUUCUACCGGUACCGGCAAACUAGCAUAUUCUCCCCUGAAAAAGUCUCAAAACCUAGAAAUCUACCUGCACUGCAAAUUCAAAUGAUUCCCCAAGAGUUCAGCAAAUUUAACUUUUCAAAACUUAACAUAACAUAACAAACCAAACAAAAACUUGCGGCUGCAUUUAGGUUAGCCUAGGUUGUCUACGUACCCUUACUGAGGGAUCAAGCCACACAUAGUUCUUUCUACCCUGAAUCACAAUUAAGAUAGUAAAGAAAUAUUCAAAAUGAAACCAGCGAAAUUUUUUUGGAAUCAUUCUUUAUCUUGGUCUUCACAAGCUAUAUAAUUGAAUAUCAUGCCAUUAAAUCAUGUACCUAACUGUUCAAAUAGUUUAUCAUUGUACAUCUAAAUACUUGCAUAACCAAACCUUUUACCUAAAAACCAUACCGGCAAUCAUCUGCAUUGUACAUAUAUCCUAUAAUCACCCACCAAUGGGUAUAUGAGAACACCAUCAAAUCUGAAGGUAACAAGGGAAGGUGAAACUAGCUAACUACCUGUGUAGAUAAGUCGGGUAGGUGGUAGGGAUUCUGGCCAACCCUGUGCAGAUAAUAUGAGCAAGGUGGUGAAUAAUAUCCUGUUAACUGUACCACACAUUGGUACUGCACUAAUCUCCACAUAGAUAAGUUUUAAAAUUGAAUUUUUAAUUUUUAAUUAAUAUUUUAUGAAAAAUGGGGUAAAGUGAGACAAAAUAAGUUUAAAGGGAAAAAGUGAGACUCAAAUACACUUUCAGGGGGUAUAUCAAUAAAUAAGCCUUCGUUUAAUGUUAAUGCGCAACACCUACUUGGUUUCAGGUGAAAUUGCAACUUCUUUUAUGGUAGCAGAGUUGACUAUUCACGUGUCGGAUCAAACAACCAUACAUGCUACCACGGAAGGACGGAACCAGAAUUUUUUUUAACGAGUGGGCUAGCUAAAGUUAUUAAUUAGCUUAAAAUUUAAAUCAUAUAAACCACGCUAGUUCGCCAAUGGGGUCUAGCCAAGUGGACAAGGGUCUUAACUUGCAAAUCGGUGGUCUCUGGUUCCAACCCUCCACCUUCUUGUAGUUUAGACUAUUGUUUGUUUUAAAAAAAAAAAAAAAUUAGAAACACGCUAGUUCAUAAUUCCAUUGACUAAUUUCCAAUAAGUUUUCUCUUUUUUUAUAAGCGAUAUUUGGUGAAGGGGAAAUCGAACUUGGAGACUUUGAGUGCAUGGGUAAAUGUUAAUUUCCAAUAAGCUUUAACAUAAACAAAUACGUAUUAAAUGCAAUCAAAAAACACAUGUUAUCAAAAUGAAAAUAUGUUCAACAACAUACUUGAAAGUGUACCUAUUUUAAUUUUUAAUGUGUAUGUUUAUUGAUCCCCUGCAACUAAAUUCAUAAAGACUUAAGAUUUUUUUGGACUUUAAUAGGUUAGUACAUACUAGGUUAUUUAUAAAACAUGUUGUUGAUGCCCAACAUCGGAGAUCAACUUAGGUGGAAGAAGUGUUACAUCUUCAACAGGACAAGAGAGUUGUGGACCUUCGGCAAGGCGAGAUCCUGUAGAAAAAAUAGGGAAGAAGCAAUCAUUAAACUUCGGAUACUGGUGUGGUAGCUACUGAAGACUCUCCGAUGCUUAAGUCAGUAAGUGUGGGAUACGUUAUAAUUUUGGUAGAGUAACAGUAAAGGUGAAAAGUAGUUACCCUUUUUACCUAAGCACUAUUCCUCUUUUAUAGGGAAAUGAAAGUGAGAGUUUGCACAAAGUUUCAAUGUGGGACUUUGUGCAAAUUGUUGUGGUGGCGACAUGUGUCUGUGGUUCUAGGUUUUGUAGUUUGAGAGCAUCGGCAGCCGUUUCGGUAGGCGACUAUUGCUUUGGAGAGAGGUAUCCCUUCGGCAGGUCAAGAAGAUGAUGACAUCAUUAGUAUUUUAAGCCGAAUAUGCUCGGGCGAUUAUGGUGUAAACACAUGUUAGAUAUAUAUGUUUUAUUUUUGUUUUUAUCCCCAAAACCUCCCUUAACUACAACACAUUGUAGCCCUCGGAGUAGUUCCGCUCUCGCUCCCACUUCACCCAAUAUAUAUUGUCCAUGUAUUACACUUGAGUUAUACCGCAGGUGAGGGUGCGUGUUGAGAGUAAACUGUCAUUAUAAUAGAAUACUUUGAAAAUUUGGUUGUUUUCCACUUGACUUUUCGUUAGUGGCUGACUGUAAUUUCUCUUUGAGCAUCAUUUGUAUCCCUACCCAAUUAUACAAGAGCAUUAUUUAAUUUCAAAUAUAAAUUCGGGUGCUAAUGCUUUUUACUAGGUUCCCACUUUAAAAAGUCAACAAUUUCAACUAGGCCAUACAUGACCAGUACUUUUAGAAACUUCCUAAAUGUGUAUUUAUAGAGUAUGUUCUGGACAGAAGCAUAAAUAAACGGAACAAAUUACCCACUUUGAGUUUCAGCCAAAAUGUUCUUCUCCAAAUCAAUCCCUCUCUGUUUCUUACUCUUCUGUCUUUUACACCAUGCAGCGCUUGGUGCUUCACUUUUCCAUUUUUGUUUCAGCAAGGAAAACUACACUGCCCAUAGCCCAUAUGAUGCUAACUUGAUUCAGUUGUUCAAUCUUCUGUACACAAAAGUUCCUCCUACUGGAUUUGGCCUUGGAUCAACUGGUAAAGGCCAAAACCAAGCGAAUGGGCUAGCCCUAUGCCGCGGGGAUGUCUCAAGCCAAGAUUGCAAGACUUGUGUCGUUGAAGCAAGCAAAGAGAUCAGCGCUGCCCUAGUGGGAAAGGAGCCAUAAUAUGGCACGACAACUGCCUGUUCAAGUACUCAAAUGUGAAAUUUGCUGGGAAAGUUGAUUACAAAAACAAGUUUUCUUUGUGGAAUGGCUACAAAGUAGAUGAUCCCAUGCCAUUCAAUGCGAAAGUUAAGGAACUGUUAAGCGGGUUAUCUACUAAAGCUUCUUCUAAUCCAAAGUUUUAUGCUACUGGUGAGCUAGUGCUCAGCUCUUGGGAAACACUAUAUGGUCUGACCCAAUGUACUAGAGACCUCUAUAGUUCCGAUUGUAAGAAGUGUCUUGAUGAUGCAAUAAGCGAAUUGCCAAAUUGUUGUGAUGGACAACGAGGUGGGCGUGUUGUGGGUGGGAGUUGUAACUUUCGAUAUGAACUUUACCCCAUUGUUGAUCCUUAACUAGAUUAUAUAGCUUUCAGUCGGUUAUGACCAUGCAGCAAUAUUAAUUCAAUAAGUUCAGAACAUGUUUAGAAAGCAUGUUAAUUGUUAUAAAUCUGAAAUGUUUAUUACAUAUUAUGCUUACAAAUAAAUGAUGAAGUGAUAUUCAUGGGACUUCUAAUGCCUCAUUUAUCAGCCUUAACCCUCUUCAUUCUGAUGUAUAUUUGACCAUGCACGUAUACCAAAAAUUUAUUAUUCCGGAACUCUAGAGCUUAAAAAAAUGUGCAAAACGUUAACAAUGAUUGGUUGAGUUAGUAAUGAUCGUUCUCUUCACUAUCAAGGUCUAGGUUUGAGUUCCGCUGUUGACAAUCUCUCUUGGUGGGUAAUCUGUAAAAACAAAAAAAAGGGGCUAAGACUCCUCUGUAACUCCUCAAAGAGGCUUGGUAUGCCCUGGUCCUAGGAUGGGGUAGCCUCCCCUCCCCCUAAACUUUUGUUUACCCAAAAAAAAAAAUUGAGCAAAACUGGGAUAUCAAAAUUAAUGGAUCUGACUACUUGUUUAUUUUAGUUAAUGAUGCUCUCUCUCACCUCAUAUCAGCUGAGUGUACUAGUGGAAGACUAAAUGGCAUUAGAUUAUGAAACGGCAGCCCCACUCUUCAACAUUUGUUUUUCGCUGAUGAUACCCUUCUUUUCAUCAAAGCCUCCACUGAGAACUGUUAACAUAUACAGACCAUUAUCUUGUAUAUUUAUUCAAUCAUCAGUGUAACUUAUAGAAAUGUAGAGAGAAUGACUAGAUGAAAGAGGAGAGAAUUUUAGAGAGAGUGAGAUUGGAGAAGAAGCUAGCUAAGAUUGUAUUAGCUCAGCUCCAAUCUGACAUGCAUAUAUUGUGCUCUGACAAAACCGUUAGGAAUGGAAUAUUCCUCAUUACAUCAUUCAAUCCUAGCCACUCGUUUAAUUACCCUAUGAGAUAAAGACAAGUGGCACAAGACUAUUACAUUUUCUGCUGCAUACUUGGACUGUGAUCCAAAGCUGCCUUUUAAACGAAGAAUAGAAACUUCUUUGUUCUAAUUACAUUUCAGCAAUCACACUUAUAAACCAACACUUAUAAACUUCUUUAUAGAAAUGCAGCAGAAUGACCCACAUUUUGGACUCCUACUGUGCAGCUUCUGGCCAACUUGUUAAUUUGGACAAGUCUAAUAUGUUCUUCGGUCCAGAUACCCGGAGUAAUAUCAAAAGAAGUGUGUGUUCAGUUUUGAAUAUUAAGUAGGCAGACAAUCCGGGGAAGUAUUUGGGUUUGCCGUCGGUUUGGGGUCGCUCAAAAACGGAGGCCCUUGGUUAUAUAAAAGAUCGACUUCUAAAGUUUAUUCACAGGUGGAACAACAAGGAGCUCUCUCCUGCUGGGAAUGAAGUUUUAAUAAAGGUAGUAGCCGCUGCAAUCCUGGCUUACUCGAUGACUUGCUUCAAGUUGCCAAUUACUCUUUGCAACGAGAUCAGUAUGGUGAUGGGUUCGUUUUGGUGGUGUGAUAAUGAUUCUGGGAGAAAGGUUCACUGGAAGAAGUGGGCAGAUUUGGGAGGGGCUAAAAGUUGUGGUGGACUUAGGUUUCUAGAUUUGGUAUCUUUUAACAAGGCUUUAUUGGCCAAACAAUGUGGGAGAAUCAUUAAUAACCCUUAGGUUCUAUGGGUCAGGAUUCUCAGAAGUUUGUAUUUUCCGAAUUCUGGUUUUCUAGAGGCUGAGAAGGUUUUCAGAGCCUCUUGGGCGUGGAAUAGCUUACUAUAAGGAAGAUAUGUUAUUCUUAGUGGUGCUAGAUGGCAAAUUCUGGGAGGCAAUUCUGUAAGGCUGUGGGAAGACUCAUGGCUCCUCCAAUCUGACAAUGGGUACCUCCGCCCAACUGCACGUCCCCUCCAUUGGGCCCAUGAUGGUUGCGGAUAUAAUUGAUUGGGAGCAUAAGCGCUGGGAGUUGGCGGACAUUGAGAACCUGAUUUCUGUGGAUGAAGUCAAUGAGAUCUUUACCCUUCCAAUUGGAGGUAAAGAUAUUCCUGAUUGUCUGAUUUGGCCUUACACGAAGAAUGGCACUUACACAGUCAAAUCGGGAUACCACUGGAUCAUGGGGGAAAACAAGCGAGCUCAGUCAAAUAGGAUUGAAUCUUCUCGCCAGGUGGAUGAGCAAGUCUGGAAUUGUAUUUGGGCUUGCAAAACUCUCCCAAAUUAUUCAUGUGGCGUGUUGUCCAUGGGAUUCUUCCUACCUUUGCUAGCUUCUUCAAGAGGAAGUUGAGUCCUUCUCCCAUCUGCCCUCUUUGCCAUGAUUUUCCUGAAUCUGUGGAGCAUGUUAUCUUCAUAUCCCUAUGGGCUCCAAAAAUAUGGUAUGCUAGUAAUCUAUCUUAUAGACCUGAUGAGCAAGCUUUCUCGUCGUUGGAUAAAUGGAUUUUGGCUAUUUCUUGCUGCUCUGUUUUCUCGAGCCUGGAGAAACAGUGGAUUUUAACUCAUGCUACCUUUGUGUGCUGGAGUAUCUGGAUAGCCCAGUGCUCUUUUAUUUAUGCUACACCAUUUAAUUUCUAUAAACAAAUCCGAAAAAUGACAGUUGGUCAUAUUGAAUUUAACCUUGAUUCCCUAUGAGUGUUUUGAGUUUUUUUAGGGGUUUUUUUUAUGAGGUUUUGGAGUUUGGCUUAUUUUAAGAAAUCGAUGAUAGUUUUGUAAUUUAUAAGAAGUUCGAAACUUCUUUGCUAUGUUGUAAAUGGCCUUUGAGUGUGUUUCUAAAGUCCAUUUUAUGUAGCUUUUUUUAUUUUAUUUUAAAUUUAUAAUUUAGGCUCCGUAUUGGGUAUAUAGUGAAUCUCCCUAACAAAAAGUACAAAAAGUUAUAGUUUCCUCUCAUUUUGAUACAAUUCCUACAAUAACUAUUUCAUUACAAUCUUCAACCUUACAAUUGUGUGCAAUUUCUCUCGUCUCCUUUGUGGUCUUGAUGCCUCUAUCUCUGCAUAAAGAACUCUCUCUCUUUCUAGAUCUCUCCUGAUAAAAUGUCUUCCUCAUUUAAGAAAAUGAUGCCAUCAGCACCCACCACACCAGAAAUGGUGCAGUCAGGAGAAAUCGUGAACCUUAACCAUCAGUCACAAUCACCCCCGCAUGCGAUGGUGACUAAAGAAAUUCGCAAGAGCUGAAAAAUGGGGCUGAUCUAGCCCUAGUUUGCAUUCUAGAAGCUCUCCUUCCAACUUGUUUUAUGAGACUUGAUGGGGCGCAGUAAUAUGAAAAUAAGUCAAAACGAUGGAGAUUAAGGUUACUAAAAAAGUCAAAUAAAACUCGAACUUAUUGUGAUUAUUAAAGAUUAAGAUUAAUUUAUGCGACAAAACUUAAAAUUCAAAAUGAUGAAAUAUAUAUAGAUUAAUUUGAUAAGAUUUGUGCAAUCCUAAUUUCGAAAAAAAAAAGGAAGCAUAUAUAUAUAUAUAAGUAAUAAUGCUAGGGACACCAACUUUGUGCACCGAAUUUGGAUCCCAAAUGAUGUCGCAUAUGACACAUUAUCACUUUGGUGUCUCCCUUAGGUUUUUUGUGUUUUUCACAAAAUCUCUUGAGGUAUUGGAAAUUCCACUAACCUCACAGAUGUGUCAAAUUGUUUUCACAACCCCUCCCAUUGAUUUUCCACCUAAAAAUUGUUGAUUCUGUCGCACAAAAAUCUCCAAAUGACAAUUUUAAUCUAAAAUCUUAGAUUGUGCAUACACCCGAGGUCUAAUCAUUGAGGUUAAUUUUGUCAUUUAAAUUUGAAAAGUUUUUUUUAAUGAAAUCAUCAAUUUUUUCGAUGAGAAAUUAAAGAAAGGGAUUUUGCGAAAAUAAUUUGAAAUUUCAAGGGUUUUUUAGUGUAAGUUCUGAAACUUGAAGGGUUUUUAUGAAAAGAUAAGGUGCUAGUGUAAAUAACUACAUAUAAAAGUCAUGUAUUUCUGUCUGUUCAAGUCGCAAAGUCCCAUUUACAAUUCUUUACCAUCUUCCUGCAAUCAAGAAAUGGACCAAGGACUAUAGAAAACAAAAAUAAAAAAUCGAUCGAUGCAUCAGUGGCUGGAGGCUAUGAGUUCUUGUAGAGAAACGUAGAGAGGAUGAACACGUUACCGUCAAUUUUGAAAGAAAUUUACGAACUUAUCCUUUAGCUAAUGUGGCUUAGUGUAAAUUGUUAGAUCAUUUAAUUGAUCAGAUUUAUGAAAUACGGAUAAAUGAACAACCUCUAAAUGCAAACGCUCUAAAUCCGAGUUACCAUCCUCAAUUCUAUCAAUAGAUAAAAAUUGUCUAUCCCCAAUUCUAUCAUAGUUCAUAUGGGUUCAAGUUGCCUUUGCUCUCCAGCUUUCGCCCCAUCCUUCCAAAUGUAUUGUUAAACUCCUGGACAAAGGAAAUUUCCAACUUCAGACAGAGUAGACUACCUUUUUCACUCACAUAAAGUUGCACCUAUUGGUCGUUAAACAAUCUUGGUCUUGGGAACGAUCUUUUAUGUUUUGGGUUAUUUACUCUAGUGGUCCUCAAACUUAUAUUCGAGUUGUAUUUUGGUUUCUCAACUAAAUUAUUCAUUCAAAUGGUCCACCAACUCUUUAUUAAUUGUUGCAUUGAUCUUACCGUUACAUUUUCUGUUAAAUUUAGUCAUCUGAGCAGCACAUGAUACAUUUGUGAAGGUAAAUAAGACUUUUGACACUGUAAUCCCAUCCCCAAUCCCCUAGCCACAUCCACCUCAACAGACCCCAGACUUGAACCCAGCACCCCAUCCAAGCUAUCCCACUCCAUCCCUGUCUCUUCCUCUCUCUGUCCCUCCCCUCAUCCUUCAAUUUCCUAAUCAAAGAAUUUUCAGUCAUCAUCCCCAUCAAAAUUGUCGUCGGGAAUACCACCAUGGUCAGUAUCUCUUAAUAAGCCUUGUAUGUCAUCUUUGAACAAAAUGUUUUCCCCUUGACAAAAAGCAGUGCUACAACAGUAUUUGUAGUUAGAAAAAACUGUUCAAUAAUAGUGUCUUCCAUUGAAAAUGAAUGAAACACAUUGCCUUACCCAGCAACUGAAUCUUUCUAGUAAUUUUUCAGCUUUUCUUUUGAGAGUUCAUCCAUCAUGUUGUAGACCUGAUAUAUAUUCCAUUUCAGGAAUGAACCUUUGGCCCUCUUCUUUGAUUUGGCUGGUUCUUGACCUUUUUUUUUUGUUGUGCCUUUCUCUUUUGUUCUCUCGUCUCUACUUUAGGGAAUGAGAAAUCUGGUCUGGUUGCGAUCUUUUGAUAUGUUGUUUGUUGGCCCUUGGAUGCAAGUUUCUUGAUUUUAUCUCUUAUGUUUCACCUUCUUGCUUUUUUCCUUUAUCCUCUUCACUCUGCAGUUCUUGUGUUAAUUUGUGAUCUCUCAACAAGGUAAUGACAGCUUCCUUUUCAUUUAUAAUCUCCAAGUAGGAAAUCUUCUCUGCAAGAAGUUGAUCAUUUUCUAGUUGUAGCUUUGUCAUGUAGGAUUUUUCCUCAUAAACCUCAAGUUGAAUGGAAUUCUUUUGAUAUGCUUCUUCCUUAACCAGCUUCUGCAGAUGUUGUUGUUGCUUCCUUAAUUCUUCUUUUUCAUUGUAUAGUAUCUAAAUCAAUUUAUUCUUUUUUAUGCAUGAUACUAUUGCAUCAUGGAUCUUUUGAUGCUCUCAUUUCUUUAUCCAAUUCAGCAUCAUUAUUGAUCUCCAUCAUAUACUCUUUUGUAAAUUGUAUUUCAUCCUCCUUGUAUUCUGGGAUUGAUCUAACAAUUUUCUCAAACAACGUUGUAUUAUUGUAUUCUGGGAUUUCAGUUUGGAGGUCAUCUUGUAGUUGGUGGUGUUGCUAGGCUUUAUGUUCUUGGUGCUCUUGCUCCUUUUGUUGUGCCACAAGGUCAUCACUCUCUCCUUUGUCAGUGACGUUGAGCCUCCUUUUUUGGAUAAUAACAGUGUUAUGUUUUCCACAAUAUUAGAAAUGAAAUAUUAGAAAGGAAUAAAAAAAAAUAAGAUUAGCAAAUUUAUAAACAUGUGUGUGUAUAUAUAUGUGUGUGUGUGUGUGUUUGUACACCCUCAAUUUAGUUUUCAAUUAUAAACAUUGGAUCAUUAUAGGUUAUCUUACCAAAUUUUUAAGUGUGAUAACGAAGGCAUCAUCCUCCUCUUCAUUUUCUUCUUCAGCAGUGUCAUCAUGUUCUUCAUUCACUUCUUCAGCAGCAUCAUUCUCCUCUUGAACUUUAGUGCUUUUGAUCUAUUUGUUAAGUAGAGUUAGUAUUAAGAGUGUACUUCUAUAACAUGGUAUUAAAAGUGUACUUCUAUGAAAUGGUAUCAAUAGUUUACUUCUAUGACAUGGUAUUAAUAGUUUACUUAUAUGACAUGGUAUUAAGAAUGCACGUCUAUGACAUGUUAUGAACAAUGUUGUCAUAUUAGCUGCAGAUUAUUUGAAAGCAAAGAGUACCUUUAUCUAGUCGUUCUUUAGAUGGUGAAGCUUCGCACUCAGUUGUUGAAGACUCCAUUUGAUAGCCCCUGGUGUCAUUUGUUCUCUUCCAGGAAUUGGAGUGAGUAGGUUAGAUCUUUGACACAACCAAUACUGCACAAUUUUUUUUUUGUUUUUUUUUUUGCAAUAUCACGUGUCAAUGACAAGACCUAACCCAAAUUCCACUUUGGAAUCUGCGCCAAGCCCUAUGCUUGUCCAACACCUGGCAGGUGCUGGGCUCACUUAACCAAAUUACCCUUCUUAUUAAAACUUAAAAAUUCUUCUAAGGUUUGACUUCUGCAGAAAAUUCGGCAAAGUUACCCCUGUAAAUUGCUUGUUUCCCAAAAUUUACACCUGUACAAAAUUGCAAUUCAUAUAUCCACAAACGUUUAGCAUGCACAAAGUUAGAACACACACAAUCCAGAUAAUGCUACGAAUUUGCAGUUUGGAGAUUUGUGUUCUUACCGGUAUUAGGAUUAGGCAUCCACUCACGCUUGGCUGCUUUUUUUUUUUGUCUUUCUUGUUCUUCUUUGCUUGUUCUAAUCCAAAAUACAUGUAGUCCAAAACUCCUUGAGCCCAAUUAUAUUUCCCCAUCUCUUCUAAGGUGUCUAUUGUAGUUGUAUAUGUCCAAGCGAGUGUACAACGAGAGUUGCAGAAGAGAUUGGUCAUGAAGAGUUGUACGAUUAUCAAUCUUGGUACAUCCAUAGGACCCUCUUCUGUUUCAUCUUUAAGUGCUAAGUUCAAGCACUUAUCAAUUGAAGUCUUUAUUAUCUUCUUAUAACCCAUGAAGUAUUUCUUCACAGAAUGCAAAUCCGGCCUUGUUGAGGUUGUUGUGCUUGGUAGCUUCUUGCCUUUGUUUGUCAAGCCAAAAAUUUCAGACACAUCUUGGCUUUUCAUCUCACUGUCACCAUCUUUAAACUUGAACUUCCUCGUCUUUGUGUCAUAGUCUUGUAUGAGUCUCACGAUGUCAUAAUUAGACUUCAUGUACUCUACCUUUGUUAACCUUUUCUAGAUAUAUGCUUCUAUGAGUAUCCAAAAAGGUGUCUUCGAUAGUAGUGUCAAGACAUAGUUCCGUUGUUCAGGUCUGUCUCUGAUGUUGACAAUUGUUGUUGCAAAAGUGAGCAUGUUGCUCUUGGUCUGCACAUAGUUUGGGUCAUCCCAUCUGUUUGGCUUCUUGUUUGUUUUCGUUUUGGAUGAUGAUUGUUUGCCUUUUGGUUUUGAGGUUGGUCUAGUUUGUUCUUUCUUCAUCCUUUCUUUGGUAUACCUGCAUUAGAAAUAACAACAUGACGGCCAUUAAUCAAUAUGACAGUAAAGUAGCAGUGUUAUUACCCUAUACUGGAACUUUACAAUGGUAGACAUGCAUUAGAAAUAUGAUUUCAUAGGAAACAAGCAGUGUUAUUACCCUAUACUGGAACUUUGCAGCCAUUAAUCAACUUAACAGUAAAGUAGCAGUGUUAAGAAUGGGUAUAUGACUAAAUAUCUCUUUCCUUUUUGAGUUGCAGAAAAUUGACUAUUUUAUAGUCCUAUGCAGUCAGUCCAAUAGUGAAAAUCCAAUAUAUUUUCAAGAUUUUGUCUUGGAUUCGCAUCUAAAAUACUGUUAUUACCCUAGACUGGAACUUUACUAUGGUAGACAUGCAUUAGAAAUAGGAUUUCAUAUAAAACAGGCAGUAUUAUUACCAUAUACUAGAACUUUAUAGCGGUAGAUAUGCAUUAGAAAUAGGAUUUCAUAGGAAACAAGCAGUGUUAUUACCAUAUACUGGAACUUUACAGCCAUUAAUCAACAUGACAGUAAACUAGCAGUGUUAAGAAUGGGUAUAUGACUAAAUAUCUAUUUUCUUUUUGAGUUGCUGAAAACCGACUAUUUUAUAGUCCUAUGCAGUUAGUCCAAUAGUGAAAUCCAAUAUAGUUUCAAGAUUUUUUCCUUGAUUCAAAUCUAAAAUACUGUUAUUACCCUAGAUUGGAACUUUACAGCAAUUAAUCAACAUUACAGUAAGGGUUUGGUUUGUAAAUGUCUUACCUUUGAAGCGUUUUCUUGUUGAAAUUGUUCUCUGAAAUUUUUUCUUUGUUUUGUAGGUGGAGGUCAGUGUAUGGUGUUUGUUUUUGAAAGUAGAUCAAGCUUGGUGGUGGUUAUAGAGUUUCAAUUUGCAUAGAUGAAGACUUGUUGAUGAAGACGGUGAAAUGAAAAGACGUUUCGGAGAGAUGGUCUAAUGAAGUCGAGUGCUUGAAGUUAAGUUACGGUUUUCGAGAUGGUAAAAUGUUCGGGCUUUUUUAUAAAAUUGGGCUGGGGUUGUUUUGGGUUUUUUUUGAGUUUUUUUUUUUUUUUUCUGUUGGGCUUGAUCAGUGGCAGUCCUAUAAUUUAUAGGAACUUCAACACCAAUUUCUUAUAUACAAAUGAAUUUUGGGUGUGUUUCUAAAGUGCAUUCUAUAUGGAGUUUUUUUAUUUAUAAAUUCAGCCCAUAUUUUGGGUAUAUUAGUGAAGCUCCCAAUAAACUAAUGGUGGGCUAUGCAACAAAGUGGAGAAAUUGUUUAUUCAAGGCAUGUUGCAGUCGGUUGCAACAGUAGUAGCUCUAACCUCCUAUAAAAAGAGAUGAAACCUUUGUCCAAAAACACACCGAGCCUUACAUUUCUCUUGAGCUAUCUUUUCCUUCCUCCAAUUCUCCUAGUUCUAGUUAUAAAUUUUCUGUUUUAGUUUUUAUGGGAACUAACUCCCUAGCUAAGGCUAGGGAGAAAGCUUUUAAUAUGAGGGUAAUUUUUAUUAGUUUGAUCCAAACUUAAGCUUUAAUGUUAAUUUGUAGUUUUUGUUCAAAUGGAUAGUUUACUUUUUAAUUAAUUGAUGAAUGUUUGAUAAUCUAUUUCAUGGAUUCAAUCAUGGUUUUUCCAUUGUAUAGUAAAAACUUUCAUGCUUUUAAAAGAGAAGAGAAUUACUAAAUAUUAAUAGAAUUUCAAUGAAGAUUAUUUUUUGAUAGUUUGUUGCCAAUGGUACAAGUUAUGCUUAGAAUACUUCUAAAGGAAAUUAAAAAGAGCUUUAAUUAUUUUGAACAACUACAAUGGAAAAUAUUUUGUGGAACAAAUUAAUAAGAAUUGCCUGCUUAUGUUAAAAGUGGAACCCCAAUGCCUUAGUGUUUUAAUCAAUUGAAUUUUCUUUAAAUCAAAUCUCAUUUAAAUCUACUUCUCAAUCAUAAUUGUUCUUUUUCAGCUAUGUUAUUUUCUUUACAUCGCUCUCUGUGGAUAUGACAUUCGGACUUUCGAGCUACACUGCUAUAUGACACCUCCCCUUGGGUUUUGCAAGCGGUCAAUCAAUGUGCAACUUUCUCUUUUCUGCACGAAAACUAAAAUAAGAAAGAAAAAAAAAAAAAAAAAAAGGGAGCCGAUUUUCUCACUCCCUUUUACUUUUUAAUACUUUUUAAUUAAUUUUGUUCUUUUUAUUCUUUAUCUUUCCUAUUCUACCCUUACCCUACAAUUCUCUUUAAUAAACAUGUAUCACUUACUAAAAUUAUGAAAGAAUUAAAAUCUGAGAAUUAUGCAUACCUUGCUCUCUGCAUAUCUUAGCUCCUAAUGACAGUUUGGUUAGUAGCAUUCUUUGGUUCUUAUACCAUAUUUAUAUAUUAGCCCAAAAAAAUUAUUAUCUAUUAACUAUAGUCUAUAACAAAGAUAAAUAGUACUCACAUACCUGGUAAAAAAAACUAAGAAUUUCGCAUACAAAUACUCUCAUUUCUAUCCAUUUUCCAUAUAUAUAUAUAAUUUUAUUUUAUUUUGGUUUUAUUUUUUGUUAACUUUUCUUAAUUUUAGUUAUCAAAACCUUAAUAUAGGGUAAGGGUAGAAUAGGAAAGAGAAAUAACAAAAAAGAACAAUAUUGAUUAAAAAAAUAUUUUUUUUUAAAACAAAAGGGAGUGUAAGUGGGGAAAAAGAGAGUGGAGAAAUCACCACCCAAAAAGAAAUUAAGUAAACAAAAGAGCUCGAUAAACUUAUGCACAGCCCCCAAAAUCUUCUCCCAAGUUAUCUUCAAUCCAUAAAGUCAUCAAAAAACCAUUUAUUUUCACAUCGAACCCCGGGUGCCUCCAUUUCCAUUCUCAAAUUUGCAGACAAGGUUACUAUAGAUCCAAUGUUGUUGAUUUGGGGCUCAUUUCAGAUACAUUGGUUGAAUAGUCGUGGCGGCCAACAUGCGGCCCUCUAAGAGCAUGUCCAGAGCAGGAGGCCUGCCGGGCAACAGGCCCCCCCACGCCAAGUUUGGACCUCCAGCGCUACCAAUCCAGCCCGGGCAAGCCCAAGGGCAAAUUCUACUUGGGUUCAAGCCCGAAGGCGGUGACGUCAGCGAGUGAAAAAAAUUGAAAAAAAUACCAAAAAAUUAUGGAUGUUUUCCCUAUAAAUACAUAACAAUUUUAUUCACUUUCCACACCAAAUCCUCAUACAAACUCUUCUCCUUCUAAUAUUUGUAAAUUAUAAUCUUUUUUUUUUCCUGCAUUUGUAAAUUGUGUAUAUUUUCUUAAAUAUUUAUUUUUUUCUUGCAUUUCUAAAUUGUCGCAUAUUCUUUUUUUUUUUUUUUUCUUUCUCUUGCCCUAGCCUUUUGUGGUGGAACCAAAAAAGACAAGGAUGUGAAUAGUGGCAGCCCUUCCUUUACCUUUGCCUUAGCCUUAGCCUUAGCCUUAGCCUUAGCCUUUUGGAGUGGACAUGCUCUAAUUGUUUGUCCACAGAUGAGCUUACAGUCACAGAAACAACAAAUGUAAUAUGCUUUCAGAAAGAAAAAAAAACAUACGGUGCCAUGAAAACAAUAUGCUUCAUUAUUCUGAAAUUUUCUACCAUCGUUUAUAUAUGAGAGAUUUAAAUAAAACCUACCCAAUUGUAUGGAGGUGAAGUGCCGACUAAAUUGUUUCUGUAUUGGAAGUUUCAAAGAAGUCAUCCUUCCUGUGAAAUUUCCUUUCCCUAAUCACCACUUGGAAUUCAAAAGAUAAAAAACACCAUCCAACCGAAACUCAGCCCUAAUCUUAAAGAACAAUAACAAAGCAUUACAGUUGCUUCACUACUGCAUAUAUAUCAUUAACAUGAAAAAAGAUCAGGCAGACAAUUUGAAUUUGUUAGCGUUUGACAAUGUGAAACAUCAAAUGCAGACCCGAAACAUGAAACAAAAGAAAAGGUUUAGCAUUUGAAUUCAAAGAAGAGUGUUUCUUUUUAUUUUAGGCACUAAUGCAACAUAAGUAACUUCUAUUCGUAUCAAUGUAGCAACCAUGUUUAGUCCUAUUUAGUGCAUUAACAAGUUAGUGCCUGUUCAUUCAGAAUGUAUCAAACAAUAUACAUCAUUAACUGAAUAAAUUAUCGAAAUAAAAUAUUUCAAUUAUCAUUUACAUAUUAAAGAUUUUAAUAAAAUUUCCCCAACAGAAAGGUUUUACGUAAGCAAGACGGCUUAUGAUGGCAGUUGAAAAAUUAACUAAAUUGUUUCUGCAUCGUAAGAUGCAGAGAAGUAAUCCCUCCCAAUUAAUUACCCUUUUCCUAAUUGCAACUUGAAUGAAAGAUAUCAACAAUGACCAUCCAACCUGAAUAUAACAAAGCUGAUGCAGGAUGUGUAGGACCUAAAUUUAUUAGUUUCCUAGAUACUCUAGUUUUCCAAAUUCUAGUAGGAUUUCUACUUUUCCAGAUUUCCAGAUUUCCAGAUUUCUAGUUUUAAGUUACCUAAACUCUCUAAUUCCUUCCCCUUUCCCUUCGUCUCUUCGAUCCCUAAUUCUUCUCCUCGAUCUCUUAUUUCUUCUCUGUUCUAUUGCUAAGUAUUUUCUCUAAAACCUACGGGCCGUUCUACAUCAAAAGCACUAUUAACUUGCAGAGUGUGUGUGUGUGUGUGUGUGUGUGUGUGAGAGAGAGAGAGAGAGAGAGAGAGAGAGAGAGAGAGAGAAACCUAACGCCUGAUUUAUAAUUUGUGGUUCGUGCUGGGCGGGAAAAGAAAAGAAGACGAUAAAAGAACUAGUCCGCUAUAACAGUGAAAAUAUGAUAAAAGAACUAGUAUACACAUGUAAGAAACAGAUCAUGGAACAACAAAUUAUGCCUACAAACUACUUCUACAAAAAAAACAUAGAACAAAAUUUUUCAAAAUCAUGUGGUUGCAGCAGCUCCAUUGACCACAUAAUCAAGGGGAUGAGCCUAAAUUGUAGGGGAUGUGAUGUAUGAAACCUUCCCGUUUCAAUUUUCUCAUUGUAAGAAAUAACAAAAAACUUCAAACAGUUAAAAUGUUGGAAGUCACUCCUUUCACAUAUGUUUAGACAGCCAAGUGAAAGGACAAAAAGCUAGUUCUACACCAAUUGACUCAAUGUCCAGGGCCAAUUAAAACCUUUUUUCUGCAAAUUACAUAUUUGCAUUACAUUCAGGUAAGGGGAGGAUCCAUAAAGAAUUCAAGAUUACAGUCUUCAUUUUACAAAAUGACGACUUGUUCGUUAGGAAUCAUCCAUCAAUUCAACAGUUACAUACUCAUAAACACAAGCAAAGACACAGGGUGACCCUUGAAAGGCAACCUCACAAUCAAAUCAUAACUGUGCUUCUCUUGAGUCUUGACCACAAAAACCAUGUGAAAAUCUAAAUUUAAGAUGUGAUCAAAUUCCCUACUCUCAGAAACAUACUAUGCCAGAUCAAAACAAACUUCAAAAACCCUGUUACCAAUUCCAUUUCUCAACUCACCUUUUUCAGUGUUACUCAUAAUGUUAUUAUUCCUCAUAUGGUAUUUUCAUUCUCAUUUUUUAAAACUGAAAAAUAAAAAGAGGUUCCAUAAAUGAUCAUGACCCACAAUUGGUACAUGUCACAAAUGAGAUAGAAACCCAAUUGAACAAAACAUGAAAAAUUGCAUCUUAACAUGGAAAUUAAAAGAAGUUUAUAUAAAUGAACCAAGACAUACAAUUUGUUUAAAGAUCAAAAAGCAGACCACAUAUCUCAGUUUCAGCUACAGGCAUUAUUUGAAACCAGCAUAUCAAACACAGGAAUCAACAAAAACAUAUGAAAGAAGCACAUGAUUUUUUUUAAAUGCAUAUUUCUUUGAUACAAACAGCGAUAUAAUAUAUGACCACCCAAAGAAAGAAAAAAUGAAUUGCAGUGUACCAAACCCAAAAGCUAAAGCAACAAUUACGAAGAUAGAUACAGAGAUAAAAGUCUAACAGUAUAGAACAGUGAAAGAGAACUUGGAAGUGAGUGAAUUACAUGCAGAAAUGCAGCCUUUCUUCAACUUGCACAGAGAGAGAGAGAGAGAGAGAGAGAGAGAGAGAGAGAGAGAGAGAGAGAGAGAGAGAGAGAGAGAGAGAAACCUAACGCCUGAUUCAUUUGCAUAUUUCUGGAAUGUAUAUAAGCCUAGUAAACUAGAAGCAGUUGGUCAAACUUUCCAUCAAAGAAUUUAAUUUGUUAGGAUUUAGUGAUGUAAAACAUCAAACUAAAAUUCAAAAGGCAAAACAAAAGAAACAGUUUUAACAUUUGAAUUCAGAACAGAUUAUUUCUUGUUACUUUAGGCACCAAUAAAACAGUAACUUCUAUUCAAUCCUUUUUAAUGCAUUCAGAAAGUCUCAAUACAAUAUGCAUCAUUAGUCAAGAAUUAGGAUGGGAAUUGAAGUGCCAACUAAAGUGUUUCUGCAUCGGAAGAUGCAGAGAAGUAAUCCCUUCCAAAGAAUUACCCUUUCCCAAAUCGCAACUUGAAUGAAAGAUAUCAACAAUGACCACCAACCUGAAACUCUGCCAUACUUAGUUCUGAAACCACAAUAGCGUAGCACUAUCAAUUGCUUCAUUACUGCAUAAAUAUCAUUAACAUGAAAAAGAACAUGUAUCCUAUAUAAAUUCAUAUUUGUUCCAGACAGCAUCCAAGCCUACAUGAUUAUCCAUAUAUAACAAAAAUUCACGUUGAUGCGUAUUUAUGAAACAACUCUUCACUAGAGAUACUCAAAGCUUAAAAACUUCAGGAAGGCGUAUAAACUCACUGGUUAUUGGAUUGCGCACAACAACAGGUCAUUGAUGAAUGGUUUGGAAUAACUUAUUUUUUCUUUUCCUAAGAAUAGUAUGUGCAUUCUGAGUCCUAAUAAAGUCACACCAACAAAUAUUCCAUGGUGCAAUUCUAUCUCUCUCCAACAAUUCCGAUUCUCAUCAUAAACUAAUGAAUAUGUAGCCUAAUACACUAUGAGAAGCAUCAACAUAUGUCUGUGUGCAAGUGUGUGUCUAGUAGAGAGAUUCCUGCAUCUGACUGAUAACAGGUGCAAACAAAUUAUGCAGAGACUAUAAAAAGAGAACUAGUAUACAAAUAAGAAUUAGUCCCCUGUAGCAGUGACUCUACAAAAAAAGAACUAGUAUACAAAUAAGAAACGGAUCAUGGAACAAUAAAUUAUGCCUGCAAACUACUUCUACAUAAACAUUGCACAAAAAAUGUUUAAAUCUUGUGGUUGCAGCAGCUCCAUUUACAACAUAAUCAAGGCGAUGAGCCUAAAUUGUCAAUGAUGUGAUGCAUGAAACCUUGCCCAGCAAUUGAGUGAAACUGAAACCUCCGUUCUAAUAAGGGAAGAAGCGCAACCUAAUUGUUAAGAGCAGGGGAUUUGAGAAAAAAAGUUGUACAUAGUUCUGGCAUUUAUCCAUAACUACAAUUUAAAAUCCAUUCCAUUACAGGAACUUCCACCACAACAAAUGAAUGAACUCAGAGUUAUAUCUUACGUGGACACAAUUUAUAAAAAUUUGUCUGAGUGGACACAAUUGUUUAGAUGUUUUUUGUUUCCUGUUUCAAUUUUCUCAUUGUUUGAACGAAUGCCAUGCCGUAGUCUUAUGACAGCAACGCAAGGAAUAAUAGAAAACUCCAAACAGUUAAAAUGUUGGAAGUCACUCUUUUUUCACAUCUGUUCAAACUGCUAUUCUCUGGAUCUGUGAAAGGAACAGAUAUAUUCAUUCAUGCCCUAGUCUAAAGAAACAAUGAUAAAGACCCAACAAAAAAUGAGAAUUCCAGUGUACCAAAUUAUCAAAACGGAGAACUAAAACAACAAUUGAAAGAAGAUACAGAGAUUAAAGCCUAACAGCACAAAACAGUGAAAGAGGACUUGGAAGUGAGAGAAUUACCUGCAGAAAUGUGGCCCUACUUCAACUUUCAGAGAGAGAGAGAGAGAGACCAAACUUGCCAAUAUAGUCAGAAAAUGUACAUCAAUGAAACAGCAAGACCAAACUGAAAAGGAAAUAAAGAUCAAAGUGGCAUGUUUGUAUUACUGGCUCUACAUUAGGUACAAAAAAUCAAUAGAAUAAUGUAUUACAAUUAAUGGUUCAUGAAAAAGGCUUUCAUAAAAUACAAUUGAGUUUCAUAUGUAAACAAUAAAGCUAAGCUAAGCUGCACCCAUUAUAGCAAAAGUUGAUGGUUUUGGGCUUGGAACCACAUGCCUUGACAUGAGCUUCAGAGGAAGAAUCUCCUGCUCAGAAAAACCAACAUUUUCUUGAGCCAUCUCCUCUGCAUCUUCAGACUUCCAACUUCCAAGGGGUAUGAAGCUAGGACAAUCCGGAACAGAGGAAGCCACUGCAGAAGACACUUGCUUAAUUGGUUUAACCUCUUCAACCCCAUUAUCCAGUUUAGUCACAAAUGGGUGGUUCAAGAGCAUAGCAGCAGUAAACCUCUCUGAAGUGUUCCACAUAAAGCAACAUUGCAAGAAAUCUUUAGCCUCUUUUGAUAACCAACCAGGAAUGGCAGGAAUUCUUGAAACAAGCAGGGCAGUUAACAGGUCCCGAACGUCAAAUACGGCGCCAGGUGUGAAAUCCCAUGGAUGCCUCCCAGUUAACAUUUGCAACACAACACAACCUAACGCCCAAAUAUCAGAAGGCUGCUGUUGAAUUCCAUAAACCACAGCUUCUGGAGACAAAUACAUUGGUGUGCCUCCAAAUGAAGGCUUCUCCCACUUCUGAUUUGCCUUCUUUGUGAGCCCCAAGUCUCCGAUUUUUGGCACAAAACAAGCACCACCAGAGGAACCAGCGGCAUCAGACACAAGCAGAAUAUUCUCAGGCUUGAGAUCACAAUGCACAAAACCCCUUUCGUGGAUGUACUUAAUCCCUUUCAAAAUCGACUCUAUAUACUUUCUGACUUGGAAUUCACGCAACCCAAAACCCCUUGAUUUCUCAAUCAAAUCCGCCAUUGUUCCUCCAUCCGCGUACUCCAAGAACACAUUGAAUAAAUGACGGCCAUCAGCGCCAAUCGUCUCAUCCUCUCCAUAGCAGUUGAUAACAAAAGGGCAGUGACGAAAAAUGUAAAGAAGAAUAUCUUCCCCCAUCAGAUCAUGCGCCUGAGAGGCCAAUGUCGAUUUCACGGCCACAAUCCUCGGCACACCCUUCAAACACAACCUGGGUUUUUUCACGAAACCCAAAUAAACCGACCCGAAUCCGCCUUGGCCGAGCAUCGGCCCUCGAACCCACUCGCAGCCACUUAGUGUAACUGUCAAGUAAUGAUCUGCAUCAUCUGCAGAAUCGUCUACAACUAUUAUCUCAUCAUGGGUUGCUCUUUUUCUCUUGAGACCCGCCAUUGCUUUUGUACACUUCGUUCAAAAGUGAAGAACAAAGCUUUUUCCGAAGAUACAAAGAUUCUGGGUUGUAGAAGAAGAGCAGAACUUGUGGGCUAACAAAAACAAAAGAGACGACGGAGAACAAGAGCAGAACUUGCGGGUUGUAGAAGAAGCAGUGGAAGCAGAUCGCAGAGCGAUUGAUGAACGAACAAGUCGAUGAUGAUGAUGAUGAUGAUGAUGAUGAUAUGAAGAAGAGAGUUGGAAUUGAAAGAAACCCUUUAGGCUUUACGAAAGAUCUGCGUAUUCUUGACGCUGUUGGGGUUUUUCGAAAUCCAACUUUCUCUUUCCUAGUUGCGUUGGGAAAUUGGGUAUAUAUAACUUUCCAACGGUCAUUUUUUUCUUUUCGCCGCGGCCAUUUAGUGCGCUCUAAUUAAUAAUCGAAUAAAAUAUAUUAUUUUUCUCUUUUUUGAAGUCAAAUUUGAAAUAGCCUCGUAAAUCUGCACCUGUGAACUUAUUUGUAAUUUAAAUUUUUUAGAUUUUGUCGCGGACAAAAUCUUGGAGACGAGGUUAAAAAAAAAUAAUUGUCAUUUUAUUCCAUGUCUUUUUUUUAUAUUAUAUUUCUUGUAUUUUUAAUUUUAUUUUUUUAAUAGAUUAUUCAAGACAAAAUAAAAAAGAGGAAAACCAUUACACAUGACUCCUCAAGUGAAUAAUGCCCCCAGUUGGUUCCAAUGAUGCAUUCUAUGUUAGAAAUAAAGGCACUAUUACUUUCUCUGAAGGAAAAUACUCCCCCACAUCAUGAUCCAGUGGAACCGCCUCCGCCAAUGAUUGCAUCGUCCUUGUACUCGAUUGUAUCAUACUAUGAGGACCGAGAGUAUAUCAAUUGUAUGAUGAGUGAGAUGUGAAUUUUAUAAUAAAUAUGGACACGUAGCAAUUGAAAAUCUUAUCCGAAAAUUUAAUCUUAAAUUUUUUUGAAAAUCUUAUCUGGAAAUUUUAUCUGAAAUUUGAGAUGAAAAUUUUAUAAUAAAUAAUCACGUGGCAACCGAAAAUUUUAUCCAAAAAUCUUAUCAAAAUUAAUGGUUUAAAUAUAAAAAAUAGAAAAUAAAUUAAAGUAAAUAGUAAUUGCCCUUGCCCUUUGGGGUUGAAACAAAAAAAGCAAUGGCUACCAUUAUUCACGUGAACAGUGACAAACCUUGCCUUUCCUUUGCCCUUUGGGGUGAAGAUGCUCUUAGACUUCGACAACCCAGCUCUCUCUCUCUCUCUCUCUCUCUCUCUCUCUCUCUCUCUCUCUCUCUCUCUCUCUCUCUCUCUCUCUCUCUCUCUCUCUCUCUCUCUCUCUCUCUCUCUCUCUCUCUCUCUCUCUCUCUCUCUCUCUCUCUCUCUCACACACACACACACACAGAUAGCUUUUAGACCCACCCCUUCCCUCUUGUUAGUAAGAGGUGGGCAUGAUCUGGUUCUGCCUAGUUCUCACCUAAAACCGAAAUAUAAAUCAGUAUUAUUCAUCUAGUGUGGUAUGGUCUAUUUAUUGACUAAAAUGACUAGGAGAACCGGACUUGGUUCUAUGGAAUUGCAAUUAAUAUUGUAUCCAAUUAUAUUGAGAUUUUUCCACAUUAAUUUAUAAUUUUUUUAUAAAAUUAUUUGGAUAUGAUUUAUUUAAUUAUUUAUUUAGAUGAGGUAGUAAAUUUUCCUUAAAUUGUAAAAGAUUAUAGGCUCGAGCGAACAAAUAUGGCCUCAUAAAAACCUUACCCAAGAAAUUAUUUGGAUACGCUAUUGGAAUUGACAUGUCUUCCAAUUAAGUUACACACUCGAGCGAACAAAUGUGUUCUAAUGGAUACCGUAUCCACUAUGCAAUUAAUACCAUAUCCAUUAUUGAGUUUUUUCCACAUCAAUUUAUAAAGUUUAUAGAAGUAUUUGGAUACGCUUUCAUCCUAUUGAAAAGUUGUACAUAUUAAAAAAAGUAAAUUGUUGUAGAUCUCCUCAAAUUAGGACCCUAAUCGAACUUAACUCCAUGAACUAAAAAGUUAGCCAAUUUAACGCCUUUCGUUAAAUUUUAUCACAUUUCAUCUAAAAUUGCAUCAUUAGUGGCAUGCGAGACACAUGUGCAAUAUAAUUGGAGAGCAAUAUAGUUCUUCUAACCCAUUUUCCUCCCACUAUUCAUCUUCCCUAAUAGUUGAGGCCAAAUCAAAAACAGCGGAGCCCUAAAUUCACAAAUUCCAUCAUUACAGACAAUUGUUAUGACAUACCCUCCCAUUGCAUACAGUUGAGAAUGAGGAGAAGAAGAUGAAGUGGUUAGAAGAUGCGAAGGAACAUGCCUCGAGCAAAUGGUUCAGCUGAGUCCAACUUCAAAUAGCUGGAGCAAGAGGUUCUCCGUGUGUUCUAGAGAUAAGGUGCCUUCAGUCCAAUCCAUAGUCUAAAAUAUUGAUAAUAUCAACAAAAUAUCGAGGAUAUUAUCGUUUUUUUUUAGUCACGGAUUCGGUACGUAUCCAUACACAUAUCAUAUAAAUAUCGACAAUAUCGAUGAUAAUAUAGGAGAAUAUCGAUAUCGAUAAUUUCGCUCACACUUCAGCAAUAUUUUGUCAAAAUAUCGCUAUAAUAUCAAAAAAUAUCAAUGCAAUGGAAAAAAUGAAAAAAAAAAAAAAAACACACACACACACACACAAAGCACACAUGCAAAGGGGAUUCAAACCCCUGCCAUUUCACUCCUCCAAUGCCUUAACCACCACGUUGCUUAAGUUUUUGUGAUAAUAUGCUAAAAUAUGUAUACUUUACUUGUUUUGUUUUGAACUAUUUUUGCAAAAAUUAGAUUUUCACAUGAGAAUGUGAGUCUUUGACCUUUCCUUUUUGGGAUCAAAUCGAGCGGCUUAUGGAAAGAAUCUGAGACUCAAUCUUCAAAUGAUUUUGCUUAUGGACAACGUCAACUAAUCUCGGAUCCAUAUGGGUGACAUGUUAACAAUUACAUGCAAAACUAUUUGGGGAUUUAUCAUUUGAUGACUACUCUUCAUACUACACUUACUCUACACAUAGAGAUGAUGAAGAUAGUGAAAAAUUUGAACCUCAUAUGAACUCUAUGUGGUACUAAAUCACUCAUGUAUCUUUCGAUGCAAUGUAUAAAGUGUAAAAUAUUAUAGUAAAUCAUUAUAUAUAAAUGAUUAUGGUGUGUUUAAUCUUCUUUCAUUAAUUACUACAUAUUUUCUAUACUAACAGUGUUCUUCAGCUUGGUGUAUAAUCAACUUAAAUCAGUUAAACCCAUCAUGUAAUGCAUUUUCUUCCAAUUUUUUGUGAUAAACUAAUAGAUAAUUGACUAAAUAAACAUCCUCCAAAGUUUCAAUAAAAAUUUCCAAGUUUUUCUUACAAUUUCCGUGGUUUUUAUUCAAUUUUUAUCUAUAUUGGUAAUAUCUUGAUAUUUCCAUCGAAAUUUCUGUGUUUUUGAGCUACCGAUAUUUCUGAUACCAUCGAUAUUUUAGACUUUGGUCUGAUUUGACAUAAAUUAUCCCCAUCAUUUGUUACCAAGUUAACCGAGCCUAGUCCUGGUGCAAAAUUUGUAUUUACACGUCUAUCAAUGGUUGUUAAAAGCCCAAUGCUCCACAAUGACAUUUUUAGUUUCAAUUUUUUUUUUGGACAGAAACAUUUUAUAAAAUUUGUAAGGCCAUCUCCAACUGAUAAGGCUAAACCUAAAAUAUCCCAAAUUAUAGUCCAAAAUCUCUCCCAACCCAGGAAAAUGAAGGGACCAAAAUUUGGGAAAACCCAAACUUGGACCCAAAUAGCAGUCCAAGUAUUUCCUGGACCCAAAACUAUUCAUGGAGCCCACCUGCAUCUGAAGCAACCCCAAUGUACAAAGAAUCUGACGUGGGCCCUAGCUCUUGCUGUGCUGCUGCUUUUUGGUAGCUUGUUACACCACAUGUCAAGCUGCUGUGAAGUUGCCUUUGGAAUCCAACGGCAACAAUUCAAUUUGUUUUUUUUAAAUUCUAAAUGUAACUUAAAUCAACGAUCUAGAUUAAAUCUAAACUAUUUUAUUGGUAAAAAAAAAAUGAUCCAACAGCUGAAAUUUAAAUCCAAGGGUCAAAAUAAUAUUUUAAAUUAAUCUAGAUCAGAUCCACCCUCAAAACUCACUCCAAACUCUAUAAAUACUCAUCCAUUUCUCAAAUAAUCUACCAAAAAUAUUUUAUCUAUUUGUUAAUUUAUUUUUCCUUUGUCAAUCUCAUCAAUCUCCUUUCAAUCUUGUUGAAGAUGUCCACAAAAUCUCAAAGAGGUGUGAAUUGGAGGCUCGAAGAAGAUGAGGCAUUGUGUAAUGGGUGGGUUUCUGUCAGUGAAGAUAAGGCUAUUGGCACCAAUCAAGCAAGUGACACAUUUUGGAAGUGUGUAUAUCAAAAGUUUCUGGAAAAUGAUCCGGGCAUUAGUGGACCCGAGCGACAAACAUAUCAAGUCAUUGCUUCUCGGUUCAAGACUAUCAACCAACAAUGUUUUCUUUGGAAGACAUGCUUAACUAAGACCAAUACGAACCUACAAAGUGGCUCAAAUCUAUAUGAUGUGGUAAGUAACCAUUCUUAUUAUAUCUUUAAAUUUAUAUUUGUAAUUUUAUUCAAUUCCAAACUUAAGUUUAUUUUUUCAUGCGUAGGAUGUGUAUGCAAAACCGAUCUUUUUUAAUGAUAAUAAGCCUCCAAAUAGGCCUUUCAAGUUGUACCAUGCUUGGGAAAUCUUAAAAGAUUGCCCAAACGGGAACUAUAUAAAUGAGCCUCCCACACAACGCUCUUCUGGAGUUAGUGCAAGUAUGGUGAAUUUGGAUGAUGACACAGACGAUAUCACCAUGCCUAGUCCAAGGCCUGAGUGACGAGAUAAACAAAAGGAUGCAAAAAAAAAAAAAAAGGAAGAUGGCUGACCCUUCUCAACAAGCAAGGGAUAAGUACUUGAAAUCAUUGGUUGAGCAAGGUAUUACUUUCGAGGAGGAUAGGAGAAGAAAGCUCAACAUAUUGGACAAGUUUGUCCAAGAUCAAGUUGAUGCUUAUGCAUAUCAGAAGCAAUAAAAUAAGGAGCCCAAAAACAAAAAAUAAUGUCCAUGGACGUCAAAUUUACUCCAAGAAAAAGAAGUAUUGGGGGGAUAAACAAGAUGAAAUUAUGCAAAACAUGCACCUGGUCAACAGUCUACCGUUAAUCUUGAAGACAACUCGGGGGACUAUUAUCCAACCCGAUGGUGGUUAUUAGUUUAUUCCUAUUGGGUUUCAUGUAUGGUGAAUUUGAAGUGUUGUGUGCUUUCUUUUAGAAUUAUGUUGUGUGUUUUCUUUUGGAAUAAAAUUAUAUUUGUGGAAUUUCAAAUUUUUAAGGUCAAAUUGUUCAAAAAAUUUAAUUAUGAAGUCAUUUAAAAGAUUGAAUGAAGAAAAGUUAUCCAGAAAAAAAAAAUUAAACUUAAACCAUUCUUAAACAAUUUAAUAAAGUUGCAGACUUAAAAUUUGAGUCCGGAGGGUUGGGAGAAAAAACGAUUUGAGUAUGGGCAAAACCCAAAUAGUUAUUUUUUUUAGGGGAAAAAUUUAGGUUUAGCCCCAAAUGAGUUGGAGAAGGCCUAAGAGCACAUCCACAAUUUGUAAUGGCAAAACACAAGGGGAGGCAAAGGUAGUUACUUUGCAAGUGAAUAGUGCAUGCCCUAGCAAUUUUUUUGAUGCAUUCUCACCCAUUGCGAUGGCAACCCAAGGGCAACCACUAUUUACAUGAGUUAUGAAGAGGAAAAUUUGUAUGAAUUUUGGUGUGGGAAGUAAAGACCAUGGCUAGGUAUUUAUAGAAAAAAAAUUAUGAAUUUUUUGGUAUUUUUUUCUUUUUUUAUUUAUUUAAAUUUUUAUGGUAUUUAAAUUGGCCGCAGACGUCAACUUGCCCAUUCAACAGCCAGGCAAGUCUUGCCUUUGGGCUUAUCUAGUUUCAUGGGGGCCACUUCUUGCCAUGAACAUUUUUCCUUAAUGAGGGUUGUUUUUGGAGCCUAGGCCCAAAGUGCUCUAAAACAAAUGCAACAUAUCACUAAGGAAACAAUAGACAAUAUUUUUUCCUCGCCAUAAGGUAUUUUCCUUACUGUUUUACCAUAAGGCGUCCUCAAGCAGUCUUAAUUUCCAAAGAUACAAGAGAUAAUAACGAGGUGGUAUCUACUAGUGUAAUUUGUGUCAUCUUCUGCCAAGUCAAAUCUAGUGCUUGGGGAUUCUUUAGGACCUUUAACAAAGCCACACUUUAUUUUGGGUGCUGAUUUUCUCACUUUUGUUUUGUCCACUUACACUCCCUUUUAUUUUUAUUUUUUUUAAACUUUUUUCUACAACGUACAAGGGAGUCUAAGAGGACAAAAGAUGAGUGAGAAAAUCAACUCCCUUUAUUUUUUGAUAAUUUGCCCAAAAGGAAUUGACUUGGGGUUUUGAGGGCAUCAGAAUGAGUAGAAGUGGAGAUAGCAACGACCUUGAGGUCUUCCUCCACCUCCACAUGUGUGGUGGUGGCGGCGGUGGUAGAAUUAGGGUUCGGAGGGGUGCUUAUAUCGAAGGAAAUGACCUUGUCGGGAUCGUAGGUAACCUUGUUCAAGGCAAGGCUUGUAGGCGAUCUCGAUGGUUAUCCAACCCAUCACUACCCCAACUAUCGCUAUCAGUGCGCUGGUUAUUGCUCCCAUUUUCUUCUUCUCCUUCGUCUUCUUUUUACUCUCUUCUGGUUCUUCUUCUUUCUUGAUUUUCACUCUCAACUGACGACUUUGUGCUAUUUUGGAUUUGGGAUUUGGGAUUUAGUGACAAGUAGCUCUCCAUUGAGAUUUUUGCUUGCUGUGUUACUUUGCACUAGCGACUCUACCCUCUAAUUUCGUUCGACGUGUGCCUCGAGUGACAUAAUGGACGGAAUUUUUGAUGAAAUGUGAUAAAAUCUAACAACAUGAAUAAAAUUGGCUAUAGUUAUUAAUUCGCGGACUAAAUUGGCUGAUUUUUUUAGUUGAAGGGCUUAAUUUGUACAAGUGUCAUAGUUCACAAGGUAAAACGGCUGAAAAUCUUAUUUUGUUAAAAAAGGAUUAGUUAUUGAUUUGCCCUUGAAACUCAACUGUAGUCCCACUUUGGCCCCCAAAUUUCACUUUGGUAUCUCAUUUUGCCCCAAUUCCAUCUAUUAUGUUUUAGACCCAUCAGUUUUGUUAUGUGGCAUAAAAGGACCCAGCUAAUGUCAAAAGACUCCCUAUAGGUUUGGGGUAAUUCUUAAUAUGGGUCUCGAGAUAUCAAUUUCAUCAAUUUACACCCUAAUGUUUUCAAACUUGUCCAAUUUUAUCCUUCUGUUAAAUUGACCAUUUGGUCAAUCUUUAAUUGUUGAUGUAGCAACAAUGGGACCUAUCCCAACUAACAGUUUAAGUAGUUUUUUUUACAAAUAAAUAAUUUAAAAUUUUAGAAAUGUUAGGUUUUUGUGUGGAGCCCACUAACUAUUCAUUUGGAGACUUCGGGUAAAGUUUGUCCGCAACUUUCCCUUAGUACACAUUCAGGUGGGUUGGCUGCCUCUACCCAAUCUGCCUAUAAAUAAGGGAUUAUCCUGCCCUUGCACAUAUACGAACUAUCAGAGAAACAAGAGAGCCCAGGCAGAGAGACGAGAAAAGAAGAGGAGAAAAAAGAGAAGAAAAAGAGAGCAGAGAGAAAUUCUCCAAGAGAGAAACAUCAAUGAGCCACAUAUAUUGUAAACACUAAAAUUGUAGCCCUCUUAAGGAGGCCUUUGAAAAAGUUACUGCUGCUGCUCUCCGAGGACGUAGGCAUAGCCGAACCUCGUUAAAUGUUGUGUCUCAUCUACUUUACGUGCAGCUCAAUAUUCUUCUCACAUAAUCCCGUUCAUCUUAUAACAAGUUAUCAACACGAGAAGCUCUCAGGUAUAAUUUUUUGCACUGCACUAUUAUUUAUACUACUAACCAUUGUGUUGAUGGAAAGAAGAAAAGCUGUUGAAAUUAGUCCAACCUGAUUUCCUACUUCCACUAACAUAUAAUAGUAUGAUGUAUAUAUUAUCUACAAUCCUGAUCUCUUGGACUACAGGGGUCCAAGAGAUUUGUAGUCACUCACCGUUGAAUGUAAAUUCAACGGUUCACUCACUCUUGCACUCCUUUUAAAAAACUUUUUUGAACCGCUAGAUGUUACAUCUAACGGUGGGUGACCACAAUCUCUUGGACCCUUGUGGUCCAAGAGAUCGGGGCUGAUAUUAUCUAUAUGGAAAGCAUUUGAUUUGGGGGGCAAGUGUGAUAUCUUACACAAACAUCUUUUGUAUAUAAUAUUAUGGUAUGAUAUCAUGGCUUACGUUUUAUUUUAUUAGGCCCACAUCAAGUUUUGUGGUUUAUAGUAAUAUACUAUAUUAUGUAUGAUAAUAUAUGGUAAUAUAAGACACACAUUAGGUGGUGGUUUUAUCCCCAUAUUUAUUUUAUUUACUGUAUGAUGUAGGUGCAUUAGUCAUACAAUUUAUUGAUUGUAUGGUGUAGGUUUAUUACUCAUAUAGCAGUAUUUAUUUAAAAGUGUAGCGCGAGUUUACCGUCCACACAAUUGUCUUUACUUUUAUUUAAAAGUAUGGAGCAUAAUUAGUGCCCAUACAAGCUCAUUUACUUUAUUAUUGUAUGGUGUGGAAUUAACCCCCAUACAACAGACAAUUUACUUUAUUGCACAUUUACUUUUAUUUAAAGUAUGAUGCAGGAUUAACAUCCAUACAUGAGGCAAUUUAAUUUAUGAAUUUAGUUUACCGCACAUUUAAUUUUAUUUAAGGUAUGGUGCGAGAUUAACGUCCAUACAACAAGCAAUUUAAUUUAUGAAUUUAUUUCACCAUACAUUUACAUUUAUUUAAAGUAUGGUGUAGGUUUAUCGUCCAUACCAGCAAUUUAUUUUACGGAUUAAUUGUGCAGUAUGAUGAGUUUUUUUUUACAGUACACAUAUCAGGACUAGAAGUUCCUUGAUCCUCAUCAUACAACUACAUCAGGACUUGAAGAUCUUUGAUGAUGAUAUUGAUAUAAGAGCUGACAGUCUCUCUAGUACUAUACUUGUAAACAAUAGAUCGGACUUGAAGAUCCUUGAUUAUUGACAUGUAAAUAAGGGCCUAGAGUUCCUUGAUGAUGUAACAGUACGGUAUUUGUUAAUAUGACGUACACAUAAAAAAUAAUUGUACUGGCAAAUGUACUGUACACAUGAAUAGAUACGUAUUCAUGAGUUGAUGAAUAGUGUAUACAUGAAUAGUGACGUAUAUAUGAAUAUUAACCAUCUUGGGUAAAUCGUCACUAUAUACAAAAGGGGACCUCCAGUUCCUUAAACUCAUGGAUGAGCAAUUAAAUGAGAUGCCAGAAGUUCCUCAAAAUAUAGACAAUUAUGUUAGGACUUGAAGUCCCGAAAUAUGUACAGAAAAUUAUAAAAAUGUCCAUACCAUGAGAAUAUGUGAUUUUGACAAAUGUCCAUACCAUGAGAAUAUGUGAUUUUGGCCUGAAGUUCAAAAUCUAACAGUGUUGAGAACCUAAAGUUCCAACAGUUAAAUGGACAACCUUUGAGGUAUUAUUGCAAAUUGUGGUACACCAUAUAUUUCUUUGGCGAAAGAAAAUGAUGAAUUUAUUAAAGUUCGAUUAUGUUAUAAUCGACACCUCAAGGAAGAAAUAUAUUUUGUGAAUUCCAGUUGUUAAGAAUACACCGUGAAAUGGAUAAUAUCAGGAUAAACCUUAAAUGAUGAAUUGAGGCUCCCCACAUAUUUUGUUAUAUUACAUGAUCUGGGGCCGAAAGCUCAUGAAUCCAAAUAUAUGAGAAAAUUCCGAACCUGAAAUUUUGGGUAUAUAGUAGUUAAUGCUCGUCACUACUAUAUUGCAAUAUUAUCAUGACUUUCCUCAAUUCAUAUUUCGUACCUAUCUAAAAAGGGCAAAUAAAUUCUGAGGUCGUGUUUAGCCCUGGCCAGAAGUUCCGAACUCAUAUGCAUUGAAAUAUGUAAUUUGAGAGAUUUGAUGUGGUUAUUUGAACCUAUGAGGCACAAGGUUCCAAACCGUCAUUUUGAAAAGAUGUGAAAACCACAGGUGCAAGUUUAAGAAUUUGCGCAAUUAUUAUAACAGGAAACGAGCAUACAAUAGAUAGAUUUUUCCACCUGCAAGGAAAAGCAGGCUUUACAAAAUCUAUAAAAUUACAUUAUGUUCUGGAGGCCUUUGAAGGAAGAUGACGACGCCUCUUAAGCUUAGCCAUGAGCCUCUCGUGGUCUCCCAGAAUUCUUUCAAUGGAAACCUGCACCAUGUCUAGCCUUCUUAGUGUAUCAACGGAGUACGAGCUCACCAGUUUCAACAAGGCAUUAUUUUCUUCUUUAAGUUUCUCAACCUCCUGUUGAGAUUCAUGAAGCAUUCUCUGAAGAGACGAAUUUUUAGUGGUCAGCUCCUGAGCCUCAUUUCCUCUAGCAUGCAAAAGAUCAACCAUGUUAGAAACAUAAGCAGCACUCUGAAUGCUAAAAGUCAUUGAGUCAUCAAUAGCCUCUUCAUUAGACCUCACUAUAAUAGCAUUUCAUCUAUUGGAAUAAGGAAAUUCCUAGCUACCAUUACAGCAGUCACAUCAUUCAUCAUCAUAGAAUCACUAACUGUGAGAUGACGAUUUUGGGAUACAAAGGAUGGACGCCAGACUUUGGCGUCACGAGUUGUGUUGGGAGCAACAUUUAAAUCAAGAUGGUUUGGGUGAGAAGAAGAGGAAGCCAUUCUUAGGAAGGUUUCAAGGAAAGUUUUAAGAGAAGCUAAAUUUUCAGAAAAUGAAAGGAAGUUGAGUUGAAACGCAGAUAUUCAAUCAGGUCUUGCAGAGGCAAUAUCUAUAGACAAAAAUGUGGCAUCGUUUCUAGGAUCCCAAUAUUAUCUCGGAUCCCCAUAUUCUCUUUUUCUUUCCCAGAUUCUAAAACUUCACGCUGCUUCCAUUAAUGUUUGUCGGCACUUUCGGCGUCUUCAAGUAUUGUCUUCGUUAAAGCAGAUCUUGCUUUGCGGAUUUCACGAAGCUACUUUUUCAAAAGCACCUCGAGAACCUUACGAAUUUAUGUGGUUAAUUCGAGAUUCAUCGGGCCUAACUAUUCCGCUCAUUUAUGUAUAAAUGUGAUACUAAUGAAAUUUUCUUUGCAGAAUACAUCCAGUUUCCUCCAUACCUAGUGAUGCAAUAUCCACCUGUUUUUCCUAUCAGCGAGCACUCAAUAUGCUUGAAAAACAAGACUAUCUUUGAUCAUCCAUUUAGGAAGCGAGACUAUCCCUGAUCACGUUUCCGCUACAUUAGGGAAUUGUAAAGACAACCACAUGCUCUAAUCUCCUGAAGUUCUUCUAGACUAGAAGAAAUGAGAGUUUGUUGUCUGCUCCUACAAGCUUCCUUCCCUGAUUGCUUACCUUAUCUUGCAAUCAAUAUCUCAAUUUUUUGUAUCGUAUCUUGCAAUCAAUAUCAUAAUUUUUUGUAUCUUUUCUUUCUUUUUAUAACUCUCUAUUCAUAAAGGAUUUUAUUUCUAUAGAACGAGCAUUUGAAGAAAUAAUCCAUGUAGUGAUCCUAACACUAAGGGUUAUUUUGUUGACAGAGAGAAGAAUUGUGAUUUUUGCUCUUGUAGGUUAUAACUAGAUCAUCAAGGAUUACGUUGUUUUUGCUGAGCCGAUACAAGCUUGGAAGAUAUUUGAGCAAAGUCUCUCCCACCUAAGGAUGUAAGCGAUACUUAUGUUAUUUCAUACUUGUACUCUUAUUUUUUUUGUACAACAUCCUUGAAGGUAACCAAGUGGAGAGAUAAGGCCAUUCCAGAAGAACACCAUACAAAGGACCAUUCCAGAAGAAUGACUUGCAUUAUAGAUCGUUCCAGAAGAACGACUUGUAUUAUGACCAUUCCAGAAGAAUGGCUUGUAUCAUUCCGAUAUGUAUCCAUGAAUUAUUAAUGCAAAUUUUACAGAUUGCAAGUUGGAUACAUUGAUAAUACACUGCACAGAUUAAAGUCCCAUAAAAAAGAACAUGGGUAAAGCAGUGAUUAAUAUGAUGCACGCCUGUUGCGUAGCAAAUGAUAUGGAUUCAAGUCCUGAAAGGACAAUCCUUUAACAUGUCAAUAUUGAUACGGUGCACACCUAAUGCGUAGCAAACAUGUAUGUAUUAAUCUGUGGCAUGCCUGCAGCAUGACAGAUAUAUGGGUUCUAAAUGUUCCAACUCCCAAAAUGGAGAUUAUCCACGCACUACUGUAAAAUAACGCUUCAUUGGAGGUUAUGAUCCACAUUCUCACAUAAUUCAUCUUAUAAGAGAUGUCUGUUUGGAAAGAGACAAUAAAAGCCCCCUGAAGUGGCUUGGGUACCCAAAGCAACGAAAUGCUUAUAAUUGAUGCAUGCGCAUGCACAUGAGAAUGGUAGGGAUCAUGAAUUGAUGAAUGAAAUUUUUUAGUUUUGGAGUAGCUACUCAAAUCAUCAAUGGGUUAUGUUGAUUGGAAUCACGUUCUAUUAUUAAAUGUCGACAAUAUCAUUGGCCAAAAUGGAAAGAGGCAAUUCCAUUCGUGAAAGAAUAAACCCAUAGUACGAACCCCAAAAGAUGUUAAUACUAAAAGUUAUAUUUGGGUGUUCGGAACAAAAGGGAAUAUACCCACUUUGUAUGACACAAUGUUUCUGGCAUAAACAAGGAAUGUUGGGUUUCUCCAUAUUUACAGAUUCAAUUGUGCCCCCUUAUUGCACAUUUAUGGAGACCAAUAAGUUAUUUUUAAGGGUCAUUAAAUGCACGGAGCAUAUCACCAGAAGUGAUUCCCUAAAGAUGUAUAAAUAGCAAGGUUGAAGCUAUAUAAUGUGUCAUAAAGUUUAAAUCGCUUAAACAAAGUCCUUGAAAGGUUUGCAAUUGCAUGAAGUGUGUCCCUGAAGGACAUGUGCCUUAAGCACAAAAUCUGUACUCAAUACUAAUAUGUAUAAAAUGCCUCAGUGAGUACAUUAAUUAUGAUAUGGUUGCAACACAUUAAAACUCCUGAAGAGUUCAAGAAAUAUUUGUCUCAGCCUGAAGAUCGAGCGUUAUGCCAACCAGAUUUUUGCUUAUACUAAGAAAGUAUUGAAGCAUUUUUAUGUGGGUUAGUCGUUUGGCACUUAAUACUGGACCGGAUAUUAUAUGUUUCAGAUAGAGCUCAGCUCCAUCACCACCACUUUGGGAUGAUGUGAGGCAUAUUUGAUGCUAUCUCUGCAAAACGACAUAUAUGAGCAUAUUCUUUUCAAAUGAACUUACAAAUAACCCAAAUUUUGUUAAAUACGCGGACUCUGAAAAUUUCUAUGGUCGCUUACUGGAAAAAGUUAGUCAUGAAGAUUUCAGGGGGAGAUUUUUUCAAGGAGAACAUCCAACAAUAUUACAAGAUUGACUCAAGGGGAGCGUGCUGUCAAUAAAAAUCUUCACACACUGUACUCUUUUUCCUUCAUCCAGAUUUUUAUCCCACUGGGUUUUUCCUAGCAAGGUUUUAACGAGGUAGUAUUACACGCAUGUCAAUAUACCCAAAAUUUUAUGUUACAAAUGGUUAUGUACUUUUUUCCUUCAACUAGGGUUUUUCCCAUUGAAACCUAGCAAGGUUUUAAUGAAACAACCAAUUAAGGGACUUGUGGUCUCCAAGGGGGAGUGUUGUAAAGGUUUUUGUGUGGAGCCCACUAACUAUCCAUUUGGAGACUUCGGGUAAAGUUUGUCUGCACUUUUCCCUUAGUACACAUUUACGUGGGUUGCCUGCCUCUACCCAAUCUGCCUAUAAAUAAGGCAUUAUCUUGCCUUUGCACAUAUACCAACUAUCAGAGAGAAACAAGAAAGAGCCCUGACAGAGAAAAGAGAAAAGAAGGCAUUCUCCAAGAAAGAAAAAUCAGUGAGCCACAUAUAUUAUAAACACUAAAAUUAUAGCCCUAUUAUUUUGCAUAGUGGAAAAGUUACUGCUGCUCCUCUUCGAGGACGUAGGCAUAGCCGAACCUCGUUAAAUAUUGUGUCUCAUCUACUUUACAUGCAGCUCAAUAUUCUUCUCGCAUAAUCUCAUUCAUUUUACAACAAGAAAUUAAUUAUACAACCUAACAAAAACAUAAAAUUGAUAAAAUAAAAGCAAACCCUACCUAGCCUCCACUUUCCCCAGCCGCACCAACCCCUACCCACCUCCAUAUUGACCGUUACCCAAUCCCAGCCCCAGCAGGCCCCCAACACCAGCAACAGCCGCCAUCUUCUCCAUAGGAGCAGCAACGACACCACCACCAUCCCUCCCUCCCUCCUAGCCCAGCUCGCUAGUCCUCUCUCAUUUCCCUAUCCCUUAAUUGUAACCACCCAUCCACCCCACUACCAUCGCCAAUAACAGAUCUCUACUGUUGAUGCGAAAAAGUGGUUCUGCACGUGUUUCGUCAACUUAGUAAUUUAGGCCUUCGGUAGAUGACUAUCCUCGGUAGAUGCUCUACAGCAGAAGGGUAAGUACCUACAAAAGGUCACGUUCGGUAAAUCCUUGAGUACCGGUGUGGUACCGGCCGAAGGCUCUCCGAUGCUUAAGUAAGUACGGAUUUAGUAAAGUUUAACCGAUAAAUCACACGAUAGCGUACCGUUAGUUCUGAUUCCCCCCUUUUGGGGAUAUGGGUCUCCUUUUAUAGGCCUUGGGAGGUGUGCACUGUGCUCAUAUUUCCGAUGUGGGACACUGGGCAUGGAUUGUGAGCAUGGCAUGUGUCUGAUGGUGAAAAAGGCCAAGAUAGAUGGCUUCGGUAGGGAGCAUGCCGAAGGGGUCCGUUGAUCAGUAUCGAUUCCCUCCACGUGUUCAGUGAUAAUAGGCCGUUUAUUUUGGUAUAAACAGUAGUCCCCCAAGUUCUCUUCCGGAGAUCCUUCGGAAGGGAAUUUGAUUCUCUACGGCAGCUCGGAGGUUAUCCUGCCGUUCGGUAUGCUCGUUUGGGGGAUUGACCUGGGAUACGAGGGGUCGCCGAUGUCGAGAGGCAAGUGGGCAGAGAGGCGCUUCGCCUUCUGUGCCUGGCGCGCAGUUAAUGACGCCAUCUGUCGGGCGACACGUGGCGAGCAAAAGCACGCCUGACGGCGCAUUGAUGAGCCGUUUCGUCUUUCGAGGCUUACCGUUACAGCGCUCUCCCCAUAAAUAGAGGUCGCUCCGAAUGAAAGGUUCACUUUGCAAUUGUGAGAGUGCGAGAGUUCUUUGAGUAGGCAAUUUUCGAAGUGUGCGAACGGUAAUCCAGGCGAUUUUCGAAGUGUGCGAACGGUAAUCCAGGCGAUUUUCGAAGUGUGCGAACGGCAACCCAGGCGACUUCCACAGCUCUCAAGGUAAGAUACCGUUCGGUACCCACCUAAAAUUUCUUUUUUAUUAUACGUCUGUCCAUGGCAUAGGCUAGCCGAUCGUUAAGUAGGAUCUUCCUUCGGUAGUCUAGCGGCCAUAGGUAGAGAUGUAGGUAUCGGUAGGAUAGCGCAGCAUGAACCUUAGUUUCCCUUUUCUUUGUUUUGUAGAUGUCUGAUAGUGAAUCGACGUUCGGCAAUGAGCCCAACGCGUUCGAUGGGGAAUUGUCAUCGGGAUGGGAUACGUCCAGCGGGGCUGCGAGCCUCGCCGCCGAGGAUGGAGGUGACACCGAUGCUGAAUUAUUCGGUGAGGAAGGGGACUCCGUUCCCACCCAUGGCAUCGGCAAGGGGCUCAUGACAGGGCACCCGCUACCCUUGGCCGCGGUGUACAAGGACUGUACCCGUGUCGGGUCGUUCGAGCACCAACCCGAGGCCUCUACCUCCGGUCGAAGCGUGGAUAUCACCGGUCCCUCCCGCCCGAGGGUAACCAUUGUCCACCGAGGGCCACCUAGGAUACCGGUGGGUAUGCCACAGAGGGCUCUGUUCGGUGUCGAUUACCUGGAGCCCAAUAAGAUCACCGAACGGGAGUUGGAGAGGAUCAGGGCCGAAUACCUCAUCCCUGAUUCGGUAAGGAUGAGGAUUCCGAGCCCGGUUGAGUCCCUCAGUGACCAAGCGAACGGCGAGGUGACCUUCUUCACCGAUGUCCUAGUGCAAGGGGUUCGGCUGCCGUUACAACCCGCCGUGCAGAGGAUCCUUGCACAGAUCGGGUACACCCCGGGCCAAUACAAGCCUAACUUCUGGGUGGCCCUGAUGGGGGUGAUUGCGACAUUCGGGAUUGCCGAGGAAGGGGAGCCUACCUACGAGCAAUUCUCGUAUCUUUACAGCGUCACCAAGUCCAAGAGCGCCGAUCAUGGCGGCUGGGUUCAGGCAAACUGCCUGAAGGCCUCCGAGCGGGGGCAUUUCGUUAGUUCGGUGCCGACCUCUCAGAAGUCAUGGAGGAAUCAGCGGGUGUUGCUCUCCGGCGAUUGGGAAUCGCCAUCGGGAACAACCCCUAGCUUUCGAGUCCCCACGACUUUCCAGACUGCCGGUAGGUUUUCAAAUUACCGAUCGGUAGGCUGACUCCUUAUUUCUUUUUCUGGGUGUGAUUAAUUUCUCUCUUUUUGACAGGCAAACUCAAGCAGCCGAGCCCCAGGCCGAGCGAGAUCCGGCAGCUUGACAGAGUGAAGCUGCGAGUACCCGCUGCCGAGCGAGUCUAUCCUCGCUUUCUCUUCACCGGCAAUCUUAUCAAAGCCGGCCUCGUCGACCCUGCCGAGAGUACGUAGACUUCUCUUCCUCUUUUUUUUUGUGUGUGUAUUGUUUUGGCUCACUGAACUGACUGUCCCCUUUUGAUCAGUGAUGGACGCCAGGAAGGCUGCCGAGGCAAAAAAGAUGAACGAGUCCUCCAGGAGGCGCCUGAUGAUGGGCCUGGAGGGCAAAAAGAAACGAAAGCAGCCCGAGGCAGCUGCCGUUCGGCAGUCAGUGCCAGACCCGGAGGAUCAGACCCUCUCGGAUCGCCUUCGGCAGCUCGAUGCCGGUGCCGUUCUGAGGCGCACCGCUGAUGAAGCCGUUGCGCCGAGGCCUCGGGACGCCGAGGUUGCCACCUCCAAGGCCGCCGACAAGCGUCCGGAGACGGUCGAUCUUGAGGCCGAGCCGGCCCCCAAGCGCCCCCGCCAGCCGGAAGUUCCCAGGGCCGUUCUUGCAGCGGAGGACGAGGACGGUCCUUCCGAGGCCAUCUCCAUCGCCUGCCCGGCGAAAACCGUCCAGUUCGUCAACCACAUGAUCCUCGGCUCUCAGAUGGAGCUGCCGAAGGUUGACGAACUGCCGAAGAAAUUCCUUCGGGAGGAAGCUGGACGCGCCUUCCGGCUUCAGGCCGUGGUAAGAGAUUUUUUUUUUUUUACUGUAUUUUAUGCCUCUGACCUUCGGUAUUUUGUGCAGGCAUCCAUGGAUAUGUGGCUCUGCGUUAAGCGGGCCAUCACUGCUGCCGAGCGCGCCAAGAAGGCGUACGAGGACGGCAGGUCCAAGGUUGCCGAGGCUGGCAAAGCACUCCAGGAGCACGCCCUCCUUGUCAAGCAGAAGGAUUUCGCCGAACGGCAGGUGGAAGAGAUGAAGGGGCUCCUGGAGGCUGCGCUCGAGGCAACGAAGGAUGUCGAGGCCUCCAAAGACGCGGUGCAGGCGGCUUUGGAGGAAUCGGAGCGGGCGAAAGCAGCGGCGCAGACGGCCCUAGAGGAAUCGGAACGGGCCAAGGCCGCAGAGAUUGAGGCUGCGGUUCAGUCGGCUAUCCAGGGAUACCGUUCGUCUUCCGAGUUCUCUAUCCUUCUGGAUAAGGAAGUGGGCUCGGAGAUGGCGGACCUGUUGUACCGAUUCAAGCGGUACAACCCUGGGCAGAAACUGAAUCUAAACUUCAUUGCCGACCCUCCUCCUCUAUCAGAAGGUAUUACCGAAGAAAUGAUCGAAGAUUACGAGGGGGAGGACGCCGCCGAAGGCUCUGGGUCCGCCGAGGCUGCUGCUGGCGACGAAGCUUGAAGGCUGCCUCUGAUUUCCUUGUAAUAAUUAGAUUUUCUUUAGUUUUGUAUUUGCCGAACACAUUGAUGCCGAGGGCAUCUUUAAAUUAAAUGCAUAUAUUUUUCUCUACUUUUGUCUGUUCGAUUUGAUUAUAUUCAAUUGCCGAUUUCUUUAUUGCCGUAUAGGAUUUAUAACGUUUAAAGGCCACUCCGAAAUUGACAAGUUCUGACAGGAUCUGUAGGGUAAAUAAUUUCGAAAAUAUGUAUUGCCGUAGGCUAAUAAAGAUGCCGUAGAACGUUAUCGUGCCUAUAUUGGCCGCCGUAGGCUAGUAGAGAUUAUAACAAGAGUUUCUGAAGUAGUAGUGCCGAAGGCUUUCCAUUAAUUUCUGCCAAAAGGCGUUUACAAUCUUGUCCUACCGUAGGCUAGGUUAUAAAUUGUCCUGCCGUAGGCUAGGUCACUUGAAGUAAUACUUGAGAUGUUCUACAUUCCAUGGAUGACCGAGGGUCUUGCCGUUGGUAUCUCUUAGGCGGUAGGUCCCCGAUCGAAGGAUACCGAUGAUCUCAUAAGGUCCUUCCCAGGAAGGUCCGAGGUUCCUUCCGUGGCGUCCUUAGUUGCUAGGGAUACUUUCCUCAUGACCCAGUCACCGAUUCGGAAUGAGCGGUGUCUGACUCUAUAGUCAUAAUACCGAGAGACACGUUGCUUGUAGGCCUCGUUCCGAAGGUUGGCAUGUGCUCGGCGCUCUUCAAGAAGAUCGAGGUUUAGAGAAAGUGCUUCUUCAUUUGGAUUCGGUGCGAAGGUUUCCGUUCGGUAGGAAGGUUCGCCAAUCUCUACCGGCGCAACGGCUUCCGAACCGAAAGCCAAAGAGAAUGGGGUCUCUCCUGUGGACGUUCGGUAGGAGGUCCGAAUGGCCCAGAGCGCUUCGGGAAGCUUCUCUGGCCAGACUCCUUUGGCUUUGUCCAGCUGCCGUUUCAGCAGUUUCUUGAUGAUCUUGUUUAUUGCCUCUACUUGGCCGUUUGACUGGGGAUGUGCUGGUGAUGCAAAAAACAAGUUGAUUUUCAGGCGGGUGCAAAAUUGCCUGAAGACCUCCGAAUUGAACUGCCUGCCGUUGUCGGUAAUGAUUGCAUACGGGAUGCCGAACCGGCAACAAAUAUGAGUCCAAACGAAGUCUUCCACUCUUGCUGCCGUUAUGGUUGCCAGAGGCUCGGCCUCGACCCAUUUGGUGAAGUAGUCAACGGCAACCACCGCGUAUUUCACCUGGCCUUUGCCCUGCGGCAUUGGACCGAUCAGAUCCAGUCCCCAUUGUGCGAAAGGCCAAGGGCUCACAAUCGGCGUCAAUGGUUCGGCAGGGAUGUGCGGUAUGGAGCCAAAACGCUGGCAUUUAUCACACUUUUUCACCAGCGAGAUAGCGUCCUGGUGCAUGGUCGGCCAAAAGUACCCUUGCCGAAAGGUUUUGUUGGCGAGUGAUCGGGAUCCAGAAUGGUCGCCGCACACACCGUUAUGGAUCUCCCGAAGGACGUAGUCCCCCUGUUCUGCCGUAAGGCACUUGAGAUAUGGAGUUGUGUAGCCACGUUUGUAAAGGACGUCGUUGAUGACGGUGUACCUCGCCGAUCGGUACCGAAGCUUUCGGGCCUGGGCUUUAUCCUCUGGAAGAGUGCCGUUGGUCAGGUACGAGUAGAUAGGAGACAUCCAUGUAUCCUCGUACCGUACGGUAAAUGUUUCGGAGGCUACCAUGCUUGGUCGGGCAAGAAUUUCCACCGGUACCUUUCUUCCGAUUUUAUCAUUUAUUGCCGAGGCUAGGCGUGCCAGUGCAUCGGCAUGGCUGUUUUCGCUUCUGGGGAUCUGCCUGAUCUCGUAGGCUUGGAAGUUUUGGAGCAGUUGGUGGGUGGAUGAAAGGUAGGCGUUCAUGGAGGCGUCUCUGGCUACGAAGUCUGCCGUUACCUGGUUCACAAUGAGCUGGGAGUCGCUGUGAAUCCUGAUUUAUUUUGCGUUCAUGCUCUUGGCUAACCGAAGGCCGGCCAAGAGAGCCUCAUAUUCGGCUUCAUUGUUGGAGGUUCGGAAGUUGAAUCGAAGGGCGUACUCGAUCUUGAGUCCCUCUGGUGUUGUCAGUACCAGGCCUGCUCCACAUCCUUGUUGGUUUGCCGAGCCGUCGACAUGCAGAACCCAUACGGGCCUCGAGGUGUCAAGCCGUUCGGCGUCCACUUCCAUUGGCGUUUCGGUUUCGGUAACCGGCUCCGCCGUCGGCGGCGCCGUUGAUGGGGUGAGUUCGGAUAUGAAAUCGGCAACGGCUUGACCCUUUUCGGCGGGUCUUGGCACGAAUUGUAAUCGAACUCUCCGAGUUUGAUCGCCCACUUGAUCAAUCGGCCAGAAGUCUCUGGUUUUUGGAGCACCUGCCGAAGCGGUUGGUUGGUCAGAACUUUGAUCCCGUGUGCCUGGAAAUAUGGCCGAAGUCUUCGUGCCGAGACCACCAGGGCUAGUGCAAGCUGCUCCAAUGGGGGAUACCGAAGUUCAGCGCUUUGGAGUGCUUUGCUGGCAUAGAAAAUUGGUAGCUCUGCCCUUUCUGGCUUUCGGACCAAUGCCGAACUGACAGCAGUUCCAGAUACCGAAAGGUAUAGAUAGAGAAUCUCCCCCGGUAGUGGUUUUGAUAGGAGGGGUGCUCUGCCCAUGUAGUCCUUUAAGUCUUGAAACGCUUUAUCACACUCGGCAGUCCAGAUGAUAUCCCGUUUGCCCCCUUUCAAGGCCUUAAAGAACGGAACACACUUGUCGGUGGCCUUGGAUAUGAAACGAGUCAAGGCUGCCACGCGUCCGGUAAGGCUUUGAAUGUCCUUCGCCGUCUUCGGCCUCUCCAUGUUGAUGAUUGCUUUUAUUUUUUCGGGGUUCGCUUCGAUACCCCUCUCGCUGAUCAUGAAUCCGAGGAAUUUCCCGGAAGAUACACCGAAGGCGCACUUCGUUGGGUUCAGCCUCAUCCAAUAAUCCUUCAGCACGCCGAACAUGACUGACAAAUUCUGUAGAUGUUCCUCGGCGGUUUUGCUCUUUACCAGCAUGUCGUCAACGUAAACCUCCAUGAUGUUGCCGAUGUACUUGGCGAAGAUUCUGUUGACGAGCCUCUGAUACGUUGCCCCCGCAUUCUUCAGGCCGAACGGCAUGACGUUGUAACAGUACAAACCCCUGUCCGUUAUGAAGGCGGUGUGUUCGCUGUCGGGGGGGGUGCAUGAAUAUCUGAUUGUAUCCCGAAUAGGCGUCCAUGAAGCUCAGCAGUUCGUGUCCCGCGGUGGCGUCCACGAGUUGGUCUAUUCGUGGCAACGGAAAGCUGUCCUUCGGGCAGGCCUUAUUCAGAUCGAUAUAGUCUUGGCACAUCCGCCAAUCGCCUGUACCUUUUCGGACCAUCACCGAGUUUGCCAGCCAUACCGGAUACGUAGUUUCCCUGAUGAAGCCGAUGGUUUGAAGUUUGUUGACCUCUGUGCGCAUCGCUUCGUAUCGUUCGGCAUCAUACGAACGGCGCUUCUGUCUUACAGGCUUAUAUGCAGGGGAGAUGCUGAGUUUGUGGCUGAUGACUUCAGGAUCUAUACCGGGCAUAUCCUAGUAAGACCACGCGAAUACUUCCGAAUGCAGCCGUAAGAAGUCUAUGAACUGCGCUCGGAGGUCAGGGGCGAGUCUGGUGCCGAUCUUAACCCGACGAUCGGGCUGCUCGUCAUUCAGGGUUAUCGUUUCCAGUUCUUCGGCAGGUUGUGUGUGUGGAGUCGGGGACUCAUCUCUGGGGUCGUCAACGGGUCCCGUACCGUUCGGUAUCCCCUGUACAGACAUGGUCUCGUCGGGUAUUUGGACAGUAGUUGACUUGAGUGCCGUGGCGUAGCAAGUCCGAGCGCUGAGCUGAUUUCCCCGGACAGCCCCCGUGCCGUAGGGGGUUGGGAACUUCAUCAGUAGCAUGUGGGGGAAGAGAUGUGCCUUGAUCAUGGUGAGCGCCGUUCGUCUAACUAUGACGUUGUACGCCGUCGGGCAAUCAACGAUGAGGAAUUGAUCGUAUACCGUCGUUUUCCUUGGCGCGGUGCCGAAGGUGAUGGGUAAUUUCACGCUGCCGAUUGGUUGGACCAAAUCUCCGGAGAAACUCAACAAAGGUGUCAGCUGCCGGUUUACCUGGCAGUCCUUUAUUCCCAUCCCUCGGAAAGCUUCGGAAAAAAUCACGUUCACCGAGCUCCCGGUAUCGAUCAGCACUCUUCCUACGUCGUAGUUUGCGAUUUUUGCCCGGAUGAUCAUUGGGUCGUCAUGGGGAUAGAGGAUGCCUUCUUCCUCCUCCUCGCAAAAUGUGAUUGGCUCCCAACGAACUUUCGGGAUUUCCUGGCGCCGAUUAAGCUCUAUGCCGAACACCUGAGGAAACUGCGCGGCCCGCACAUAUUGCUUCAUUGACCGGUUGCUCAUUCCUGCGAUGGUGGGUCCACCGCUAAUAGUGCUUAUCAUGUUUAUCUGCCGAACCGGAUUCGGCACCGGUGCCGUUGGCGGCCGGGCGAUGUACUGAUCCAGCUUCCCCUUCCUGAUCAAUCGCUCAACAAUUUUUCUCAGGCUUAUACAGUCUUCUGUAUUAUGGCUGUUGUGCUGGUGGUAUCGGCAGAAUUUACCGGUCUCUCGGUUGUCCUGCCGAUUUGGUCUUCGGGCAUUCGGCUUCGGUAUUAUUCCCUGUUCGUUCAUCAGGACGGCCUCGUAGGUAGUGUUCAACAGGGUGAAGACUUCAUUGGCUUGGUCGCGAUUCGGCAGCGGCGCUCGGUGGUCGUUGCGACCGUACCGCCCUUUCCCUUUCUUCGAGGGUUCUUUUCGAUCGGCGCGGUCGUCCUUUCUUUUCUGACCUGCCGAGUAUGUGUCGGUACUUCCGUAGGACGUUGCCUUUGCCAGAUAAGCACUUGAUUCGUUGUUUCCUCGUGGUGCCGAAGCCGUGGGCUUUGAGUUGAAGUAUUCGGCCUUUGCGUGGAUGGCCGCUUGUUUCAUCAGUUCGUCAUAUGUGCGCCAGUUGCUGUUGUGUACUAGGUAUCGGAAAUGCGAGGACCGAAGGCCACUCUUAAAGGCGCCGUAGGCUGCCCUGUCUUCUGUUUUCGGACACCUUGAGUACUCGUGACUGAAACGCGCCGUGUAUUCUCUCAACGGUUCGUCCUCUCCUUGCCGAAUUGUGUACAGGUCAUCGGCAGAGUAAAGACGGUCUGUUUGAAUCAUGAAGUGGUUGAGAAAAAUCUGCUUCAGUUCGUCGAAGGAAUCUACCGUUUCUGGCUCUAACCGGUAGAACCAGUUCAGGGCUGCCCCGGUAAGGGAAGACGGGAAUAGCAGGCACUGCCCUUCAUCGCUCAAGCCCUUGCAUCCUAUGGCGGACUGAAAUGAGUGGAGGUGGGUUAAGGGGUCUUCCGUUCCCGUAUAGAACGGUAUCCGAAGCUGCUGCCAUUUCCGAUCCUGCCGAGAGUCCCGGAUGCGCCUGGUAAAUGGCCCCGGUCGAAGCUUUCCCCAUUCUGGCCCCUGGGAGCGGGCGUUGUCGUUCUCCUUUUUUUGGAUUCUUUGAAAAAGGAGCCGUACAGCGGGGUCUCGGCUAGGGAUUUCUUCGGAAUCGAAGUCUUCUGUUCGCCUCUGUAGGUUGAGUGGGUUAACCUCCGAGUUCCGCGAAUGUGUUGCCGAACGGUAGGUGGACGUUUGCGUUCCGGACGGGAUGUACUCGGAUUCCGACUCCUCGUCGGGGCCCAAUCCCCUCACCUUCCGAAUGGGCGACUUGUCUCCCAGGACCCUCAUCCGUGAAUCCCUUAAUCGGGCGCUCAUCCUGAUCGGAGACCUUUGUCUCUCUGCCUCUCGAUCAUUGAUCCGAUGUCGACAAUCGGUGUAGACCUUCUUCGGGACAUGUGGCUGAUCCCUGGGCGGCGGGACCAACAAUUGUUUGGAAGGAGCGGGCGUUGCCGUCGCUGCCUUAUCGCGUUUCUUCCUCCCGUGAGGGGUUUGCAGGCUUUCGGAAGAGUGAGUUAUCUGGAUGUUCUGCGGGUGCUGCUGGUGGAGCAGCUGCUGGGUUUCGUCCACCUUGGACAAAAGAAAGUUGUUGUGUUCCUGAAGCCUCGCCAUGUCCUUCCGUAAGGUUGCGAUUUGGGCUGCCAGCUCGGCUUCGGCAGUUGUUUGGGUAGCGGGAGCAUUUCCGAAGGGAGUGCUUGGAGGUAGCGCUGGGCUUGGUCCGCUCUGCCUUCCGAACGGUCCUCCCUCCUCCGUUAAGAACGUAGGUAUUGAAGUGGUCCCCAUGUGUUUAGGAGAUAGUGGGUUGAUAAUUUUUCGAUUUCCCACAGACGGCGCCAAACUGUUGAUGCGAAAAAGUGGUUCUGCACGUGUUUCGUCAACUUAGUAAUUUAGGCCUUCGGUAGAUGACUAUCCUCGGUAGAUGCUCUACAGCAGAAGGGUAAGUACCUACAAAAGGUCACGUUCGGUAAAUCCUUUAGUACCGGUGUGGUACCGGCCGAAGGCUCUCCGACGCUUAAGUAAGUACGGAUUUAGUAAAGUUUAACUGAUAGAUCACACGAUAGCGUACCGUUAGUUCUGAUUCCCCCCUUUUGGGGAUAUGGGUCUCCUUUUAUAGGCCUUGGGAGGUGUGCACUGUGCUCAUAUUUUCGAUGUGGGACACUGGGCAUGGAUUGUGAGCAUGGCACGUGUCUGAUGGUGAAAAAGGCCAAGAUAGAUGGCUUCGGUAGGGAGCAUGCCGAAGGGGUCCGUUGAUCAGUAUCGAUUCCCUCCACGUGUUCAGUGAUAAUAGGCCGUUUAUUUUGGUAUAAACAUCUACCAUCUAUUGUAAUGGCACUCAAGAAAAAUAUCAUCAAUCAAACAAAUGGCAACAGUCUCAAUCAACAUGGGAAUUAAAUGGAACUCAAUCCCUUCCACAUCCAUCUUCACCACCACGAAAUCUCUCUCUGAAACCGUGUUCUUCAACCAAUCCGUGAAAUCAAACCCCUCAAUCGUAUCCACAUUAUCUCAUAAUUCAACAAAGUCCUCACCGGUUGAACCCUCCCCAUUCCCUUACCUUUUCCCACGGUUUUCUUACUUGGGUCUCUUGUGUUCUCAAAGAACUAGAACAAGGUCUCAUUCCUCACCCUGGCCGAAUAUGUCAAAAGAGAAACUCAUUUCUUCAUGAAAAGCCUCAUCAGCCUGAAUUGCAUAGACCUCAAAGCUUUUGUUCUGUUUUGGGUACUGUGUUUGGGUAUGAGGUGACUGUGGGUAUAAAGGUGGGUAGGGUACGGGAUGGUGCGGCUGAGGAAAGUGGAGGCUGGGUAGGGUUUGCUUUUAUUUUAUUUUAUUUUAAUUUUAUGUGUUUUUGCUAGGUUGUAUAAUUAAUAUUUAAAAUUUUAAACUAUUUAUAAGUAAAAAAAAUACUUAAAUUGUCAGUUGGGGUGGGUCCUACAACUGCUACGUCAGCAAUUAACGAUUGACCAAACAGUCAACUUAAUGAAAGGAUAAAAUUGGUCAAUUUUGAAAACAUUAGGGUGUAAAUUGAUGAAAUUGAUACAACAUGACCCAUAUUGAGAAUGACCCCAAACCUAUAGGGUCUUUUGACGCUAGCUCUUUUUUUCCUUCUUUAAAUGAUGCCACAUAUGGGUCAAGUGUUAAAAAUAAAAUAAAAAAUGUUUUGUUUUAAAGGACCCAGCAUCACACAACCCACUCAUCUCCCCACCUAUCUCCACCACCCCAAUUCCCCUCCCCUCCUCUCCCCACUGCCAUCCCCCACCCAACCAUCUCCUGCACCUCGCCUAAGCUCCCCACCAACCCCUAAAAUUUUCGCUGCACACCCAACCCCCCAAUCUUGACCCUUCUCCCAUCACUAGCCUCGUCGAAAGAGCCCCCACCUUAUACCAAAUAUGGCCCAUUCCAAUGAGAGAGAGAGAGAGAGAGAGAGAGAGAGAGAGAGAGAGAGAGAGAGAGAGAGAGAGAGAGAGAGAUGGGAUGGUGGCGUCGCAUGAGGGUUAAGAGAGAGGUGGGGAGUGUGGUUGUGAGUGGCAAGGGUUGGGCUGGGUGCAGUGGAGACAUGGGGAUUUUGUUUAAUUUUGGUUUUUUUAUUUGUUUUUAUAGGUUUGUAAGGGGGUGCAUCAAAUCCAUACUUAUAAAGACUUUUUUUUAAGUGAGUGACUUUCAUAGAGUUGACAAUUUCUUAAGGGAUGUAUCCAAUUCAAACUUUUAAUGAAUUUUAUAGAGUUUAAAAGUCUGGAUAUAUUAAAUUUAGAUAAAUAAAGUGUUUAUAAAAGUCUGACGUAUUCAAUUUUGACUUUNNNNNNNNNNNNNNNNNNNNNNNNNNNNNNNNNNNNNNNNNNNNNNNNNNNNNNNNNNNNNNNNNNNNNNNNNNNNNNNNNNNNNNNNNNNNNNNNNNNNCCACACUUUUAGGCUAAUUGUUAAGAGCAAAAGUCUUGCCAAUUUACUAGUGACUUUCAUCAACUCUAUGAAAGUAUCCAAUCCGUACUUAUAAAGACUUUUGCUCAAUUAGCCUUAAAAGUAUGGAAAAAUCAUUCAUUUAAUAAGUUUUUCAAAAGUCAUUAACUUUUUAGAUACCACCAAACUUUUAAAGACUUUUUAAAAGUCACAACUGAAUACUACCAAAUUUUUAAAUACUUUUAACUACUUUUUAAAAGUCAAAAUUGAAUACCACUAGACUUCUAUAAACUAUUUAAAAAUAUAAAUUUAAUACAUCUAGACUUUUAAUCUCUAUAAAAAUAAUUAAAAGUUUGAAUAGAUACACCCCCUAAAUAUUUUUUUAAUUAAGUUUUGUGUACGUGCCAAACACAUCAUCAAAUAAGCGAGCUCUACUCACGCUACGUCAGAUGACUUAACAGUUGUUUUAAUAGAGUUAAUGAAAUGAGGCAAAGUGAGACAUGAAUUUGAUAUUUGGAGUGAGACAAAUUGAAUUUCAAGAGGUAAAUUAAGACUAGAAUUAAGUUUUUAAAAGGCAAAUCAAUAAAUAAGCCAAAAAUAAAAAAUAAUCACAUGGUUCCCUAACCAGAAAAGUAGCCAGUGUAUGACAUUAUCAAUACUUCAGUAAUAUGAGAAAUGGUUGCACUCUGACAUUCACAUGACAUAAUACCUAUAUGGAAAGAGAAACAGUUGCAUGAACUGGCUUACAUUGUUUUGCUAUUUUUAACGAAUAACUCUUUGACACGCUUAUAAUUUUUCUAUGUGGCAAAACGUUAUUGACCGAAAAUAGCAACCAAAUUUUUCUCAUAUGGAAAUGUAAUUAAUAUCGUAUCUAUUACUAAGAGUUCGUUCAAAUCAAUCUAUCAAUGAAAAACAUAUUUGUAUACCCUUUCAUCGAAUUGAAAGCGAAAAAUAUCCACACACAAAAAUCCACGUGGUUCACCAACCAGCAAACUAACAAAGAUCGGAUCUGCUGUGCCCAAAAUUCAGCCCUCUCUAUGGUCCUCCAUAUUUGCUUGAUACGCGUCCUUCAAUUUAUAACAAGGUUAACUCUGUUAUGUUUUAUUUUUCUACAUUAACAAAACUCUAAAAAAACCCAAAAUACAAGGGAGUACAGAAGGUUUUUGUUCUCAUAUGUUGUCCAUGCUCUGCCUUGAAACAGUAGCUUUGAAUCAUCCACGGCAAUCUCAAACCCACAGCAGCUUUUUUGCAGAGACUUGAAAUAGUUGAAAAGUGAAACCAUCACCUUCUAUUGUUCUUCUCUCUACCUCCUUUUUCCUCUCAAUCUUCUUCUGAUAGACAUACAAAAUUCACUCUUUCAAGAACUUUAUCUUCACUGUCCUGCAAAACCAGGAAACAGUAGGAGGCACCAAAGUCUGCACAACAAACAAACUAUUUAAAAAGUGACUUGGGACAAGAAAUUUUCAUAGUUAAUGUUCGAACUAGUGCAACACAGUCUGUCAAUCACAUGAUCUAUAUAACAUACUUAUCCAGGACAUGUCAAAUUCCAACAUCGUCAACAGUCCUUACUAUGAUUUGAUCCUCUGAAACGAAUUCAUUUGCAUGAAAUGUGCCUGUCGUCUCCAGCAAGGUGAAAUAUUGUACCUCACCACCAAUGUAGCCCAAAAAAAGGAAGAUAAAAUAUUGUAUAUAACCUUCCAUCAGUUGUAAGCAACAAUGGAAAGAUACCAGUUUAUCUGUAUAAUGUUACAAUAUAAAUGUGUCAUUGAUUUGUAUAUUUCCGUACAACAGUCCAAAUCUCAAAACUUAUUUUACUGCUCAAUUUCCUAGUUAGCAGGCAGCACGUAUGAAUGAAAAGUGCACAAGAGAGAACUUGUUGAAACACUGGAACCAUGUGCAACAAGUUGAAAAGCAGUAAUGGGAAGUCCCUGCUUAUUUUGACUGCAACUAUAAAAUGAAAAGUCUUUAUAAACCAUGUGAUCCAAAUUCUACAAACUAGUGCAUGUAUGUUAUCAUGGUAAAUAAGAAAUCUGCCAAAAAAUAUUUAGUUGACAGAACGAACAACCCAAUGCUGUAAUUGCAAAUUAUUACUGCGACUGUGAAUUUCUAGUGGAACAGAAAAAUGCAAUCACUAAUUUUACCAUUACGUUCUAUGAUAUAAUAAAAGCAACAGCAUUAAGGGCAAGUACCAUAUUACAACUAAAAAGGAAACAGACUCACCUGAGCUUGGUCGAACAUAAUAGCCAGAAGAUUUUUGUAACAGAAGUUGUCAUGACCCUAACAGAUCAUAGAACAUGAAGACAAUGUGGAAUUUGAGACUUGAAAUCUUCUAGGCUGCCCUUCUGUUGAUAUUUCUUCUGAAGUGAACAAUUAAGUUACGUAGCAAAGAGCAAAAUGAGAUAUAGAGUUGUUAUUGAUUUAACAUCUAGAGAAAGUGCACCACAAAUCAAACUCAUCACAGUAGUUAGAAAUACUAACAAAUAACACAAGGACUACUUGUACACCUUCAUAAUACACGGCAUACAAGGACUAAAACUACAUGACCACUUUAAUUUCAUAGCCUCUUAUACAACUCCAUACAACAUUUACCAUAGAGAGAGCAGAACCAGAACUACAUGAUCCUCUUGUUAGUCUCUUGUAAGACUUCACGUUGUCCUUUAGUUGAAACUAGGCUCUCCACAUAAAAAUGGACUUCUAAGGAACAGCGAAGGCCACAAAUUGGAAUGUGUUUAGCUUCUUCACUACUUGGAUUAUACAAAACCAGGUCCCCUUUUCUACUUUCCAUAUAAAUUUCACCAUAUAAACCGCAUCCCAGUGGCCUCUCAAUUCCAAGCAGGGGUCCAAUUGUCCAUUCCCUUUUCCAAAAAACCUCAGCAUCAUGCUCAAUCAUUUUCCAUACAUAAAUCUCUCUUUGCCUCCCACUAAAAGUAUACACUAUCAAAUAAAGAGAUUGCUUUAAUUCCGCCAGUUUUGUGCACAUCGGGGUGUCUAAAAAGCUUAAAUCUGGCAACUGCAAUUCCCCAAACACAUCAUCACACAUGUCAAACGAUACGAUCAAUUCACGAUCCCCCUUGCCAUAUGCAAUCCAAUAAAGCAAACCGUUCAGAGCCGUGCACGAAUGUUCAUAUAUUUCAAAGUGAAAAGUAUUAACCUCCUGCCAACAAUCCAUUUUUGAAGAAUACACCUCCGCCCGUAUCCAAGCAUUACCAAAGCAAGACAAAGACACAAUCCUCACAACCUUAUAGUCAUCAAUAAGAGGGUGGUACCCAAAUCCGUGGGCAAUGCCACGGGCCUGAACAUUAUCAUCAUCAUUGACAGAAUCAAUAACUGAGUCUGGUAGGACACUAAAUUCCCUUAUAGCAGGGUUCCACAACAAAAUCAUAGGUGACCAAAGAUGGGCAGAUUUAUCAUGAGCUAAACAAAGUAAGCCAUUACAAGACCCCACAAGUUUCAAGUGAUGGGAAUCCAUUACAGAUGAUGGUAUCUCCAAUUUUGAUAACAUGUAACCAUGUGUGCCAUGUAAAAGCAGAGAAAUAACAUUCUUACGAGUAACAUUGCAACGGUACUUUACCAGAAGGCGUCCACUUUGGUCUUCUUUUGCAAUAUUGAGAUUGAGGUGCUGAGAAAUGAAAUGGGGGUCUCUGAUCAGAGCUUGCCAUUCUUUGCGUACUGAGCUGAACCGAACCAGAGAUUUGGCGGGUAGUCUUGAGAGAAUGUCAGCCGUCAGAUGCUCAGGAAAGGCCAUAUGAAAACGAUGAAAACGAUGGUCUUCUUGCAAAGGGGUUUUGAAAAUGUUGGUGUAAAGAAAAUAAAAAUUGGCUGAGACGCUAGAAGAAAUUGAAGAGCCAAGAAAGGAAAGAAACAGGCAUGUUUUGAAAACAAUAUUCGCUUGUAGCGGCAAGCUCUCUGAAGAAGAAGCAAAUCUUUUCAGGAGGGCUCAAGGAAGCUGUGGGUGGAACCCAUUUGAGAUGCUCUAUGAUAUAAAGUCUGGAUUGUGUAGCAUCCUGUGGUGUUGUUCUCUUCUAAGUAAGAAAAAAAAUGUUGGUUUAAUUUGCCAUUGACGUUUAAGAAGAGAUCUGGUAUUUGCAAGGUAAUUGAGAAGACGUAAAAACUGUAAAAGUAGGACAAUUCUCUGCCAAAAAAAAAGUAGGACAAUUCUUUCUUUCUUUUUGGUCUGAAAGAAGACAAUUCUUGGGUCAUGUCUAUUGAGGAUCUUGAUAUUCUUUCUGAUGUGGCCCAAUGGGCUGAAAAACACUUGUCAUCUUUGUUUUAGAAAUAAAAAUGGUAAGUCUUAUGGGCAGAGUCCUCCUGGUAAGUCUUAAUUUCGAUGGCUCUGUUUUAACUGAUGGAAGUUCGCUCUUCUGCAGGUUUCCUAAUCCGUGAUGAAAAUGCUAAACCUCUACUUGCAGACACAAGCUUUGGCUUUAAAGCAAGCAAUUAUAUGGGCAUCCAGGUUUCGAUUAUUGUCUCCAGAAAUUGAAGGUGACUCCAAAGCCCUCAUAUAAAUACUUGGCUUAUUUAUUGAUAUGCUGUAAAUGUGAAUUUACUUACGAAUUGGCUUAAUUUCCUAGACUUGUAAUUGUGUCCUCGUUGUGUAGAUUUAGGCCUAGUUUUUAGGCAAAUUAACUUGGCCAUAAGACUUAUCCAUAUUGAGCAGAUCAAGGGUUGACUAUGUCUACAAGGUAAUUUUUGCAUUUGCAUAUCAUAUUAGGAAAACUAUAUUUUUGUGAUUUAGUUUUAUUAGGAAUGAAAUUCAUAAUAAAAUCAAUCAGCAAAAUUAUUUUCCUCUUUUUCAUGUUAAAACCAAUUCUAUUUUUUCCUACUCUUUUUGAAACGCGAUUUCUCUUGAUAUAAAACAAAGCUUGAAGACAUUUGUUACUUACUUCGCACAAACUGAUUUGAGAGAUUUAUAUUGAGAGAAGCAAAGGUGAGUUCAUGAAAAAUUACAAUGAUAAAGCAACUUUGUGAAGCUUUUUAAUUCUAGUUUGCAUCUUCAUAUUUCAUAUUCCAUAUUGGAAGCUGUGUGCAAUGGAAGUUGUGUGCGGGCAUGCUUGUUCGUGAGGAUCAUCAAUUCGAGAGAGUUUAAGCAAGGACUGAGUAAAGCAAGACAAAAGUAUUGGAUAGAUUCUUGAUUAUAAUUUCCCGGUUGGGUAUUUUCCUCGUACCAUUGGGUACAAAAAUCCUUGUGUUAAUUUACUUCUGCUGCAAGAUUUUAUUAGUUAGAUUUAGGAUUGAAAUCCUUGUCCAAUCAUAUUCCGGUUAUCUAUUUACUCUACUUGAGGCACGACUUCAUAUGCUAUGUAGCUAUUUACCCUGAAAAGGACCCACCCGCCAUUCACGUGGGGUUUGGCCAUGGAGUUUGCUUGUUGGAAUUGCGAAGGCGUGCCACUGUUGGCAGUGGAAAACUCCAACAAACUGAAAAUGGUAAGACUGGAAAAUACACACCAAUUAAGAGGACUUGACCCAAUACAAGGUUCUUUUCUAUGCCUCAAUUAAGAGGACUACAAUAUUCAUCUAGUGCGAAAAUGGUAACUGACAGAAGCUGAAAUUGAACGGUAAUGGAAAUGACAUAAGUUUAUUGGAAUAUUUCUCUAUUCAGACAACUUGAAAGAAAAAGCAAGUACAUAAACAACACGGCCUGAAGAUUUCUUUAUUCAGACCUGGCACAUAAAAUUAAAAUGGAGAUUAAAGAUUUCUCUAUUUAAUCUUGUACAAGAAAAAAUCAUACCAAGAAUUGGCAGAGCAAAAUAAAGAAAAUUCCUCGGGAGUUGUCAACCAGAAAAUUCAGAGAACGAAAAAGGAAGGCUGUUUCAAGCUUUUGAGUUGGGUUUAUAGACGUUGAGUCUGAUUUUUUUUGGUUGAGUUGUGUGUGUCUUUGCUGAUGAUUUCCCCUUCAAUUUAUAAAAAAUGAGGUUGGUUGAGUGGACCAGCAGCCAAUUUGAAGUACCCAUUUGCCAUUGGUUUUGGUGAGUGGGUUGCUGAAAAUAUAAGUAAACCCAAAAAAGUUUCUAAGAGGUUUUGAUGCGAUUUGACAAAAGUUGUCACUAUUAAACUUAAAGAAAUCCAAAGGAUUAGUCCACUUGACAUUGAUUGGUGAGUGAUAGCCAAAAGUAGCUGACUAAAAGACAAAAAGAAAUGGAGAGAUAAUGACCACCAUCUCUACUUCUUUCUUUAUUCAUUCUUUAAGCCCACUUGCAUAUUAUUUUAUUAUUCUUUCAACCUUGGUGUAGAUUUUUCACGUGUAUGUUGAGCUUUGGUUUUGUUUUAGUAUUCUUCAUCACAGAAAAUAUUAAAUUGUUUCCAUUUACCACAGCAUUAUUUUAUUCUUCUUUGAAUCAACUCAUUUGUUAUGAAGUCCCUCCAUUGAUGAAGUGAAACUUGAUUUGUAACCACUGAGUUUCUCCUCUGAUCAUGCCUUGAUGCAUAAUAAACUGAUAAUGCUAGGUUGAUGCGAUUGCUGCCAAUUUCAGAUAUGUUGUUCUCCACAAAAGUAGGAACAACAUUCAUGAAGAACUUAAUUCCAUUUGAGCAAUAGAAAAUCUGAUUUAACAUGGUUGCAACUGACUGAUUGUCACAUACUCCUGUCACGAAUAGAAAUCAUGAUUAAUGCCCUGAAGAUCCAAUACUUGUGCAAAUGAUGCCAAAUUAGGAUAUGUCGUAGUAGAGAUCCAAAUGAACAACUUUCAUGAAGAAUGAAUGUUCAUUUGAGGACUGAAAGCCAGCCCGAAUCGGGCCAUAAUUAGGCUCGAAUUGCCACUAUUUUUAGCUUUCGCUGUUGCUGGUAUGCUUAUGAUGUUUAAUGUUGCGAGGAUUCCACAUUUGUCCAAAUGAUCCCAAAUUUGGAUAUGUUUCAGUAGACAUUCUAAUAAAUAAAAACUUUCAUAAAGAAAGAUAAUUCAUUAAAGCAUUGGAAUUAGGCCCGAAUUGCUGCUAUAAGCUUUUUACUGUAGCUAUGCAUCUAGUAUUUCCAGCUCUUAGGAUUCCACAUUUGUCCAAAUAAACCCAAAUUUGGUUAUGUUGUAGUAGACAUAGAGAUGAACAACUUUUGUGAAAGAUGAAACUUGAUUUGACCGCUGGAAGUUGAAUUUUGGGCCCACUCCAUCUGACUGCAGCAAUGCAUGUCUAGCCAUAUUUUGGCUAUUUUGAUGUUCAUGGAACAUUAUCUUCCAUUUUAAGCAAAAAUACGAUUUUUGUUACAAACAAUAGCACAUACACUUCAUCAGGCUGAAGUGUCGGGUGUUGGACACACGAACACAGCUUGGACAAGGGUCAAUGGUCAAGACACUUUUGGACACGGUCAACUAAAGUCAAGACACGGCAGGAACUAUUUUGAAAAUUAUGAAACAAAAACUGGGGUCAAAACAUAAUUAUUGAAAACUAUGUGGAAAUAUUUGAAAUAUUUUUAAAAAGUGGGCUAACAAUGUAAACAAUAUUUAAAAAAAAAUAAAUUUGUUCCUUCAUAGCAGAGUUGAUAUUUUUGGUUGACUAAGGAUAUUGAUAGCAAUUUAGUCGUGAGAGAAGCAUCUUUUUCAGUGGGUAAUUCAUUCACUUUGUUUUCUUUUUUUAAAUCUUUUUUAUUUAUGCAAACUUGAUUCUUAUUUUAUGAAGUGUGAAAUUAUUUUUCUUAUUUUGAAGAUGAUAGAUCAUAUACAAAAAAUGUGUGAAAUUGUUUUUAUGUUGAAUCAUGAAUAUGUGUGUCAUUCUUCAUUUUGUUUACGGAAAGAUGAGUAAUGCUAAGUUAACUCAAAUGAGUAGAAUUUGUUUUAUGCUAUUAUGACAUUGAAGUAUUGAGUAUGAUUUUUUUACAAAUAUAUAUAAGUAUAUAUUAUUAUAAUUUUAUUAGGAUUUAUUAUUAUUUUAAUUAUCGUGUCCGUGUCCUAGUUUUUUGAGAUUUUCCUUGUCGACAUAUUGCCGUGUAGUGUUUCUAAGUCCCCGCGUCCGUUUCCAUGCAACAUAGUUGAUAUGCCCCUUGUGCUUUACCGAAAAUCUCAAUUUACCCCUUGACUUUGUAAUUAGGUCAAUAUGCCUCCUGUGCUAUUAUUUUGUGUCUCACAUUGCCCCAUUCCCUCAAUUUAGGCAAUAACACCGUUAAUUCGUUGACGUGGCGUGGACAUUUUAAUAAGGUUUAUUAGGUAAAAUGCCCCUUGAAAUUUUGGUCAAAUUUCACAUUGCACCGUGAAACUGAAAGUGACCCAUAUCCUUUAACCGUGAUUUCGCGUUUCACUUUGCCUCAUGCCGUCAACUCUGUUCCUAACUCCGUCAAAAUUGUUGAUAUGGCAGCUGAAAUUUCACCUUUUUGUCCGAUAUGGCAUAAAAACAUUUUUAAAAAUAAAAAAUUCUCUUAAAUAAUUAAAAUUUAAACAUUAAUAAAUACAAAAACAAAAACAAACCAAAGAACUUCGUCCCCCCACCCUCACCAGCCAUCUCCACUCAGCCCCACUUCGAUGUCACUACCACCUCUCCACCUCCCUGCAGCUCCACUACGACCUCAGCUCACCUACCAGAUCAAUCCACUCUAACAAUCCCCGUAUCCCAUCUCUCUCAGCCCACGAAACCCACCUCAUCCUACAACCGCUCUUCUCGAAGAAACCCCACCACCGCCCAACCACCAGCCACUUCCACCCAAUCACCUCCAGCACAUUCAUCCACCAACUCCAAACCACACAACUUCAAAUCCUAGAACUCCAAAACACCAACCUGCACCCAACCACCUCCAACAAAUCCAUCCUUACCCAGCCACCCUAAUUGAUCCCCUACCCCAAAUUGCGACCCCCAAUUGAUAUCCUACCCCAUAUUACACAAGCCCAACUAUCCCCCAUCCCACUUCCCCAAAUUUGACUUUCAAGUUAAGAAGAAGAAAAGAAAAAGUCGAAACCGAAGAAGAAGCAAAAAAGAAAAGAAAAAGAAAAAUAGAAAGUAGGCUGCGGGAGAAUUAAUAAUAUAACUUUUUUUUUAUUUUUUAUAAUAAUUCUUAUAAGAGUAUAAUAAUGGGAGACUUUGGAAAAGCCCAAAGGAGAGAGAAAAUUUUUAAAAGAAGCAAAAAUGGACAAAAUUGCCCUUAUUUAUUUUUUGAUUUCCUAAGAAAUCCUUUACAUUUGCAUGUCUUUGGUUUGAAAGUUGAGAGGUUAUUCUGUCUUUUUUCAAAAAGCUUUGGCUUUUUCCAAAAGUGAAAGUUUUUUUAUGGGUAAAACCUAAAUUUACUUAUAAAAAUAAAUACUAUCGUUUUACCUAGGUUACAAAAGAACACAACUUGCACUAGUGGUAAGGACCCAUUAUUGGGUAUUGGAGGUCAUGGGUUCGAAUCCCCUUGCACCAAUACUCUUAGGGGUCGUUUGGUACACAGGCUUGGCUUGGACUGGUUUGGACUAAAUUUAGUACCAUGUUUGUUUCAUUUAAUUCUAGUCUUAGAUGGGAUUGCUAAUACCGGGCCCACCAAAAACACCUCCUUAGGAGGGGACUACUAAUCCCAUGUAGAAAGGAAGGAUUAGCUAGUCCUAUGUUUACCAAUGUAUGAGAUGCAUAUAUUAUAUUGUAAUAUUAAUAACAUAUAUUACUAUUAUUAUUAUUAUUACAUAUACAUAUACUAUAAUGUACAUAUAUACAUGUAUAUACACAUAUACAAGUAUAUAUAUACACAUAUAUACAUAUAUAAUAUAUAAAUACAUAUAGAUAUAUACACAUAUAUUAUUAUUAUAAUAUACUCAUUACACAUACAUAUUAAUAUUAUAAUAGUAGCAUACAUGUAUACAUGUAUAUAUGUAAUAUAUAUUAUAUUAUAUAUUAAUGUACAUAUAUACACGUAUAUACAUGUAUAUAUAUAAACACAUAUAAAUACAUAUAUAAUAUAUAAAUAUAUAUAGAUAUAUACACGUAUAUUAUUAUUAUAAUAUACCCAUAUACACAUGCAUAUUAAUAUUAUAAUAAUAGCAUACAUGUAUAUAUGUAAUAUAUAUAUUAUUAUAAUACAUAUAUAUAAGUAUAUAUACAUAUAUGUGUAUAUAUUAUACCCAUGUAUGUAUUAUAAUAUACAUAUACACACGUAUAUAGACAUAUACAUUAUAUAUUUAUACUAUAUGCAUAUAUAUUAUAAUAUACAUAUAUACACGUAUAUACAUGUAUAUUAUUAUUAUAACAUACCCAUAUAUAUUAUCUAUUAUAAUAUACAUAUGUAUAUGUAUAUGUAUUAUACCCAUGUAUAUAUUAUAAUAUAUAGAUACACCUAUAUACACAUAUAUUAUAUACAUGUAUAUACGUAUAUAUAUGUAUAUUAUAAUUUAUUAUAUAUAUACAUAAAUUAUAUAUAUACAUAUGUAUUUUAUAAUAUAUAUAUAAUAUAUAUGUAUAUAUACAUACAUAUAUAAUAUACAUAUAUACACAUAUAUACAUGUAUAUUAUUAUUAUUAUUAUUAUUAUAACAUACCCAUAUAUAUAUUAUAUAUUAUAAUAUACAUACAUAUAUAUAAAUAUAUGUAUAUGUAUUAUACCCAUGUAUAUUAUAAUAUACAUAUAUACACCUAUAUACACUUAUAUAUAUGUAUGUACGUUUAUAUUAUUUAAAAUAUAUAAUAUUAUUAUAAUAUACUUAUAUACAUGUAUAUACAUAUAUAUUAUAUAUAUUAUAAAAUACAUAUAUACAUAUAUAUAGAUAUUUUUGAAAAAAUAAAAAAAUUAUAGUCCUAGUCCAAGCAUACACCAAAUGCAGGAUAAAUGUUAUCCAACUUAGACCAAGCCAAGCCAAGCCAAGCCAAGCCAGUCCCUAAGCAUAGUCCAUGCCAAGACAGUCCUGUGUACCAAACGAGCCUUAAUAUUUGUGUUUCUUUAGCCUUUGAAUAGAGGUGGGCUCCACAAUUUGCCAAGUUACCCUCUCAUAUUGGAUGGAAAAUAUCCAUCUAGGAUGAAAAGACGAAACUAUCCCUACCACAUCAAUAUUUUUAAUGGAGUUGACGGUAGGGGAAAAAGUAAAAUGUGAAACCUAAUCUCCAAUUUCGUGGAGAUUUGAUCAAAGUUUCAAAGGGCAUUCUAACUAAUAAGCCUUUUAAUUAUUUUGUAAGUUAAAACCCGAAUAAAAAUAUUUUAAAAAACACAUUUCUUUUAGAACUUUCAAUUUUUGAAGUGUUUAUAAAAUGAAAUUGAGCAACCCUUCCUCCAUCUCCCCCUCUCUCCAACUCGAGAUGGCAACGGGCCGGUUAGGGGCCGGGUAUGGCAAUAUCAUCCCCGUCCCCACUCCCCAUACCAGUCCUCGUCCCCGCCACAAUCCCUGGUUUAGGCUUUCUGGGGAAUCCCCGUCCCCAUCCUUGUCGGGGAAGUGCCUCCCAUACCCACCCUAAUCCCCGGUUUUUAAUAAGAUAUUUCUUGUUAAAAUAAUUUUCUAAAGCACAGUCACAUCAUUGUGAAAUUUUAAAAACAGCCAACACAAGAUAUUUCUUGUUAGAAUAAUUUCUCAACAAGGCAAAGAAGGAGGACAUAAAACUUGAAAUAAUUUCUCAAUCCAAAUCUUUAGAAACUUUUUCAGUAAGCACAACAAAUCCAUCUAGUCUUAAAUUAGACAACCAAUCCUAAAUAAGUAUUAACAAUAUUAUGUCAUCAAAUAAAACUUCACAAUUUCAAUGAACUCUCAUAUGCUUCAUCAUUCAUAGCUUUAAUAAAAAAAAAUAAAGAGAUGUUCUCUGUUUGAAUGGUAGACUCCUACCACACAAAAAAAUUAAUAAGAUAAAGAUAUUACAAUUAUUUAAAAGAAAAUGAGAAACUAGCCAAUAUAAAAAAAAUCAUUUAAAAAAAUAAAGAGAGCUAUUAAAUAUAAGAAUGUUACCUCUUCCUCAUUAUUAUCAACUUCCUCAUCUUGAAUGGUGACUCUUCUAGCUUCGUUCUCAUUAUAGCUUGAAGCUAACGAGAUAAAAAAUAUAUAUAAGAAAACAAUAAUAAAAUGUUUUACUUAAUAUGAAAAAUAUAACCACAAAAAUAUUUCAAUUCCUCUUAUCUCACUCCAUAACAAAUCACGAGAGCACAUCAAUGUCUCUACUAUUUUUGAAUAAAGCUGGCUACGAUGAGGGCUUAUAAUCCUUCGACUAGUACUAAAGCAAGACUCUGAAGCAACUGUGGAUACAUGAAUGGCCAAAAUAUCUCUAGCAAUAUCGUCCAAAGUAGGAUAUUUGAUCCCUUUUGAUUUCCACCAACAUAAUAUAUCAAAAUCAUCAUCAUCAUUCCUAGGUAAAAGAGACUCUUCUAGAUAAUGAUCCAACUUUGAUUUAACAUGUCCAUGGGUAGUAGAGUGAGAAACGAACACAUCCAAUUGCUUUACCAAAUCAAGUUUACGCCCAUAGAUGGCCAAGGUGAAGAAGUAGGAAUCAAAGAUUCAGAUUGCAGCUGCUGACUUUGUUGAGAUUUUGACUGAUAUCCUUGACUAAGUCAUAGAGAAUAUCUUUAUAUUUCUUAAUCUCUUGAGUUGCAUUAUUUGGAUAUAUUAGUGGGCAUAAAAAUUCAAUUUGUUUAAUCUUAUACCCUGGAUCCAAAAUACUUGCAACUCCCAUCCAUGCAUUGUAUCCCAAUACUUCUCAAAAUUUGUUUGCAUAUGUAAUGUCGUUGCUGUGAUACCCUAACCCAAUUUUAACCAUUUAUUUAAUCUAUAUUUUUAUUAAAUUUAAUUAAUGGUGAAAUUACAAUUUUGCCCUUGGGUUAGGGUCAUUUUGGUAACUUUUUAAUCAUGUAUGAUUUUGGGGAAUUGAAUGGUACCGUUGCGUAGAGCUCAUCGAUAUGAGUUCAUAGACACAUAGUGGGCUCAAAUUGUAGUUUUAAUGAAGAAGUUAUGGUCAACGGAAGUGCAGUGGCACAACCAUAAAUAUUUUGAAGUUAAUUUUUUUUAAAAACCAACACAGCUUCUCUCUCUCUCUCUCUCUCUCUCUCUCUCUCUCUCUCUCUACCCUCGCGAAGACAGCACAGUCAGCCACUGUUUGGCCAGCAAUCUCCCUCCUCUGGCCACCUUUGGCCAGGAGACCGGCCCCAAAAGAACCAGCCCUACAUCCUCCCCUCAUCCCUCCCUUUUUCCCAACGAACCACAGCCGCCUAUGCUGGAAGGAGCUCGAAAACAGGCCGGUUUUCUCUCAAAUUUUUCGUCAGCGUUUUCGACGAUUCAGGCCACCGAUUUUGUCGAUCCAUAUGUGCUUUUUCAUCUAUUCAACGUGAUCUAGCUAAUGGUUGGCUUGGUUAGGAUUUAUUUUGAAGUUUCGAAGCUCAAUUUAGGAUCUAAGUUUUGACCCAUUUUUUGCUUUAUUUUUUUGGCAAGCUCUGGCCACUUUUUGGCCCUAGCCUAAGAACAAAAGUUUCUCUACUACUUGUCGCGAACACAUAGGUAUAGGAUUGUCGGGUGUUUUGAGAAUUUUUCGGUCAUUGGAAUUUUCUCAAGACACCCACGCGUUGCCCGCGCGUGAGCCAAGGUUGGGUGGCCUAUUUGGUUCUAAAAUGUUCCCCAUGUCGUCCCAAGCACGACGGUAUGCUCGGAUUCGAAUUUGGUUAUCAUUUGACAAUCAAACAGAUUUACGCAUAUUAGGUGAUGUCUGGAUUCAAUAUGAUUAGACCGUUGGAUCGGCCCCAUUGCCAAAUAUGUUGAUCUAGGUCCUCUAGAAUCGUGUAGGAACUCACGGAUCGAGAAUCGGAGUCCCAGAUACUCCAAAUCAUUGAUUCAAAGAUUACGUAAAACAGUGAUCGUCCGAUUAUGCGAUCGAGAGCUAUCCGACCGCUUGAUGUGGACCAUACUUGCAGCACGUAGUUGGUAUACCUUGUUGAACCCGUAGGAACUUUCAGAUAGGAAAUCGGAGGUCGUGGGCCCUGCAGGUCUGGUUAACCGAGAGUCUUCUGAGGUUAUUUCACCUUUUGAAACAUGUAGUUGAGCCUUAGAAACUCACCGAUUGUCGUACACACCCUUGAGUCCUGGGAAAAACUAGGAGUUUGUUUUUAAAGUUCUUGUUCGAAGUAUUUUAAUUAAUCUAGUCCUCAUAUUCUUCAAUAGGUACUCCGGCUCAGCGUACCUAGCAAGCAAGACCCUAUCAGGGUCAUGCAGCGUCGGACUUUCUGUGAGUGGACUUUGUUUUGAAAUAGAAUUAUUUUCAACGAUUAAAUUACCAUGCAUUUAAAAAUGGAUUAUUUUGAUUAUAGAGUUUAUAUAUCGUUUAAUUAUGGAAAUUUCGAUUUUCUUGGUAAUUGAAGUCUAUAAUUAUAUUUGAUAUGAAUUAUAUGUUUUGCGAAAUUGUUAUUUGCUUAAUGACUAAAUAAUUGGGAAAGUGAUGGAUAAGAAUUGGGUACUUUGUUGAUUAUUAUGUGAAUAUGUAAUUGCACCAUGCUAAGUACCAUCCCUCGGUUUACGUACCCACACGUGGCGUUGGAUUUUUCGAAGUGUGGGCAAAUCUGAUUUUGUUAUUACUUUAUCACACGUGGCGUUGGAUUAUCCGGUGUGUGAUAAAGCAGUUUGCGUGCGUAGGACAUAGUUGGUUUGGUUUGGCCACACGUGGCGUUGGAAUUUCUGGCGUGUGUGCUGUAGAGUGGUAGUCCCCCAGUUGGACAGCUCAUCCCUAGACGCAAGGUAGAAAGUUGAAACCCUACGAGCUAGUCAAACAAUCUCCAUGCUGGAUUAUUUCCCCGGUGCUCGUGUUGGUGUGAAAAUAUUAUAUAUAGUUAUAAAUUAUAUUAUUUGUAUAGUUAUGGAUUUUGGUAUCUAUACAAUUAAAAGAUUCUUCGUGUCUAUAUGUAUAUACGCUUAACUAUUUCAAAAGCUUUCUUAACAUAUUUCGUUUUAUAAGCCUAUGUUUCCGGAAGGGAUUUGGUUGGAGUCAAAGGAUGUGACUUGGAUAGUUUGAUAUUAUAUCAGGAGUGUGAGAGUACAUCAGUUUCACAUUGAAUACGUCUGAAUGUUUUUGAUUGCAUGUUUUUAGCAUCGUUUUCUAAACGGUGGGGUCAGUAUGUUGUUUUGAUUAUAAUAAAACUUUGUUUUGUCCACUCACAAGUUUUCUGUUUUGCGCCCCUCAGGCAGUAGCUAGACCUGAAUCGAGCGGCCGAGUCGAGACUUGAACUAUCGAGCAUCGAACUCUUGUAGGGUAACUUUUAUUUGUCUCGUUUACCGUCGAACUUUAUUUUCGCUUGUAACUUGAAUUUAUCUAGAUUUGCUCUAUUACCGCCCAUGCUAGGGUUGGAUGUAAGGCCAGAGGCAAUUUAUGUAAAUUGUACGUUUCUACAUUGUGCAUGCUGUUGGUUGGGAUUUAUAUUGUGUUCUAAUAGGUUAAAAGUUUUAGGAAAGUCCGUUUUUCAGGGGAGACUCUGCCGAAAUUUCAGCAGAAAGUCUCGCCCCUCAUUUCCUUCGUUUUUGGAGAAGAAGGUGAAGUUAGUAAGUGGGCCCGGUAUUGGGUGGAUGUCUGAAAAACCAUAGGAUUUGUCACGGAUUCUGAGAAAUUCAGGAAGGGUCCUGUCAGUUGCUUGCACCUCUUCUUGUUCAAAACUAAGCCAAUCAUAAAUUGCUAAUCUAAUAGCACAAAUAUUCUUAAAGUAAAGAUUGACAGUAGGAUACUUGGUCCCUGAAAAAAGAACAGUCACAUCAUAAAACAUGGCCAACUUAUGAAUAAUCUCCUUUGUCUUUGCCCAAUCACUUUCACUAGGCACUUCUUUGUACAAUGGCUCACGGUUCUUCAAACGAGGAAAAACAUCUUUGUAUAUCAUUGCAUUCUUAAGCAUGGUAAAAUGUAGAGUUCUAUCUAGUCUUACAAUCAAGUUCUAAUAUUUUAGAGGUUAGAACUCUCAACUGCCUGGCAGCUUCAAGAAAUUUAUCCUCUCAUUUUUGGGUUCCUAGCCAAAAUGCAACACUGUACCUAAUUUUCUCAAUACUCUUUUUCAUCACCUCUAAGCCAUCUCUCACUAUCAAAUUCAGAAUAUGAGCACAACACUGCAUGUGGGAUAAACGUCCAUCUAACAUAAGUGAAUUGGAGCAAAUCUUAUCUAACACUAUCACAAUCAUGGAAUCAUUUGUAGAACAAUUAUCUACAGUUAAGGUAGACAACUUGUGGUCAAGAUUCCGUUGGAACAUGCAUUCCAAUAAAGUAUCAGCAAGUACCUCCGUCGUGUGUGGACAUGGAACAUAUAUAAACCUUUAAUAACCCAAAUAAGUCAGAAUGUAAUUAUUUUAAAAAAAUAGGAUUAAUAAUUCAAAUAAGAAAAGUAUAAUACAUUUACCUUAUUAGUCGGCUUUGUAAAUUCCAUAUGCAUCAUCAAUGAAAUGUGAUGUGAUAGUCAUGAAUCCUCUCUUUUGAUUAUUUGAUGUCCACAUAUCCGUUGUAAUGGCAAUUCUACUUCUGUUGGUUUCCAGCAACUUCAUUGUUUUCUACCUCUUAACUUCAAAAACCUUAAAUAUGUCCUUCUUGAUUGUGUUUCAAGAACACCUAAAAUAAUGGUUGCAAAGCAUUGGAAUACAUCUUGAAUCCAAUAUGAUCAACCAUGGAUAAUGGAUACUCAUGAAGAAUAAUCACAUUUGCAACUGUCUUUCUAGCAUGGUCGUGGUCAAAAUUAUAAGUACCAAGUUUGACAGUCCCAUCACUCAACUUUGUAGGAUUCAACAUUGAUUCAUCUAUGGUUCUUUGUUUUUUUUGUUUUUAAAGACAAGACGUUACAUGAUCAAGUAAAUGUCUAGUCCCAUUCUUGCUACUUGCAACUAAGAUAUUCUUAUAAUGAAUGCACACAGCUUUCAUUUGACCUCGAAUUUCUUUCUUUUGAAAAUGUUCCCAAGUAGGAGAUCUACCUUUCCUUUUGUUCAUAGCAGCUUGAGUUGAACUUGUGGCUUCGGUGUUGUUAUUUUCAGUUACUAUAAGAUUCUUAUCAUUUUCAUUUGGUGUGGGGUUGUUAUCCUCCCCAAUUUGGGUUUCAAGAACUUGAGUCUCUUCAUUGUCGUCACCCAUCUAGGAAAAAAAAAUUAUAAAGACCGAUACAUCAAUUGGAAGGUACAAUAUUUUUUACUAUAUAAUUAUUUAACUUACUACAAUCAAUGUAUUUUAUUUAUAUGCAUACAAUUGGAUUAAACAACAAGAACAAAAUUAGUCAUAACAAAAAAAAAAUUCCCAGCAAGGUUGCCUCUUGGCAUAGUAUUGAAGGGCACUCCAUACAAUGGUUUUGCGUGGUUUCCAUAGAUCGAAAAGGUACAACUUUUAUUGAACUAAUCGUUGUUAGAUUUCCUUUCGUUAUGUCUGGAGGUUAAAAAUAUGAACAUGUUGGUGCUUUUUAUUCUCUCAAAAGGAAAAGAAUAAAGCAUGCAUAUCAAAAAAGGUACAACUUUUAUCAUAACAAAGCAUGCAUAUUAGACAAGGUAUAACUUUUAUCAGACCAAAGCAUGCAUAUGUCAUGCUUUGUGGUGUUAAUUGCUUUAGAGACAACAAAGUAAACAAUAGAAAUUUUCAAAAAGAGAGAGAACCUUGCUGACAGUGAACUUGAUGUGUAGUCACUCGCUCAAAGAAUUCGAGACGAUAGCAACACGUGUUGGAGGAAGGAAUAAGGAGCGACAGACAGUGACUCUCUAGGGUAACUUUGUUUAUUAUAUUAUAAUAAUAUGUGUAUAUAUAUAUUAUAUUAAUUAUAAAUAAAUAUAUUACUUAUCGGGCUGAGUUCAGGGAUGGGAAUAACAAUACCAUCCUCAGUUAGGGGAUUUUGCAAAUUCGGAGAUCCUCGUACCCGGCCCCGAUUUUCCCCCGAAAACUCCCCCCAUUAGGGCCGGGGACCCAACGGGUAUUAUUGCCAUUCCUAUCUCCAACCACCCUACCGCAACCACAUUUCCCCCCUCCCCUUGUCCACCCAUGUGGCCCGUUCUUUCUUUCCUCCCUAACUUACUAAUCCAAGAGAUUGAAGAAGUGGGGAGAUGAAUUGCGUUUGAUAACCCAAUCCCACUACCAUGACAACCCUCGCAAGCCACACCCACCCUUGUCCUCGUCACCAUCAUUAUCAUCAUCCAUAUCCCAACCAUUUGGAGGCAAAUGAUAUUAAAUAGUUAUCAUAGCUUCCAUCAAACAUGCCUACUCAUCAUCCACUAAACAUAUACUAUCAUAUCUCCCAACAAAGCUAAUUACUCACCGCUAAUAUACCUCCACUGAAAUCCACUUUAUAUCUCAAGUAGACAACUAGAUCUUUGUAUAUUAGUGUAGGCACAUUAUUACCUUUUAUUAUUUUGUCACUAAAGUUGUAUAUAUAUAUUGUACUACACACUGCACAAGAAAUAUGAAUGAAUACAAAAACAUUUUGUAGCUUUAGAUUCUUCAUGGUAUCAGAGCUUUAACAGCUCCACCGAGCAUCCUUUUCUAUUCAUUUUUUUUUCUUCCUCUAUUCAUUCAUGCCUUUAAACAUGGCCACCGAAACCUCCCAAUCCCUUAGUCUUACUGUGUCCUCUCCCAACUCCACAGACACCACUACUUCCUUAAUCACUAUCAAUGCCGCUGCUCAACUCCCAAUCAAACUAACGCCCUUAAACUAUCCCUCUUGGUGGGCGCAGUUCAAUGCUUUUCUCUUAGGAUAUGAUCUGAUCGGGUAUGCAAACGAGAUAUAUACUUCCCCACCACUAUCAAUCGCUGGUUCUCCAUCUUAUCCCCACGCUCUAUGGACACUUCAAGAUCAACUAUUGCUUCAUGCCAUCCUUGCUUCGGUAUCUGAACAAGUUAUCUCCUUCAUUGCUUCUGCAAAAACCUCCAAGGCUGCGUGGGACAAACUCUCAUAGCUCUUUGCCAACCAAACUCGAUCCCGUGUCAUGAGUCUCAAAGAAAGACUCACCCUCACACGUUGUGACUCCAAACCUAUCACUGCAUACCUGAAAACUAUGAAAGCCAUUGCUGACGAGUUAGCCUUUAUUGAUGCUCCGGUUGCUGAUAAAGAUCUUGUCAUCAUAUUCUUAACGGUGUUGGUCCUGAAUUCAAGGAACUUGCCGCUGCUGUUCAUGCUCGUGAAAGCUCAAUUUCCUUUGAAGAGCUUCACAACAAACUUGGUGAGUAUGUACAACAUGAGGACACCCAUACUGCAUCGCCUGUCAUUACUGCAAACAUUACUCAGCAACCCCAUUCCUCUUGGCCCCAUCGCGAAUCCUUUGGCACUACUUCCUUCAAUCAUAGUCCUUCCAAUACUACUCAAUUUCGACGCUCUUAUAAUACCUUUAGAACUGGCCAUCGUGGUUUUUGUCAACUUUGUGAUCAACAAGGUCAUAGCGCCAAGCGUUGUUCCCGAGCUCGUUUUGUCCAGCAGUAGCCACCAGUUGCAAACUAUGCUUUUGGUACCACUGUCUCUUCGUAAACUUGGUUCAUCGACUCUGGUGCCUCCCACCAUGUCACUGCUAAUCUGAAAAAUCUCUCUGUCCAUUCUCCAUAUGAAGGUUCUGAUGAAAUUGUCAUUGGUAAUGGAUCAAGUUUGGAAAUCACACAUGUUGGAUCUACCUACCUUUCUUCUUCCUCCCUUACUACUUUUUCCUUAUCUAACAUGCUUUGCGUUCCUUCCAUACCUAAAAAUUUAAUAUUUGUUUCUAAAUUAUGUAAACAUAACAAUACCUCAAUUGAAUUUUUCCCCUCUUACUUUUGUGUGAAGGAUCUGCGCAUGGAGACAACACCUCUUUGAGGUAUGAAUAAGAAUGACGUGUAUGAGUGGCCUCAAUCUUCCACUAGUUCCUUCGUCCAGGCUGUUGCUAUGGUUAGUAAAGCAACCCCUAUGCAUGCCUGGCAUCAACUCCUUGGUCACCCAAAUAACCGCACUCUUCAUAAAAUUAUCCAUUUCUCCUCCCUCUCUAUGUCGUCUAAAUCCUUUAGUGUGUCUUCAUGUGCGUCAUGUUGUAAUAAGAGCGAUCGACUCCCGUUUGGUAUUUCUUCUCUUAUGAGUAGAAGUCCUCUUGAUCUCCUCUAUAGUGAUGUUUGGGGCCUUGCUCAGAUUACGUCAAUUCAUGAUUUUACAUAUUAUGUUAUCUUUGUCGACCAUUACACCAAAUACAUUUGGCUCUACCCCAUUAAACUCAAAUUUGGCGUGCCUCAUAUUUUUACCAAAUUUAAAUCCCUUGUCGAAAAUUAUUUCAAAACAAAAAUUUCUACAUUUUACUCUGAUGGGGGUGGUGAGUAUGUCAAACUCAAAGAUUUUCUUGCUUCUAGUGGUAUUUACCACCUAACUUCCCCUCCUUACACUCCAAAACACAAUGGGUUAGCUAAGCGUUGUCAUUGUCAUGUUGUUGAAACUGGUCUUACCCUCCUUCAUCAACCCUCCAAGCCACUCUCCUAUUGGACUCAUGCGUUUUAAGCUGCGAUAUACCUUAUCAAUCGCACGCCUAUCUCCACUCUUGGAAACAUAUCACCCCACAUUGCUCUUUUUGGUCAACCUCCUCACUACCUUAAAUUUCGUGUCUUCGACUGUUUAUGUUUUCCUUGGUUACGUCCCUGUAACUCUUAUAAAUUUGUUCUGUGUUCUCGCCCAUGUCUUUUUCUUGGCUAUUCCCUUUCCCAAAGUGCCUACAAAUGCCUUGAUCUUUCUUCUCAGCUUCUUUUUUGUCUCUUGACAUGUUGUAUUUGAUGAGUCUGUCUUCCUAUUCACUUUACAUAAUCCAUCUGCUCCUCGUGUCUCUGCUUCCAGCCUUGAGCUCUGGUUUUCUCUCAUCCCCCCUAUCUUACAUGCGUCUAUCAUGCAUCCUACGACAUCACAUCACUAGACUUCACCAUCCAUAGCUCCUGCUUCGCCGGUUGCUAGUGCCUCAUCUCCGUCAUCUUGUUCUCCCUCGAAUGAACCUUGUCCCCUCAUGCCUGAUCCUUCACCAGCAUUUCCUAGGAGUUCACCUUCUCCACCACCGCCUCCUCCACCUCCUCCUACCAAUCAUCACCCCAUGAUUACCCGAUCCAAAAACCAUAUCUUUAAACCCAAACACAUUCAUGUCACUACCAAAUACCCUCUCCCUUCGUCUUUAGAACCAACAUGUGUCUCUUAGGCCCUCGGGAUCCUCUUGUCUGAUGAAUUUAAUGCCUUAAUUCGAAAUGGAACCUGGGUACUUGUUCUAGCCACUUUUCAUCAGAACCUCAUAGGUUGCAAGUGGGUAUUUCGCAUCAAACAUCACCUGAAUGGUAGUAUUGACAGAUACAAGGCACGUUUAGUUGCUAAAGGUUUUCAUCAGUGCCCUGGCAUUGAUUUCUCUAACACCUUCAGUCCUGUUGUAAAACCUACUACCAUUAGAAUUAUUCUACAUCUUGCUCUCUCUUUGGGAUGGCCCAUCGCCAACUUGAUGUCAAUAAUGCAUUUCUCCAUGGUUCAUUCUCUGAAGAUGUCUAUAUGUUACAACCCCUUGGUUUUGUGGACUCAAAUUUUCCAUCUCAUGUAUGUAAACUUCGCAAAGCACUAUAUGGUCUCAAGCAGGCACAACGUGCAUGGUAUAAAGAAUUGAGCUCCUUCUUGCUCUCUCAUGCAUUCACCAACGCCCUUUCAGAUGCCUCCUUAUUUAUUUAUCAUCAUGGUUUUGCUAUUAUUUACUUCCUUGUCUAUGUUGAUGACCUUAUUGUUAUAGGAAAUAAUUCAUAUACUCUGUCUAAAUUUCUUCAUGACCUUUCCGAGCGAUUCUCGCUCAAAGAUUUGGGUCCUCUUCACUAUUUGUUUUGGAGAGAAAGUUUAGGUUUCUGUUAGGGAUUCAGAUAAGUUUUUGCAUUUAGUUUGAAUAAGCCCUAGUCCUUAGGAUACAUGUUUAGUUGCAUUUAUCACAUUGAUUAGUUGUAAACGUGAGCUAGUUUUUCUCAUUAUGUUAAUAUUGUAGAAGGCUAUUUAUAAGCCUAGAUUGUUCAAUAUGAGUAAUGUCAUUCCCAGAACUGUUGUGUUGUGUUUUGAUUCUUAACAUUCUAGUAUCAGAGCCUCCAUUGGGCCUGACAAAAUCAAAGCAGCAGUCUUUGAGAUUUUUGCAGCAGCAAAGAAGAUGACAACCGAAGGGAAUUUUGUGCAGCUAGCCAUCCCUUGCUUCGAUGGUCACUAUGACCAUUGGAGCAUGUUGAUGGAGAAUUUCUUGCGAUCUAAGGAAUAUUAGGAGCUGGUAGAAACUGGCUAUGUUGAGCCAAAGCAUGGAGCGGUGUAGAUAGAAGCACAGUGAAAGGGGCUCAAUGAAUUGAAGAUGAAAGAUUUGAAAGUCAAAAAUGAUCUCUUUCAGGCCAUAGAUCGAACGAUAUUGGAGACCAUUCUCGUGAAGGAUACUUCCAAACAAAUUUGGGAGUCUAUAAAGAAAAAGUUUGAAGGGAGUGCUAGGGUUAAGAGGUCACAUCUACAAGCUCUCCACAAAGAGUUUGAAACCCUAGAUAUGAAGGUUGGAGAAGGAGUCUCGGAGUACUUUUCAAGAGUGUUGUCUGUGGCCAACAAGAUGAGAACACAUGGAGAGCAGAUGCAAGAUGUCCCAGUGGUGGAGAAGAUUCUCAGAUUAUUGAGUGAGAAAUUUAAUUAUGUCGUUUCCUCGAUCGAGGAGUCCAAAGACAUUGAUCUACUCUCCAUUGAUGAACUGUAGAGUUCUCUGAUUGUUUAUGAGCAAAAAUUCCAGCAACAUAAGGAGAAGAACAAGCACUCAAGAUAACCUCUGAAGACAGGUUUGUUGCAAAAGGACCGAGUCAAGGUGCAUACAGAGGUCGAGGAAGAGGGAGAGGCCGCUAGUCCUACAAUAAAGCAAUAGUGGAAUGCUAUAAGUGUCACAAGCUUGGACACUUUCAAUCUGAGUGUCCAAGCUGGGAUAAGGUAGCCAACUACGCUGAAUUAGGAGAAGAAGAAGAGAUGUUGCUCGUGUCAUAUGUGGAGAUGAAAAGUGCUCGAAGGGAAGAUGUCUGGUUCCUAGAUUCUGGAUGUAGCAACCACAUGUGUGGUGACAAAAGCCUGUUCUGUGAUUUAAAUGAGGACUUUAGGCAGAUUGUAAAGCUGGGAAAUAACACAAGGAUGGCUGUAUUAGGAAAAGGCAACAUGAGGUUGAUAGUAAGUGGCUUUACACAUGUUGUUAGUGAAGUAUUUUUUGUGCCUAAACUAAAGAACAAUCUUCUGAGCAUUGGUCAACUACAAGAAAGAGGGUUGACAAUUCUCAUUCAACAUGGAAAGCUCAAAAUUUAUUGUUUGUGCAAAUAAUCUCACGGGAGAAUAUUCGCCAAAGAUUCCUUCGUCCUCUCCGCCUCUCUUUCUCCCUGCAAAACAGAUCGGAGUAAAAGGACCACACCCGGGGGGUGUUGGCCAAAGGCCCUCCGAUGCCUAAGUUAAGUAAGGGAAUUCAAGGAAAACCGGGUGGCCAGAGCCGUGUGUGGUGGCCGGAGCCUUGUGUGAGAGAGAGAGAGAGGAGGUGGCUAGGGUCUCUGAGAAAAUAAUUUAUGCAGAGUUUGAGUAGGAAUUUAGACGUACCUCAUCCUUGUGCGUAACCAGGUAUUUAUAGUGGCCUUUGGAGAGGUAGGUGGGGUUGGUGUAGUUGGUGUGGUUGGUGUGGUUGGUGUGGUUGGUGUAGUUGGUGUGGUUGGUGGGGUUGGUGCAUUUAGGGAUUAUGGAUGAACCGAAUCCCUAAUUAAAUUAGGGAUCAAGUAACCCCCAAUUUGAUUAGGUAAUUCCCAAUUAGGUUAGGUAACUCCUAAUUAGGUCAAAUAAUUCCCAAAUUGAUUGGCCUAAUUAAUUGACCUAAGGUUUUGGUUUAAUUAGGUUCCCACAAAUGCCCCCCAGCUUCUGCAUGGCGCGUGGUGGCAUGUAGGAGAUGUAAAUUAUCCGUUGGGCUGUCCAGCUGUAACUGACUUCCUUCGUGGACUUGGGCUCCUGCGUGGAGGAGGCUUUUUACUCGGGCUGUCUAGCUGUAACUGGGCUGGAGGUGCGCGAUCUGCUGCUGGAGCAGGUGGUAGUUUGGAUCAUCUUUUUUGUGGCUGAUCCAAAUUGCUUCAAUUCCUUCUUCUUUUUGUGCCACAAACUAGGAUCAGUAUGAGUCAAGGCGAUCAUGUGCGGAGCAAGGAUGUGCUGGAGGUUAGCGGCAGAUGGGAAGGGGAGUUUGGCGACGGUCCGCUCGUUCCUCUCACCUACUGCGAUGGUAUGUCGCAUCCCUCUGAUCUGCUACUGUUGCCAUGGAAUUCUUUGCUGUGUCUGACUAACUUUCGUCUCAUACUUGCAGAUGAUGCCAUCCAAAAGAAGCUCGUUCUCGACCCGGACAUGACGAAGGUUCGACAAGCUUUGAGCAUCCCCGCCAAGUUUCGUGAAUGGCGCUGGCUGCUGAGCGAACAUCGGGAGGAGUCAUCGACUGAGUCCCCCGAUGGUGGGAAAACGUGCAGUAGCGCUGCUCGAGAUGAAGCUGCAGUUUCACGAUCAGUGGAUACGUCUCCACAGCGAAGGCAGCCCAGAUCUUCUCUUGCCACGAACAAGUCUUCUACAAGGGAGGUCUCGCCUGCUCAGAAGGCCCAUAUGGGAGUUGCUCAUGCCUCGUCUGCCGGGAUCAAACGCCUCGUCAGCGAACAGCAAGAAGGCCAACGGCAUGCAGGAGGUUCGGGAGAUUCUGCUCAAGUCUUUGCCCGUACUGCCUAAGACCCGUGAUCUGCCAUGCAAGGAAGCCGCUGGGAAGCAAGGUUUGGGUCGUCCGUGCCAAUCUGGGAACCAAGCUGAGAUGACUGUACCUCUGUCCAGCGACCAUGACUCAUCUGCGGGGCCACGAACAGUCAAGCGCAGGGCUGACUCAAUGUUGCGAGUUGUAGCCAAAAGAGCUAAAGAGUCAUCUGCUCGAGCGAAGAGUCCUCCAAUUGCACGAACUGCCGGUCCGGGAACUGGUGAUAGCUCUGCUGGGGGCGAGCCAGUGUCUGAUCUGCUGAAAACGGGCUUUCUGUCAAGUCCAUCUGCUUGCGCUAAGCUAUCUGAUCAUGUGUAUCGAGCUGGUGACCUUUGUGCUUUCUCGAGCCUUCCCUUGGAUAAGCAAGAAGAAGCUGCCAUGUAUCACCUUCAAAAGGGAAUGGUUUUUGCUGUUGGGGCCAUGCGGAACUCGCGUAAUGUUGCCCCCUCUUCUGCCCUGCUCGACGAACUGGUGAAGAAGAAUUCCGACCUGACUGACAAGCUCUCGAACGAGCGGAUUCGCCAUGAUGCGAGGAUUUCCGAGAUGAAGGAGAGUAUGUCCGUGCUCAAGAGUUCAGUUGGCCAAAAGGAUGGUGAACUCAAGUCUCUAAUGGCUACCCUGCUCGAACGCAAGGAAGCCUUCUUCUGCCUCGAACGUAAGCAUGCCGCUUUGGCCCAGGAUCAUGACAAACUGCUGGUCAAGUUUGAUACCCAUGUGGAAGCCACGGAGGCAUCCAAGCACGAGAUGGCUGCUAAUGCGUACAAGCUGGGAUACCUGGAUUGCCAGAAUGGUGCUUCUCCUUGCUGCCUUCUCUAAGAUGAUGACGGUAAGCAGUCUGGUCUUGACCUGCCCCCCGUUCAGAGUGGGCAGGUGGAUGCUAUGGAUGCAGAAACAGUUGAAGAGCAGAUAGCAGAUGAAGCUGCAAUUGAGGAAGACAAACGCCAAGGUGGGUCAGUUGAUGAGGCUAAAGCGGAUGCGAAGGAGCAAGCAGCUGAGGCGGUUGAGCAAGUUGUGCUGGCUGGGCAGAAUGAGGCUGUUGCCAGUGCAGUUGAGGAUGUGACCUGCUAAGGGUCACCUGCUGAAGUUCCCUAGUAGUUGUAGUUCAUUUUUGCUAUUUUUGAACUUUGUUAUUUUCUUUCAAUAAGUGGUCUUUUGUUUGACCAUCUUACUUCUUGUUGAACUUGGCUGAUUGGCUGCUUUGUUAUGGAAUUUUAAGUUGUCUUUCGAACUUCAAUUCUCAUUGUAUCUUGUAAGUGUGUGUCCGGAGACAUAGCACUUGGAAGACAUAUUGCUUGAAAAAGACUCCAUUGAGUUUGUGCUCCGGGGAGCAGCUUGUCUGCAAUGGAGCUAAGGCUUGUCGCCUGUGUGCGUAUGUCGGGGACAUAGCGCUUGAAAAAGACUCCAUUGAGUUUGUGCUCUAGGGAGCAGCUUGUCUGCAAUGGAGGUAAGUGUGCGUAUGUCAGGGACAUAGCGCUUGAAAAAGACUCCAUUGAGUUUGUGCUCCGGAGAGCAGCUUGUCUGCAAUGGAGGUAAGGCUUGUUGCCUGCGUGCGUAUGUCAGGGACAUAGCGCUUGAAAAAGACUCCAUUGAGUUUGUGCUCCGGGGAGCAGCUUGUCUACAAUGGAGCUAAGGCUUGUCGCCUGUGUGCGUAUGUCAGGGACAUAGCGCUUGAAAAAGACUCCAUUGAGUUUGUGCUCCGGGGAGCAGCUUGUCUGCAAUGGAGGUAAGGCGAUGUCGGGGACAUAGCGGUUUGAAAAAGACUCCAUUGAGUUUGUGCUCCGGGGAGCAGCUUGUCUGCAAUGGAGGUAAGGCUUGUCGCCUGUGUGCGUAUGUCGGGGACAUAACGCUUAAAAGGACUCCAUUGAGUUUGUGCUCCGGGGAGCAGCUUGUAUGCAAUGGAGAUGAGGCUUGUCGCCUGCGUGAAGUCGAGCUGGUAAGCUGCCACUCGAACAAUGGCCUUCUUGUUGUGGUAAGAUAUGAGCUGCUGCUAGUAAGUUGCAACUCGAACAAUGACCUUUUUAUUAUAGCAAGAUGUGAGCUACUGCUGGUGAGCUACAACUCGAACAAUGGCCUUCUUGUUGCGGAUCACGAUCGACCCAUUUUUCUUAUGCGCCUUCCAUUUUUUUCUUGAUGCAGUCCAGCACGAUCUUGUUGGAUGCUUCUGCUAGGUUUUCCUGGCCUCGGACUUUUCCUUGGGCAAGUUUUCGUUCACCAGGUAGUCAAUGAUGGGGUUUUGCCAGCUAGGAUCCUCGUCGAUCUACAUCAGGUCCGGCUGCUCUGCCUCUUCUAUGCUAGGCUGUUCAAGGUGCUUAACUGGGAUGGGGUGCCUGAACUGGGUAUCCAGCGCUGAUCCUAAGCUUGCCAGUACAUCUGCGUGCGCGUUCUCUGCUUGGGGCACCUGCUGAAUGAUGAAGGUAGGAAACGCCUUCAACAGCUCUUGGACUUUGUCAAGGCACAAAAUCAUCCUUGGGUGCCACAUGUCUCUGGGUUGGUUAAGUUCCGUGGAAGUCUUGUCUGCUCUCGAACUUUCCUUCUUUUUGCUGACCAGCUUCUCUUCUUCGGCUGAUGGUGUGAAUUAUGCAACAAAGUCUGCUAAGGCUUGGGCUUUUAUUGCAGUCUUCGGCCGGUAGAGGAGGUCAUAUUGGCUUAGCUCUAUUGCCCACUUCAUGAGUCGCUGAGAAGCAUCAGGGCUGUGGAGGAUUGAUCUCAAAGGAAAGUCAGUCAUAACGACGAUUCGGUGAGCCUGGUAAUAAGGUCGCAGCUUUCUCGCAGAAACGACAAGGGCCAAAAUGAGCUUCUCCAAUUUUGGGUAGCGAGUCUCUGCAUCGAGGAGAGCUUUUGAAGUAUAGAAUAUCGGAUGUUGGGCCCCAAGUUCUUCUCGGAUGAGAGCUGAGCUGAUGGCUGAGUCGGACACUGCCAGGUACACGAACAAGUCUUCACCAGGAGCGGGCUUCGAGAGCAGGGGAGGUGAAGUAAGGUAGGUCUUUAGACUCUGGAAAGCUACUUCGCACUCCUCGUCCCACUUGUCUUUUUGCCCCUUCUUCAAAGCUUUGAAGAAUGGUCUGCACUUGUCGGUAGACUUCGAGAGGAAUCGGUUGAGAGCUGCUGCUCUGCCCGUCAGACUUUGUAUUUCUUUCACCGUGGAAGGUGACUUCAUCUCGAGGAUGGCUUUAAUUUGGCGUGGGUGUGCCUCGAUACCUCGUUGUGUGACUAAGUACCCCAGGAAUCGGCCGGAUGAUACACCGAACGUGCAUUUACUUGGAUUCAGCUUCAUGCAGUAUUGGCGGAGCAGGCUGAAUGCCUCGGUGAGGUUUUUGAGGUGGUCUCCACGCUUGGGGCUUUGACCAGCAUAUCAUCCACGUAGACUUCCAUGGUUCUGCCAAUCUGCUCCUUGAAAAUCUUAUUCACGAGCCUUUGGUAUGUUGCUCCGGCGUUCUUCAACCCGAAGGGCAUGACCUUGUAGCAGUAGGUCCCUCUCUCGAUGAUGAAAGAGGUCUUCGCCUUGUCAUCGUCGUACAUCAUAAUUUGAUUAUAGCCUGAGUAGGCAUCCAUGAAGCUGAGCAGCUGGUUGCCGGAAGUUGAAUCCACGAUCUGGUCGAUCCUCGGCAAUGGGAAGUUGUCUUUAGGGCAUGCUUUGUUGAGGUCGGUAUAAUCGACGCACACUCUCCAUUUGCCCUUUUCUUGUUUUGCCACUAAAACGACGUUGGCCAACCAUUCUGAGUAUGAGACUUCUUCAAUAAAUUCGGCUGCUAGAAGCUUGUCGAUCUCGGCUUCAGUGAUCGCGACUCGCUCGGGAGCGAAGUUACGUCUCUUCUGCACCACGGGCUUGCUGGCAGGGUUGACAUGGAGGCGGUGGCAGAUGAUGUUUGGGUCGAUGCCGGGCAUGUCAGAUGGUGACCAUGCGAACAUGUCUUUGUUGUUUUGGAGGAAGGUGGUAAGCUCCACCUUCUCGUCUGGGCUUAGGCGCGAGCCGAUCCGCGCUUUCUUGUCUGGCUGGUUAGGAUCGAGGGGUACUAACUCGACGUCUUCCUCAGGUUUCCAACCUUCUUCAAGGGAGCCUUCCGGGCGGAUUCCCUCAUCUCGAUCCUUCUUGUUGGGAUUCUGGCGCGAGCCGAUCUGUUCUUCUUUGUCUGGCUGGCCAAGAUCAGGGGGUACUAACUCAACGUCAUCCUCAGACUUCCAACCCUUUUCAGGGGAGUCUUCCGGGCGGAUUCCCUCGCCUUGAUCCUGGCUCAUUAAUUGCUAUUGUGAGGUAACAGCUCCCUUCUCGUUCGAGCUUGUUUGUCUGCUGGGAGCGCUUCGUGCCUCGUUGGCAGCUUGCAUUACUGGUGUGAACUGCAUCUGCUUGCUCUUCUUGAGUCCGUGAGCUGUGCAUCUUCUUGCCAUGGCUUGGUCACUAUUGAUCUGCCCGAUUCCGCCUCCAGGGAUGGGGUAGCGAAUCUUCUGGUGUAGAGCAGAUGUGAUAGCCUCGAUCUUGCUGAUCCACGGUCGGCCCAGAAUUCCGUUGUACGGGGAGAUCUCGUCGAUGACCAUGAAGGUUUGUGUGCAGACUACUGGGGGCGAGUGGACGUCAAGGUCGAUCUGUCCAACAGUGAUUGAUGUGGCCCCAUUGAAGCCAGUGAGCGACCUUGCAAGUUUGCUAAUCUUGGGCUCCAAUCCCAUCUGUUGGAUGACAGAUAGUUGCAGGAUGUUGGCUGCGCUGCCCUCAUCCACAUGAACUCGCUCGAUCACAGCUUGUUCAAUCUGAAUGCAGAUGACUAGGGCGUCAUUAUGCGGCAGGUCAAGCCCGAUCAAGUCUUUCUUCUGGAAACCAAUGAUGGGUGUAUCCACGAUAACUGGUACUCCUGUUGUGACUUGGGAGACAUAAGUCGCCUGCGCGAUCUUCCUCUUACGCUCCUUGGUGGUCAGCCCGGACUCCUGAGAGUCAGCUAGAAUGAUGUUGAUUCGAAUGACCUUUUGGGGAGGUUCCUUGGCAGCCGCAUCACGAUCCUCGAUCUGUUGGAUGGCCUUCUUUGCGAUGAAUUCUGUGCAAUGACCUUCUCUGACCAGCUCCUCCAGAUGCCUUUUCCAAGCAUUGCAAUUGUUGGUGUAAUGACCGUGCUCCCCGUGGAAUGCGCAGUAUUUACUGGUGUCCCUCUUAGAGGGGUCUCCUUUCAUGGGUGGCGGUCUCCUCACCCACGGCUUGUCCUUCACUUGAGCCAGGAUCUGAUGAAUUGGGAUAGCGAACUCAGUGAAGGUCCCAAUUUCUGAGCUUCCCUCUCGGGGCCGCGAUCUGCGCUUAUCUCGGGCUUUUUGCUCGGAUUGAUUGCUCUUUUGGCUUGCCUGCUUCGUCGGGUGUUUAACUUGCUUGCUAGCUUUCUUUGCGGCGAUUCGAUCAUCGUCCCAAAGUGCGUAGCGUUCUGCCGUCGCGAACACUUCUGCCAAGGUUUGACUUGGUGUUAUGGCCAGUUCCCGGUAUAGCUCGUGCUCGGUUGGCAAGCCCUUCUUGAAAGCUGAGGAUGCAACUUGGUCAUUGCAUCCUAUGAUGUUAGCCUUUUCAGCCUUAAACCGUCUCAGGUAGUCUCGUAGAGACUCGUCUGGCUGCUUGCGCAGGUUGAACAGAUGGUCUGCAUGCUUUCUGACCGUCUUGUAGGAGGUGUACUCCUUUGUGAAGAUGAAGGCCGACUCCUUGAAGUUUCCUAUCGACGCGGACGGUAGAGUGUGGAACCAGUCUUGAGCUGCUCCUCGCAGGGUCAUCGCGAACACUUUGCACAUCAGGGCAUCAUCUGCCUUGUACAGGAUCAUGGCGCUCUUGAAGUGCCUCAAAUGGCUCUCAGGGUCAGAGUCCCCCUUGAAUGGAGUGAUGGAUGGCGUUGUGAACCGCUUCGGUGGAGGAGCUCGUUCCACUUUGUCGGCAAAGGGUGAGCAGUCAACUCGAUCAAUUUCCUUAUGCAGGGCCUCCUCCGU
rnacentral:lncRNA from 1 species